AACCCUAAAGGGUUCGAUCAAAGUGGAGAGGAGGUGGAGGAGUCCACCUCCAAUCCUACUCCUAGUAGGAUUCCACCUUCUCUCCUCCUUCCCCUUUUCCCCUUUUCCCUUUUUUGCUCCUUGGCCAAAAUAGGCCCUCUUGGCUGGCCGCACCAUCCCACUAAGGGAUGGUGCACCACCUUUAGGCCUAUUUGGUUCUCUCCCGGUUGGGUGGCCCCUCCCGGUAAAACCUCGGAACCCAUUCGUCACUCCUCGUACUUUAUCGGUAAUGCCCGAAAACUUUCCGCAAGUCAAACGCAACUUUCCUAUAUAUCAAUCUUUACCUCCGGACCAUUCCAAAGCUCCUCGUGACGUCCAUGAUCUCAUCUGGACUCCGAACAACCUUCGGUCACCAACAUACAUAACUCAACUAUACUGAAACGUCACCUAACCUUAAGUGUGUAGACCCUGCGGGUUCGAGAACUAUGUAGACAUGACAUGAGACACUCUCCAGUCAGUAACAAAUAGUGGGACCUGGAUGCCCAUAUUGGCUCCUACAUAUUAUAUGAAGAUCUUUAUCAGCUGAACCUCUAUGACAAGGAUUCAGUUAAUCCCGUAUGAUGUUCCCUUUGUCCUGUUGGAAAUAUUCCCUAGAGGCAAUAAUAAAAUGGUUAUUAUCAUAUUUCCUUGUUCAUGAUAAUCGUCUAUUGUUCAUGCUAUAAUUGUAUUAACAGGAAACAGUAAUACAUGUGUGAAUAAAUAGAUCACAAUGUGUCCCUAGCAAGCCUCUAGUCGGCUAGCUCGCUGAUCAAUAGAUGAUCAUGGUUUCCUGAUCAUGGACAUUGGAUGUCAUUGAUAACGGGAUCACAUCAUGAGGAGAAUGAUGUGAUGGACAAGACCCAAUCCUAAGCAUAGCACUAGAUCGUGUUGUUUGUAUGCUAAAGCUUUUCUAAUGUCAAGUAUUUUUUCCUUCGACCGUGAGAUUGUGCAACUCCCCGAUACCGUAGGAGUGCUUUGGGUGUAUCAAACGUCGCAACGUAACUGGGUGACUAUAAAGGUGCACUACAGGUAUCUCCGAAAGUAUCUGUUGGGUUGGCACGAAUCGAGAUCGGGAUUUGUCACUCCGUGUGAUGGAGAUGUAUCUCUAGGGCCCACUCGGUAGAACAUCAUCACAAUGAGCUCAGUGUGACUAAGUAGUUAGUCACAUGAUGAUGUGCUACGGAACGAGUAAAGAGACUUACCGGUAACGAGAUUGAACAAGGUAUACGUAUACCGACGAUCGAAUCUUGGGCAAGUUCUAUACCGAUAGACAAAGGGAAUUGUAUACGGGAUUGAUUGAAUCCUUGACAUCGUGGUUCAUCCGAUGAGAUCAUCGUGGAACAUGUGGGAGCCACCAUGGGUAUCCAGACCCCGCUGAUGGUUAUUGGCCGUAGAGGUGUCUCGGUCAUAUGUGCAUGCCUCCCGAACCCAUAGGGUCUACACACUUAAGGUUUGACGAUGCUAGGGUUAUAGGGAAUUGUUAUACGAGGUUAUCGAAGGUUGUUCGGAGUCCCAGAUGAGAUCCCGGACAUCACGAGGAGCUCCGGAGGUAAAGAUUGAUAUAUAGGAUGGAUGGAUUUGGACGCCGGAAAUGUUUCGGGCACCACCGACAAAGUGUCGGGAACACCAGAAGGGUUUCGGAGGUCUACCGGGAGAGGCCACCAGCCCCAGGAGGCUACAUGGGCCAAGUGUGAGAGGGAACCAGCCCGUGGGUGGGCUGGUGCGCCCCCCACACCCAGCCCAUGGCGCCUAAGAGGGGGAAGGGGGGAACCCUAGCGCAGGUGGGCCUAAGGCCCACCAGGGGGUGCGCCACCCCCUCCUCCCCUCCUGGCCGCCACCCCUCCCCCCGUCUAGGGAUGCUGCACCCCUUAGGGGUGGGAACCCUAAGGGGGGCGCCACCUUCCAUUCCCCCUAUAUAUAUCGGGGUUUUUGGCCAUUGGAGAUACAGUUUUCCAUCUCUCUCUCGGCGCAGCCCUGUCUCUCUUCUUCCUCCUCUCCCACGGUGCGUGGUGAACCUCUGCCGGGAGACCUCGUCGCUCCAUCGUCACCACGCCGUCAUGCUACCGGAGCUCUUCCCCAACCUCUCCCUCCUCCUUGCUGGAUCAAGGUGCGGGAGACGUCACCGGGCGGCAUGUGUGUUGAACACGGAGGUGCCGUGGUUCAGAACUAGAUCAGAAUCACACCACGGUCUGAAUCGCCGCGAGUAUGACUCCAUCAACCGCGUUCUAGCAACGCUUCCGCUUAGCGAUCUUCAAAGGUAUGAAGAUGCACUCACCCCUCUCUCAUUGCUGGUCUCUCCAUAGGAAGAUCUGAAUAUGGCAUAGGAAAAUUUUGAAUUUUUGCUACGUUACCCAACAGUGGCAUCUGAGCUAGGUUUUCUAUGCGUAGAUUCUUUGCACGAGUAGAACGCAAAAAGGUUGUGGGCGCUGAUUUUGUCAAUUGCUUGCCGCUACUAGUCUUAUUCUUUUCCAGCGGUAUUGUGGGAUGAAGCGGCCCAGACUGACCUUACACGUGCGCUUACGUGAGACUGGUUCCACCGGCUAACAUGCACUAGGUGGAUAAGGUGGCUAGCGGGUGUUUGUCUCUCCCACUCUAGCCGGAUUGGAUUUGAUGAAAAGGGUCCUUAUGAAGAGUAAAUAGCUUUGGCAUAUCAUCGUUGUGGCUGUCACGUAGGUAAGAAGGAGUUCUUGCUAGAAACCCAAAUCAGCCACGUAAAACCUGCAACAACAAUUAGAGGACGUCUAACUUGUUUUUGCAGGGUUUGACAUGUGAUGUGAUAUGGCCAAAAGUUGUGAUGUUACAUGUGUGAUGUAUGAGAUGAUCAUGUUCUUGUAAUAGGAUUCACGACUUGCAUGUCAAUGAAUAUGACAACCGACAGGAGCCAUAGGAGUUGUCUUAAUUUAUUGUAUGAGAUGCAACGCCAUGUGUUUACUACUUUUACUUCAUUGCUAACGGUUAGCUGUAGUAGUAGUAGUAGUAGUAGUAGUAGUAGUAGUAGUAGUAGUAGUAGAUGGCGUGACGACUUCACGGAGACACGAUGAUGUAGAUCAUGAUGAUGGAGAUCAUGGUGUCACACCGGUGACGAUGAUGAUUAUGUGAUGCCCGAAGAUGGAGAACGAAGGAGAAAAGAUGAUAAUGGCCAUAUCAUGUCACUAUAUGAUUGCAUGUGAUGUUUAUCAUGUUUUUCAUCUUAUUUCUUAGAACGACGGUAGCAUAAUAAGAUGAUCCCUCAUAAAAUUUCGAGAACGUAUUCCCCUAAGUGUGCACUGUUGCGAAGGAUCGUUGUCUCGAAGCACCACGUGAUGAUCGGGUGUGAUAGAUUCUAACGUUCGCAUACGACGGGUGUAAGCCAGAUUUACACACGCGAAACACUUAGGUUGACUCGACGAGCUUAGCAUGUACAGACAUGACCCCGAAUACGAGAGACCGAAAGGUCGAACAUGAGUUGUAUGGUUGAAUACGAUCAGCAUGAAGUUGCUCAGCAUGACGACUAGUCCGUCUCACGUGAUGAUCGGACAUGGGUGAGUCGACAUGGAUCAUGUAUCACUUAAUUUGAUUAAAUGAACUUAAUUAUCAUGAACUAAAAGUUGUCUUUACAAAAUUGUAGAUCCAAUGGCCAACGAACCUGUCAAACUCAAUUUCAACGCGUUCCUAGAGAAAAACAAGCUGAAAGAUGAUGGUAGCAACUAUGUGGACUGGGUACGCAACUUGAAGCUCAUCCUCAUUGCAUCCUAGAAGGCUUAUGUCCUUGAUGCGCCGCUAGGUGACCCCCUGUUCCGCGGCAUCCCAAAAUGUUCAAACGUCUGGCAAGCGCGGAGUGAUGACUACUCUCUGGUUAGGUGUGGCAUGUUAUACAGUGAGAAAGUUGAGAGGGUUACGCCGGGGCUCCAAAGGCGUUUUGAGCAACACGGAGCAUAUGAGAUGUUCCAGGAGUUGAAGCUAGUUUUUCAAGCUCAUGCCCGGGUCGAGAGAUAUGAAGUCUCCGACAAGUCCUUUAGCUGCAAGAUGGAGGAGAACAGUUCUGUUAGUGAGCAUAUUCUCAGAAUGUCUGGGUUGCACGAACGUCUAACUCAGCUUGGAGUCGAACUUUCGGAUGACGCUGUAAUUGACAGAAUCCUCUAGUCCCUCCCACCAAGCUACAAGGGUUUUGUGCUGAACUACAACAUGCAAGGGCUUGAGAACACCAUUCCCAAGUUGUACUCGAUGCUGAAAUCUGCAGAAGUAGAAGUCAAGAAAGAGCAUCAAGUGUUGAUGGUCAAUAAGACCACCAGUUUCAAGAAAGGCAAGGGUAGGAAGAACUUCAAGAAAGACGGCAAAGCCAUUGCCGCGCUUGAUAAGCCAGAUGUCGGUAAGAAGAAAAAGAAUGGACCCAAGCCUGAGACUGAAUGCUUCUAUUGCAAGGGAAAAGGUCAGUGGAAGCGGAACUGCCCCAAGUACUUAGCGGACAAGAAGGCCCGCAACGUUAAAGGUAUAUAUGAUAUACAUGUUAUUGAUGUGUACCUUAUCAGUGCUCGUAGUAGCUCAUGGGUAUUUGAUACCGGUGAUGUUGCUCAAAUUUGCAACUCAAAGCAGGAACUGCGGAAUAAGCAGAGGCUGGCCAAGGAUGAGGUAACGAUACGCGUCGGGAAUGGCUCCAAGGUCGAUGUGAUCACCGUCGGCACGCUGCCUCUACAUCUACCGUCGGGAUUAGUUUUAAACCUUAAUAAUUGUUGUUUAGUUCCAGAUUUAAGCAUGAACAUUGUAUCAUGGUCUUGCUUAAUGGAGUCGGCUACUCAUUUAAGUCAGAGAAUAAUGGUUGUUCUAUUUAUAUGAGUGAUAUGUUUUAUGGUCAUCCUCCGUUGUGAAUGGUUUAUUCUUGAUGAAUCUCAAUCGUGAUGUUACACAUAUUCAUAGUGUGAAUACCAAAAUAUGCAACGUAUAUAAUGAUAAUCCCACAUACUUGUGGCACUGCCGCCUUGGUCAUAUCAAUGUUAAACGCAUGAAGAAGCUCCAUACUGAUGGACUAUUAGAGUCUCUUGACUUUGAAUCAUUUGACACAUGCAAAUCGUGCCUCAUGGGCAAGAUGACUAAGACUCCAUUCUCAGGAAUAAUGGAGAGAGCAACCGACUUAUUGGAAAUAAUACAUACUGAUGUGUGUGGUCUAAUGAACGUUGAAGCUCGCGGUGGUUAUCGUUAUGUUCUCACUCUCACCGAUGAUUUGAGUAGGUAUGGGUAUAUGUACUUGAUGAAGCACAAAUCUGAAACGUUUGAAAGGUUCAAGGAAUUUCAGAGUGAGGUUGAGAAUCAACGUGACAGAAAAAUAAAAUGUCUACGAUCUGAUCGUGUGCUACGACGACAGAAAUCUUCUGUCGUCUCUUGAGCUUGCGUUGGUUUUUCCCUUGAAGAGGAAAGGGCGAUGCAACAUAAGAGCAGUAAGUAUUUCCCUCAGUUUGAGAACCAAGGUAUCAAUCCAGUAGGAGAAUCUCGUCAAGUCUAGAGUACCUGCACAAACACAAAAGAGCUUGCACCCAACGCCAUAAAGGGGUUGUCAAUCCCUUCAAGAUUGAUUGCAAAGUGAGAUCUGAAGGCGGAAAGUGCAACGAAGUAAAAGAGUAAGGCUGAAAAUAUGGUGUGAAGUAGACCCGGGGCCAUAUGUUCACUAGAGGCUUCUAACAAAAUUGCAAAUAUUACGGUGGGUGAACAAAUUACUAUCGAGCAAUUGAUAGAACCGCGCAAAGUCAUGACGAUAUCUAAGGCAAUGAUCAUACAUAUAGGCAUCACGUCCGAGACAAGUAGACCGAUACUUUCUGCAUCUACUACUAUUACUCCACACAUCGACCGCUAUCCAGCAUGCAUCUAGUGUAUUGAGUUCAUGACGAACAGAGUAACGCCUUAAGCNNNNNNNNNNNNNNNNNNNNNNNNNNNNNNNNNNNNNNNNNNNNNNNNNNNNNNNNNNNNNNNNNNNNNNNNNNNNNNNNNNNNNNNNNNNNNNNNNNNNUGGCGAUCGACGGGGCAAAGGGCGGCGACGGCGUCGACGGGGCGGGUAGGGGCGCGGUAGAGGCACGACGAGGGCGCGCGGCAUGGUCGGGGGGCAAGGGCUACGACGGCGUGGUCGGGCCGGGCAACGACGGCGUGGUCGGGGGCAGGGCGACGACGGCGAGCUCGGGCAGCCUGGCGGCGUCGUCGGAGGAAUCAAAGAAACUGACGAAAUUUUCACAACUGCUAGCUUAUAUAGCAAAGCCAUUGGUACCGGUUCGUGGCACCAACCGGUACCAAUGCCCCCUUUAGUCCCGGUUGGUGCCACCAACCGGGACCAAAGGUCACUUUUCAGCAGCCCAAAGGGCGGGAAGCGGCGGCCUUUGGGCCCGGGUGGGGGGACCCUAGCGAGGUGGGACUAAACUUUGGCCGCGACGCAGGCAGCACACGGGCCUUUGGUACCGGUUCGUGGCACCAACCGGUACCAAUGCCCACCCUUUAGUCCCGGUUGGUGCCACCAACCGGGACCAAAGGCCGCCGCUUCCCGCCCUUUGGGCUGCUGAAAAGUGANNNNNNNNNNNNNNNNNNNNNNNNNNNNNNNNNNNNNNNNNNNNNNNNNNNNNNNNNNNNNNNNNNNNNNNNNNNNNNNNNNNNNNNNNNNNNNNNNNNNGCAUGCAAGCUUGAGCUAUGCUUUCCCUGUCACGAGGCCAAAAGUUAUAAAUAUGAUUCCGAUCACGAUGUACUAAAUGCAUAGGAUAAAACUUUUGAUGAAAUUCCAAUUUCAACCGAUUGUAGUCCCAUGAUCCAGUAUCAUCACAUAGCCUAUACCAUGUAAACGCCUUAUCCUUCAAAGAUAAAGGAAAGACUUUCUUCUUUACCUCAUCCUCGGGCAAACCUGCAAGCUUAAAUAAACCACAAACUUCAUCUACAUAGAUUAGGUGCAAGUAUGGAUGUGAAGAUCCAUCUCUUGUAAAAGGAUUAGCGAGCAGUUUCUCAAGCAUACCCGAAGGAAUUUCAUAAAAGAUAUUUUCAGUAGGUACCUCAGGUUCAUGAAAAACUCCUCGUGCUUCCAUUCGUGGUGAAGAUACCCUGAACAAAUUCCUCAAAGGAACAGUUUCCAUAGUGACAAGUGACAAUAAAUUUCAGCACAGUAUAUAAAUGUUUCCUUACCAAAUUCCACUUACCAAAGGCGCUUCACUCCCCGGCAACGGCGCCAGAAAAGAGUCUUGAUGACCCACAAGUAUAGGGGAUCAAUCGUAGUCCUUUCGAUAAGUAAGACUGUCGAACCCAACGAGGAGCAGAAGGCUCUGAUAAACGGUUUUCAGCAAGGUAAUAACUGCAAGCACUGAAAGUAGCGGUAACAAGUGAUGGUGUAGUGACGUGAAACGUAGCAAGUGAAAAGUAACAAGUAACAAGAGUAGCAACGGUGCAGAAAAGUGGCCCAAUCCCUUUUGUAGCAAGGGACAAGCCUGUACAAAGUCUUAUAGGAGGAAAAACGCUCCCGAGGACACACGGGAAUUUCUGUCAUGCUAGUUUCAUCAUGUUCAUGUGAUUCGCGUUCGUUACUUUGAUAGUUUGAUAUGUGGGUGGACCGACACUUGGGUACUGACCUUACUUGGACAAGCAUCCCACUUAUGAUUAACCCCUCUCGCAAGCAUCCGCAACUACGAAAUAAGAAUUAAGACAACGUCUAACCGUAGCAUUAAACUAGUGGAUCCAAAUCAGCCCCUUACGAAGCAACGCAUAGACUGGGGUUUAAGCUUCUAUCACUCUAGCAACCCAUCAUCUACUUACUACUCACCAAUGCCUUCCUCUAGGCCCAAAUAUGGUGAAGUGUUAUGUAGUCGAUGUUCACAUAACACCACUAGAUAAAAAGACAACAUAUAGCAUAUCAAAAUACCAAACGAAUACCAAAUUCACAUGACUAUUAUCAGCAUGACUUAUCCCAUGUCCUCAGGAACAAAAGUAACUACUCACAAAGCAUAAUAAUAAUCAUGACCAGAGGUGUAAUUAGUAGCAUCAAGGAUAUAAACAUAAACUCUUCCACCAAGUAAUCCAACUAGCAUCAACUACAAAGAGUAAUCAACACUACUAGCAACCUUACAAGUACCAAUUGGAGUCGCGAGAUGGAGAUUGGUUACAAGAGAUGAACUAGGGUUUGGAGAGGAGAUGGUGCUGAUGAAGAUGUUGAUGGAGAUGACUCCCCUCCGACGAGAGGAGUGUUGGUGAUGACGAUGGCGAUGAUUUCCCCCUCAGGGAGGGAAGUUUCCCCGGCAGGAUCGUCCUGCGGGAGCUCUAGAAUGGUUCUGCUCAACUUCGGCCUCGUGGCGGCGGAGAAUCCACGAAAAAGCUCCACCCUGAUUUUUUCUCGGACGAAACCCUUCAUAUAGCAAAAGAGGGGGGCCAGUGGUCCGCCAUGGUGCCCACAAGCCCUGUAGCCGCCGCCAGGGGGGUAGGUGGCGGCUACCGGGCUUGUGGGCUCCUGGUAGCUCCCCUCUCGUACUCCUUUCGCCCAGUAUUUUUUAUAUAUUCCCAAAAAAUACCAUGUUGAUUUUCAGGGCAUUUGGAUUUGCGUAGAAUAGAGGACUCGGACUUUCUCCUUUUCCAGUCCAGAAUUCCAGCUGCCGGUAUUCUCUCUCUUCAAAUAACCUUGCAAAAUAAGAGAGAAAAGGCAUAAGUAUGGUACCACAAAGUAAUAUAACAAUCCAUAAAGCGAAUAAAUAUCAACAUGAAAGCAUGAUGCAAAAUGGACGUAUCAAGGCACACAGGGGAUAGGGUUAUGUUCUUACUUCACACAUGAUUUGAGUAGAUAUUAGUAUAUUUACUUGAUGAAACACAAGUCUGAAUUAUUGAAAUAUUCAAGUGAUUUCAGAGUGAAGUUGAAGAUCAUCGUGACAAGAAGAUAAUAUGUCUACGAUGUGAUCAUGGAGGUAAAUAUAUAUCUGAGUUGCGAGUUUGGUAUACAUUUAAGACAAUGUGAAAAUUGUUUCACAACUCAUGCCACCUGGAACACCAUAGUGUGAUGGCGUGUCCGAACGUCAUAGUCGUGCCCUAUUGGAUAUGGCGCAUACUAUGAUGUCUAUUUUGGUAUUACCACUAUCGUUUUUGGGUUAGGUAUUAGAGUAAAAAGCAUUCACUUUAAAUAGGGCAUCACGCAAUUCCGUUGUGAUGACACCGUAUGAACUAUGGUUUGGAGAAACCUAAGCUCUCGUUUCUUAAAAGUUUGGGGCUGCGACGCUUAUGUGAAAAAGUUUCAGCCUGAUAAGCUUGAAUCCAAAGCAGAUAAAUGCAUCUUCAUAGGACACCCAAAACAGUUGGGUAUACCUCCUAUCUCAAAUUCGGAAGCAAAGUGUUUGUUUCUAGAAACGGGUCCUUUCUCGAGAAAAGUUUCUCUCAAAAGAAUUGAGUGGGAGGAUGGUGGAAACUUGAUGAGGUUAUUGAACCGUCACUUCAACCAAUGAGUCGCAGGGCGUGUUGACGUGCAACUAUUCCUGACUUGAUGCCUCCAUGGCAACGGAGCCAGAAAAGAGCUGCUUCGAGUUGCUCAACAAUUAGAAAUUGUCUUGCAACAGUUUUCGAGGGUAGAGUAUUCAACCCAAAUUUGUUGGUUCGCGCGACGGGAAGUGAAAGAAUAUUCUCAAGUAUUAGCAGCUGAAUGUGUCAGAUUCAACCACACCUGAAAGAUUACUGUCUGCAAGCAGGAUAUAAGCAGCAAAGUAGUAUGAUAACAACGGUGCCAGAAACGAUCUUUGACAAGGCACACAGGGGAUAGGUGGCGMCAGUAAGUYGCCCGUAGGACGGGAAUAUUCUUCCCGGCAACGGUGCCAGACACGAGUGCGUNNNNNNNNNNNNNNNNNNNNNNNNNNNNNNNNNNNNNNNNNNNNNNNNNNNNNNNNNNNNNNNNNNNNNNNNNNNNNNNNNNNNNNNNNNNNNNNNNNNNACGGCCGAAAUACCCUACCAACGCAAAAUAACGUAGUGACACUCUAAAUACAUGGCAAAUUAAGUCCCUAAACUAAUAGGCAUUCUAAAACGGAMAUUACGGUACCGAAUAACGGUCUAGACGCGAAAACAAAUAACGRCGUCUAUCCUACAUAGACAGCACGGUAACAAUGCAUUUGGCACGCUAACUAAAUCGAACAAAUACGCAAGGUGCACAAACGUAAUCUACAAGUAAAACUAACGCGAAAACCAUAUAUUACACGCUUGGUUCCGACUUACGGAUUAAAAGAUACGGAUGUUUUAAAUAUCUAUUAAUUCCUGAAAUUAUUUAAUCAUAGAAAUAUCCUAAAUGCAAAAGGGCCGAAUCUGGAGGCGCAAUUUAGUAAAUAGCGCCAAGGGCGCGGGAUGGAUCUCACCUCGGGGGGGGCUCUUGGGCUGGAGGGGCGCAGUGGAAGGCAGCCGGCCUGGCUGCCGAAGCUGGAGGUGGGCCGCGGGUGAGGCCGAAGCCUGGGCCUGGGGCGAAGGAGUUGGCCACUGGGCCGAGGGAGCUGGUGCGGCCCAGGCCAGGGCAACCGCUGGCGACGGACGGUGGCGCUGGAGCUGUCGCGGCGGCCGGCGACAUAGCUUCCGGCGAGGGGGAAGGCGGGGGAGGCCGGAUCCAUGACGGGGAGCUCCGGAUCCGUCCAUCCCCGGGGGUUUGAGGCGGCGCUGGCAGGCGGCGAGGAGAGCAGCAACGACGGCGAGAACUGGGCAGGCGGCAGCGCGCUGGCGGGGCCGCGGCGGCGAGGAUCCUGGGCUGCGCACCCGACGGCGGCCGGCGGGGAGGUGCGGCAGGGGGUUCAGCAACACGCUACAGGAGGAGGUCGCGAUGGGAGCAGGGGGCGCAUGCGAGCGGCGGCGGCGGAUGGGCUCGGGCGGGCUCAGAUCGGGCCCCAUGGGCUGGUGGCUGGAGGAGGAAGAGGGGCUCAGGGUUAGGGUUUCGGGGCUGCACGGAUUUCAAGGCACACAGGGGAUAGGGNNNNNNNNNNNNNNNNNNNNNNNNNNNNNNNNNNNNNNNNNNNNNNNNNNNNNNNNNNNNNNNNNNNNNNNNNNNNNNNNNNNNNNNNNNNNNNNNNNNNACAAGGACGACCGAAACCGUUUAAAACGGUUAACUACGGUAACGAACUAAGUAGAUAGUUCUUAAAGAAGAGGAAAGUUAGUUGAUUUCYAUGCUUGUGCCCUUCGUUAAGAGGUACGAGACCUCCAACCAACGAUUCUUUCACCACAAAGUAAAGGAGAAAAGACUCAAUCGUUGAGCGUGUGCUCAGAUUAUCUGAGUACGACAAUCACUCGAAUCGAGUGGGAGCUAAUCUUCCAGAUGAGAUAGUGAUGGUUCUCCAAAAUCACUGCCACCAAGCUUUGAGAGCUUCGUGAUGAACUAUAACAUAUCAAGGAUAGAUACAAUGAUCCUUGAGCGAUUCGCGACGUUUGACACUGCGAAAGUAGAAAUCAAGAAGGAGCAUCAAUAGUUGAUGGUUUGAAAAACCACUAAGUUUCAAGAAAGGGGAGGGCUAGAAGGGAUACUUCGUGAAACGGCAAAACAGUUGCUGCGCUAAUGAAGAGACCCAAGAUUGAACCCAAACCCGAGACUAAGUGCUUCUGUAAUAAGGGGAACGGUCACUGAGGCGGAGCAACUCUAGAUACUUGGGAGAUAAGAAGGCUGGCAAAAGUCGAGAGAAGUAUAUUUGAUAUACAUAAUGUUGAUGUGUACUUUACUAGUACUCCUAGUAGCACGAGGGUAUUGGAUACCGGUUCGGUUGCUAAGUGAUUAGUAACGCGAAAUGAAAGCUACGGCAUAAGCGGAGACUAGCUAAAGGCGAGGUGACGAUACGUGUUGGAAGUGUUUCCAAGGUUGAUAUGAUCAAACGUCACACGCCCCCUCUACCAUCGGGAUUGGUGUUGAACCUAAAUAAUUGUUAUUUGGUGCUUGCGUUAAGCAUGAACAUGAUUGGAUCGUGUUUAUUGCAAUACGAUCAUUCAUUCAAAGAGAAUAAUGGUUACUCUAUUUGCUUGAAUAAUCACCUUCAAUGGUUUAUUGAAUCUCGAUUGUAGUGUUACACAUUGGUGCCAAAAGAUACGAGUUAAAUGAUGAUAGUACCACUUACUUGUGGCACUGCCGCUUGAGUCAUAUAAAUUGCAUGAAGAGGCUCCAUGCUGAUGGAUCUUUACUCACCUGAUUUCGAAUCACUAGUGACAUGCAAAUCAUACCACAUGAGCAAGGCCUUGUUUUCAUUGAGAUGAAACAAGAUAGUAACUUGUUGGAAGUGAUACAUUUUGAUGUAUGCAGUCCAGUGAGUGCUGAGGCACGCAGUGGAUAUCAUUAUGUUCUUACUUCACUGACGACAUGAGUAGAUACAGGAGUAUUUACUUAAUGAAUCACAAGUCUGAAAUAUUGAAAAGUUCAAUUCUGUUUCAGAGUGAAGUUCGUCGUAACAAGAGGAUAAACUGUCUACGAUAUGAUCAUAGAAAUGAAUAUCUGAGUUGCGAGUUUUUGGUACACAGUUAAGACAAUGUGGAAAUUGUUUCACAGUUCGUGCCACCUGGAACAUCAUGGUGUGAUGAUGUGUCUGAACGUCAUAGCCACGCACUAUUUAGUAUGGUGCAUGCUGUGAUGUCUCUUAUCGAAUUACCACUAUCGUUUAUGGGUUAUGCAUUAGAGACAACCACAUUCACUUUAAAUAGGGCACCGCGUAUUUCCGUUGAGAUGACACAGUAUAGACUGAGGUUUAGAGAAAUCUAAACUGUCGUUUCUUGAAAGUUUGGGGCUUCGAAACUUAUGUGAAAAAGUUUCAGUCUGAUAAGCUCGAACCCAAAGCGGAUAAAUGCAUCUUCAUAGGAUAUCCAAAACAGUUGGGUACAUCUCCUAUCUCAGAUCCAAAAGCAAAGUGUUUGCUUCUAGAAACGGAUCCUUUCUCGAGAAAAGGUUUCUCUCGAAAGAAUUGAGUGGGAGGGUAGUAGAACUUGAUGAGGUUAUUAAAACCAUCACUUCAACCAGUGUGUAGCAGGGCAUAGGAAGUUGUUCCUGUGGCGCCUACACUAAUUGAAGUGGAAGCUGAUGAUGGUGAUCAUUGAGCUUCGAAUCAAGUUACUACAAACCUCGUAGGUCGACAAGGUCGCGUACUGCUGCAGAGUAGUACGGUAACCCUGUCUUGGAGGUCAUGUUGUUGAGCAACAGUGAACCUACGAGUUAUGGAGAAAGCGAUGGUGGGCCCAGAUUCCGACAAAUGGCUGGAAGCCAUGAAAUCCGAGAGAGGAUCCAUGUGUGAAAACAAAGUGUAGACUUUGGUAGAACUACUUGAUGGUCAUGGGACUAUUGGGUAAAAUGGAUCUUUAAAAGAAGACAGACGAUGAUGGUGAUAAGUCACUAUUAAGAAAAGCUCGACUUGUCGCAAAGAUGUUUUCGACAAGAUCAAACAGUUGACUAUGAUGAGUCUUUCUCACUCGUAGCGAUGCUAAAGGUCUGUUAGAAUUGUGUUAGUAGUUGCUGCAUUAUUUAUGAAAUAUUGCACGUAGGAUGUCAAAACGUUGUUUCCUCGACGGUUUCCUUGAGCAAACAUUGUAUGUGAUACAGCCAGAAGGUUUUGUCGAUCCUAAAGAUACUAGCAAGUAUGCAAGCUCCAGUGAUCCUUCAAUGGACUGGUGCAAGCAUCUCGGAGUUGGAAUAAGCACUUUGAUGAGAUGAUCAAAGAUUUUGGGUGUGUACAAGGUUUAUGAGAAACUUGUAUUUCCAAAGAAGUGAGUGGGAGCACUAUAGAAUUUCUGAUAGGUAUAUAUGGUUGACAUAUUGUGGAUCAGAAGUAAUGUAGAAUUUCUGUAAAGCAUACAAGGUUGUUUGAAAGAAGUUUUCAAAGGAGUACCUGGAUUACGCUACUUGAACGUUGAGCAUCAAAGAUCUAUGGAGAUAGAUCGAAAGCGCUUAAUAGAAGUUUCAACAAGAUGCAUGCCUUGACAAGUUUUUUGAAAGAGUUCAAAAUAGACCAGCAAAGAAGGAGUUCUUGGUUGCGUUGUGAGGUGUGAAUUUGAGUAAGACUCAAAACCCGACCACGGCAGAAUAAAGAGAAUAGACGAAGGUCGUCUUCUAUGCCUUAGCCGUAGAAUCUAAAGUAUGCCAUGCUGUGUACCCUAUCCCCUGUGUGCCUUGACUCAAAGUCUGUUGAGGGUACAGAGAGUGAUCCAUGAUUGAAUCACUAGCAGCGGUCAAAAUUUAUCCUUAGUAACAAAUGGACUAAGGAAUUUUUCUCGAUUAUGGAGGUGGUUAAAGAGUUCGUCGUAAAGGGUUACGUCGAUGCAAGCUUUGACACUAAUCUGAAUAACUAUGAGUAGUGAAACGGAUUCAUAUAGUAGAGUGGAUAUUUGGAGCAUUUCCGAAUAGCACGUAGUAGCAGCAUCUAUAAGAUGACAUAAAGAUUUGUAAAGAACGCACGGAUCUGAAAGUUUCAGAACCGUUGACUAAAACCUCUCUCACAAGCAAGACAUGAUCAGACCCCAUAACUAUAUGGGUGUUGGAUUCGUUGGAAUCACAUGGUGAUGUGAACUAGAUUAUUGACUCUAGUGCAAGUGGGAGACUGUUGGAAAUAUGCCCUAGAGGCAAUAAUAAAUUAGUUAUUAUUAUAUUUCUUAGUUCAUGAUAAUCGUUUAUUAUCCAUGCUAUAAUUGUAUUGAUUGGAAACACAAUACUUGUGUGGAUACAUAGACAAAACACUGUCCCUAGUAAGCCUCUAGUUGACUAGCUCGUUGAUCAAAGAUGGUCAAGGUUUCCUGGCCAUAGACAAGUGUUGUCACUUGAUAACGGGAUCACAUCAUUAGGAGAAUCAUGUGAUGGACUAGACCCAAACUAAUAGACGUAGCAUGUUGAUCGUGUCAUUUUGUUGCUACUGUUUUCUGCGUGUCAAGUAUUUAUUCCUAUGACCAUGAGAUCAUAUAACUCACUGACACCGGAGGAAUGCUUUGUGUGUAUCAAACGUCGCAACGUAACUGGGUGACUAUAAAGAUGCUCUACAGGUAUCUCCGAAGGUGUUAGUUGAGUUAGUAUGGAUCAAGACUGGGAUUUGUCACUCCGUGUGACGGAGAGGUAUCUCGGGGCCCACUCGGUAAUACAACAUCACACACAAGCCUUGCAAGCAAUGUAACUUAGUGUAAGUUGCGGGAUCUUGUAUUACGGAACGAGUAAAGAGACUUGCCGGUAACGAGAUUGAAAUAGGUAUGCGGAUACUAACGAUCGAAUCUCGGGCAAGUAACAUACCGAAGGACAAAGGGAAUGACAUACGGGAUUAUAUGAAUCCUUGGCACUGAGGUUCAAACGAUAAGAUCUUCGUAGAAUAUGUAGGAUCCAAUAUGGGCAUCCAGGUCCCGCUGUUGGAUAUUGACCGAGGAGUCUCUCGGGUCAUGUCUACAUAGUUCUCGAACCCGCAGGGUCUGCACACUUAAGGUUCGACGUUGUUUUAUGCGUAUUUGAGUUAUAUGGUUGGUUACCGAAUGUUGUUCGGAGUCCCGGAUGAGAUCACGGACGUCACGAGGGUUUCCGGAAUGGUCCGGAAACGAAGAUUGAUAUAUAGGAUGACCUCAUUUGGUUACCGGAAGGUUUUCGUGCAUUACCGGAAAAGUUUCGGGCUCAUCGGUAGUGUACCGGGAGUGCCGGGAGGGGUGCCGGGGACCAUCGGGAGGGGUGUCACGCCCCAAGGGGUCUCAUGGGCUAUGGGAAGAGAUAAACCAGCCCCUAGUGGGCUGGAAUAAGUUCCCACUAAGGCCCAUAAGGUUUGAGAAGGAAAAAACACAAGGUGGAAAGAGUUUCCAAGUGGGAAGGUGGAAUCCUACUCCAAGUAGGAUUGGAGUAGGACUCCUCCACCUCCAAUUUCGGCCAAACCUUUAGGUUUUGAGGCUGCCUCCUCCCCUCCCUCCCACCUAUAUAUACGGAGGUUUUAGGGCUGAUUUGAGACGACUUUCUCACGGCUGCCCGACCACAUACCUCCAUAGUUUUUCCUCUAGAUCGCGUUUCUGCGGAGCUCGGGCGGAGCCCUGCUGAGACGAGAUCAUCACCAACCUCCGGAGCGCCGUCACGCUGCCGGAGAACUCUUCUACCUCUCCGUCUCUCUUGCUGGAUCAAGAAGGCCGAGAUCAUCGUCGAGCUGUACGUGUGCUGAACGCGGAGGUGCCGUCCGUUCGGUACUAGAUCGUGGGACUGAUCGCGGGAUUGUUCGCGGGGCGGAUCGAGGGACGUGAGGACGUUCCACUACAUCAACCGCGUUCUCUAACGCUUCUGCUGUGCGAUCUACAAGGGUACAUAGAUCACUCAUCCCCUCUCGUAGAUGGACAUCACCAUGAUAGGUCUUCGUGCGCGUAGGAAAUUUUUGUUUCCCAUGCGUCGUUCCCCAACAGUGGCAUCAUGAGCUAGGUUCAUGCGUAGAUGUCUUCUCGAGUAGAACACAAAAGGUUUUGUGGGCGGUGAUGUGCGUUUUGCUGCCCUCCUUAGUCUUUUCUUGAUUCCGCGGUAUUGUUGGAUUGAAGCGGCUUGGACCGACAUUACUCGUACGCUUACGAGAGACUGGUUUCAUCGUUACGAGUAACCCCCUUUGCUCAAAGAUGACUGGCAAGUGACGGUUUCUCCAACUUUAGUUGAAUCGGAUUUGACCGAGGAGGUCCUUGGAUGAGGUUAAAUAGCAAUUCAUAUAUCUCCGUUGUGGUGUUUGCGUAAGUAAGAUGCGAUCCUACUAGAUACCCUUGGUCACCACGUAAAAUAUGCAACAACAAAAUUAGAGGACGUCUAACUUGUUUUUGCAGGGUAUGAUUGUGAUGUGAUAUGGCCAAUGAUGUGAUGUGAUAUAUUGGAUGUAUGAGAUGAUCAUGUUGUAAUAGAAAUAUCGACUUGCACGUCGAUGGUACGGCAACCGGCAGGAGCCAUAGGGUUGUCUUUAUACUAACAUAUGUGCUUGCAGAUGCGUUUACUAUUUUGCUAGGAUGUAGCUUUAGUAGUAAUAGCAUAAGUAGCACGACAACCCCGAUGGCAACACGUUGAUGGAUGAUCAUGGUGUGGCGCCGGUGACAAGAAGAUCGUGCCGGUGCUUUGGUGAUGGAGAUCAAGAAGCACGUGAUGAUGGCCAUAUCAUGUCACUUAUGAAUUGCAUGUGAUGUUAAUCCUUUUAUGCACCUUGUUUUGCUUAGAACGACGGUAGCAUUAUGAGGUGAUCUCUCACUAAAAUUUCAAGACGAAAUUGUGUUCUCCCCGACUGUGCACCGUUGCGACAGUUCUUCGUUUCGAGACACCACGUGAUGAUCGGGUGUGAUAGACUCAACGUUCACAUACAACGGGUGACAAAACAGUUGCACACGCAGAACACUCGGGUUAAGCUUGACGAGCCUAGCAUGUGCAGACAUGGCCUCGGAACACGUGAGACCGAAAGGUCGAGCAUGAAUCGUAUAGUUGAUAUGAUUAGCAUAGGGAUGCUUACCACUGAAACUAUUCUCGACUCACGUGAUGAUCGGACUUGAGAUAGUGGAUUUGGAUCAUGUACCACUCAAAUGACUAGAGAGAUGUACUUUUUGAGUGGGAGUUCUUAAGUAAUAUGAUUAAUUGAACUAAUUUUCAUGAACAUAGUCUAAUGGUCUUUGCGAAUUACGAUGUAGCUUGCGCUAUAGCUCUACUGUUUUUUUAUGUUCCUAGAGAAAAUUUAGUUGAAAAUUGAUAGUAGCAACCUUUGCAGACUGAGUCUGUAAAACCGAGGAUUGUCCUCGUUGCUGCGCAGAAGGCUUAUGUCCUUAAUGCACCACUCGGUGUGCUGCACCUCGAGCGUCGUCUGUGGAUGCUGUGAACAUCCGACAUACACGUUUCUGAUGACUACACGAUAGUUCAGUGCAAAGUACUUAAUGGCUUAGAAGCAAGGCACACAGGGGAUAGGUCACGGAACAUAAGUGAUGUUCUAAAGAGAGGAAAUUGUGAUUUCAUGCUUGUGCCCUUGUUAAGAGGUACGAGACCUCCAACAAGAUUCUUUCACCACAAAGUAAAGGAGAAAAGCUCAAUCGUUGAGCGUGUGCUCAGAUUAUCUGAGUACGACAAUCACUCGAAUCGAGUGGGAGCUAAUCUUCCAGAUGAGAUAGUGAUGGUUCUCCAAAAUCACUGCCACCAAGCUUUGAGAGCUUCGUGAUGAACUAUAACAUAUCAAGGAUAGAUACAAUGACUCCUUGAGCGUAUUCGACGUACGUUUGACACGUGACGAAAGUAGAAAUACGAAAGAAGGAGACAUACNNNNNNNNNNNNNNNNNNNNNNNNNNNNNNNNNNNNNNNNNNNNNNNNNNNNNNNNNNNNNNNNNNNNNNNNNNNNNNNNNNNNNNNNNNNNNNNNNNNNAGUUUGGUUGUAAUUUGUAUUGUACUUUUUACUUUCUUAAAUUACUAGUAAUUUAAAAAUAGUUCUUGUCUUUCUAUUUUUCUUAGUAAUUUACUAUAAAUUACUUUAGUUGGUUUAAAAUUUAAGGUUUMYUAGUUUUCUAAAAUUAAUUAGUUUGGUAAUUUUUUGUUUCCAAAUUUAGCAAAAAAUAGUUCAAAAUUUCAAAAAUAGUUCCUAAUCUUCAAAAUUUGUUCUAACACGACGAUCCCUGGAUCUUCACCUUGACUUGAUCGAUCCCUUGGAUGCUCGAAGGGAGCUAGGGUUCUCCACAAAACCCUAUCAGAUCUAGGGUGAAGAACCCUAGCUCCCUUCGAGCGUCCAAGGGAUCGAUCAAGGCAAGGCAACGAUCCAGAGAUUGUUGUGUGAUCAGUCAGAAUCAAACUGGUGGACAGGUUAGGCAAGAAAUCGCCCUAGGUGCAGCUAAACCCUAGCGACAGGGAAACAUUAUACCAAGUCAUGCCGACCCUACACAAAGGUUCAUCAAUCUUACGCCUAUGGGUGUCCUAUAGAGGACCUUGCUAAGAGGGAGAUAUAACAUUUUAAUAGAUCAUGAGAGGGAUAUAAACAAACCCGCCUUCCAUGAGCCCAAAAUUCACAAAUACUAGGCUGGAUUCUACAAAAUCUAACAGACCGAAGCAUCAUGUUCUCUUGGUACUCCGCCACUGGUACGAGCUUGGCCGGCCAUUUAUCAUCUGUUUAUUUUCUAAAAUGUUCAAAAAAAACGAACAUCGAAUAGUCGAGGUUUCAAUCCUGUUCUUUUUCUAACAAAUUCUCCAGUCCCAAACAGGUAUUUUUCCAGCUUCAUUCUCCUUUUUUUCUUUUUCCUUUUUUCCUUUGCUUUUUUUCUUUGACCUGGUUCAAAGAUUUUUCUUUUUGUUUCUUUGAUCUGGUUCAAUGAUUUGAAAAGAGUUCAUCAAAUUUGUUCUUUUGUUUUUUAAAUGAUGAACUAUUUACAAUUUUUGAACUUUUCUCAAAUUUGAUGAUUUUUCCCCUAAUUUAAUGAACGUUUUUCCAAAUCGGUGAUUUUUUUAUAAAUUUGUUGAACUCUUUUCAAAUUCGAUGAACUUUCUUCCAAAAUCGGUGNNNNNNNNNNNNNNNNNNNNNNNNNNNNNNNNNNNNNNNNNNNNNNNNNNNNNNNNNNNNNNNNNNNNNNNNNNNNNNNNNNNNNNNNNNNNNNNNNNNNGCAAAAAUACGUGUGACCACUCUAAAAUACAUGGCAAAUUAGUCCCUAAAAUAUGGGCAUUUCUAAAACGGCAUUCGGACAAUACGGUCUAGCGCGAAAAACAAAUACGGCGUCUAUCCUACAUAGACAGCACGGUAAACAAUGCAUUUGGCACGCUAAACUAAAUCGAACAAAUACGCAAGGUGCACAAACGUAAUCUACAAGUAAAACUACGCGAAAACCAUAUAUUACACGCUUGGUUCCGACUUACGGAUUAAAAGAUACGGAUGUUUUAAAUAUCUAUUAAUUCCUAGAAAUUAUUUAAUCAAUAGAAAUAUACCUAAAUGACAAAAGGGCCGAAUCUGGAGGCGCAAUUUAGUAAAUAGCGCCAAGGGCGCGGGAUGGAUCUCACCUCGGGGGGGGCUCUUGGGCUGGAGGGGCGCAGGUGGAAGGCAGCCGGCCUGGCUGCCGAAGCUGGAGGUGGGCCGCGGGUGAGGCCGAAGCCUGGGCCUGGGGCGAAGGAGUUGGCCACGUGGGCCGAGGGAGCUGGUGCGGCCCAGGCCAGGGCAACCGCGUGGCGACGGGACGGUGGCGCGUGGAGCGUGGUCGGCGGGCGGCCGGCGACAUACGGCUUCCGGGCGGAGGGGGAAGGCGGGGGAGGCCGGAUCCGAGUCGGACGGGGACGCGUCCGGGACUCCCGGUCCGUACGGUUCCCCGGGGGGUUUGACGGGCCGGGUCCGGCGUCGGCGACGGGCCGGCGGAGGANNNNNNNNNNNNNNNNNNNNNNNNNNNNNNNNNNNNNNNNNNNNNNNNNNNNNNNNNNNNNNNNNNNNNNNNNNNNNNNNNNNNNNNNNNNNNNNNNNNNCCAAAGGUCACUUUUCAGCAGCCCAAAGGGCGGGAAGCGGCGGCCUUUGGUCCCGGUUGGUGGCACCAACCGGGACUAAAGGGUGGGCAUUGGUACCGGUUGGUGCCACGAACCGGUACCAAAGGCCCGUGUGCUGCCUGCGUCGCGGCCAAAGUUUAGUCCCACCUCGCUAGUUGAGAGGGGCGCGCACUGGUUUAUAUGCCCCACUGCCACACCCCUCUCGAGCUCCUCUCCGCUGCAGGCUUACGGGCCUACUUGCUAAUGCUUUGCCUGAUGGGCCUUCUUGGCCUACUGCGGGCCUGAAUCCUGGCCCAUGGAUGGGUUUCUAGUCGUAUUCACGCCGUGGCGGCCUAGUUGGUGGCUAAUUUUUUUAUUUUUUUCCCUAGUUUUUUUGUUUUCUUUUUUGUCUUUAUUUAUUUUAUUUCUUUUUUGUCAUUGGUACCGGUUGUCUGCCACAGCCAUGGUGUGGUUGAAUGUUUAGUCUCACCUCGCCAAGCGAAGGACUUCCGAGCCUGUUUAUAAGCUCCGCCGCGGCUGCAACGUGGAGAGAACAUCUAUUUUUUAAUUUUUUUCCAUUAAUUUUAGUUUUGUUUUUUCUUUAUUUUAGUUUUGUUUAUUUUUUUAGUUAGCUUAUUUUGUUUUGUUUCUCCUUACAACAAAAUACUUAUUAUUUUUAUUUUUUUGUUUCUAAUUACUUAUUUAUUUUAUUUCAUGAUAAUUAUUUUUGCCAUUAAAGUUUCUAACAAAAAAAGUUCUUUAUGAAAAUUCUUUUUCCUUUUAAUGAUUUUUAACAGAAAAUACUUUGAUAAUUUUAGUUGCAUUUAUUGAUUAUUUUUCUUUUAUUUUUUCUUUUGUUUAUUUUGUUUUGUUUCUACUUAAAUUCAAAGUGCUAGCUAGCUUAUUUUGUUUUGUUUCUACUUACAACAAAAUACUUAUUUAUUUUAUUUUGUUUUGUUUAUAAUUACUUAUUAAUUUUAUUUUAUGAUAAUUCUUUUUGCUAUUAAAGUUUCUCUCAUAUAUGGUGGACACUCCCUCACCUGAUUUUUCGACCGUCGAUGAUGGUCGCUAUUCCUUCUUCCCCUAAUGCAUAACAAAUAUCUAGUACAAGGAGAAGAAGGAAGAGCGACUCCCAUAACAACAGCCGACAUUCUUCUUCUCUCAUAUGCAUGAGCUAGAGUGGCAAGAGCAUGGCAUGCAUGCUCACACCUCAACACCCAAAAACACAAGAGAGGGGUGGGAGGGGGAGGUUUUAUAUAGGCAAUCCUUUAGUCCUGGUUCGUAUCUAAAACCGGGACUAAUAACAUAUGCGGCAUGCCACGUGUUUGCGCGGCACGCCACGUGGUUUCGCUUGAUCUUUAGUCCCGAUUUUUGUCCCGAACCGGGACUAAUAACAUAUGCGGCACGCCAUGUGUUUGCGCGUCACGCCACGUGGUUUCGCUGGAUCUUUAGACCCGGAAACUCGUGUGUUACAAAGGGAUUUCAUUUUUUUGAACUUAUUUGAACUCCAUAGUUUUUCUGUGUUCAAAAUGCACCAUUCAAAGCCACAUCAUCAAUUUACAACCCUUUCUGAAUUCAUUUGUCAUUUUUCUAUGCAUUUACUGAUUAUUAUGAGCUAUAAGACCAUGAAAUUGAAAAACAUUUGAAAUGAACUCUGAUAAGGUUCCAAGUUGGCAUGGUAUCAUCAUUUCACCCACAUAGCAUGUGCGAGAAAGUUGAGAGGGUUACGGCAAAAACUGGAUGCACUUCGUGUACAAACGGACAAUCUCUUUCGAAGUAUCAGGGUUUCAUACGGAAACUUCGUCUGUUACUAAGGGAUUUYUUAUUUUUAGUAACUUUAUUUAGUAACCUACCUAAGUUUUACGUUUUUCGUUGGUUCGUUAACUAAAAUCGACCAACCNNNNNNNNNNNNNNNNNNNNNNNNNNNNNNNNNNNNNNNNNNNNNNNNNNNNNNNNNNNNNNNNNNNNNNNNNNNNNNNNNNNNNNNNNNNNNNNNNNNNGUAAUAGCAUACAUUGUACAAGUUUUAGUAAGGAAGUUCAAAGUAGAUACGGUCAAACUAAGGAGUUUACUUGGCUGUGUUGUAAAGGUAGUGAAAUUUAGAGUAAGAACUCAAAGCCCCAUCAUGGCAGAAUAAAGUAGAAAGUACGAAGGUGUCCCCUACUGCAGUGACCAUAGGCUCUAUAGUAUGCAAUGUUGUGUACCUAUCCCCUGUGUGCCUUGCCAUGAAUUUGUCAAGGGAUACAAAAGUGAUCCAGGAAUGGAUUACUGGACAACGGUCAAAAGUUAUCCUUAGUAAUUAGUGGACUAAGAUUUUUUUUUUUCGAUUAUGGAGGUGAUAAAAGAAUUCGUCGUAAAGGGUUACGUCGAUGCAAGCUUUGACACUAAUUUGGAUAGCUCUGAAUAGUAAACCGGAUUCGUAUAGUGGAGCAUUCAUUGACUAAAUCAUUGAUCAAAGAUGGUCAAGGUUUCCUGGCGAUAGACAAGUGUUGUCACAUCAUAACGGGAUCACAUCAUUAGGAGAAUGAUGUGAUGGACAAGACCCAAACUAUGAACGUAACAUAUGAUCGUGUCAGUUUAUUGCCACUGUUUUCUGCAUGUCAAUGUAUCUGUUCCUAUGACCAUGAGAUCAUGCAACUCCCGGACACCGAAGGAAUACCUUGUGUGUAUCAAAUGUCACAACGUACCUAGGUGACUAUAAAGGUGCUCUACAGGUAUCUCAGAAGGUGUCUGUUGGGUUGGCGUGAAUCAAGACUAUGAUUCGUCACUCCGUGUGACGGAGAGGUAUCUCAGGGCCCACUCGAUAAUACAACAUCACAACAAUCCUUGCAAGCAAUGUGAAUAAGGAGUUAGUCAUGGGAUCUUUUAUUACGAAACAACUAAAGAGAUUUGCAUGUAACGAGAUUGAACUAGGUAUAGAUAUACCGACUAUCGAAUCUCGGGCAAGUAACAUACCGAAAGACAAAGGGAACACCAUACGGGAGUAAACGAAUCCUUGACAGGGAGGUUCAACCGAUAAAGAUCUCCGUAGAAGAUGUAGGAGCCAAUAUGGGCAUCCAGAUCCCUCUAUUGGUUAUUGAUCAGAGAGUGUCUCACGUCAUGUCUACAUAGUUUCUUGAACCCGCACGGUCUACACACUUAAGGUUCGGUGAUAUUUCGGUAGAGUUGAGUUAUGUAUCUUGGUGACCGAAAGUUGUUCAGCGUCCCAUAUGAGAUCUCGGAUGUCAUGAGGAGCUCCUGAAUGGUCCGGAGGUAAAGAUUGAUAUAUAGAAAAGUUGCAUUUGGCUUCCGGCAAGUUUUCGGGCAAUGGGUUGGUGACUUGUUGGAUGACAUUCAUCAUGCAACAGUUAUAACAUGAAGAGAUAUGUGGCUAGCUCCCGUUCGUCAAUGUGAUGUAGGCAUGCAUUCCGUGUGUAGUCAUAUGUGCUAAGGGAAAGAACUUGCAUGACAUCUAUUGUACAUCACUCCCGUGGCAGCGGGUUCCAAAUGGAUACUACGGGAUAUUAAGGUUCUCCUUUUAAUAAAGAACCGACCAACACAUUAGCACUUGGUGAACACAUGAACUCCUCAAACUAUGGUCAUCACCGGGAGUGGUUCCGGUUAUUGUCACUCCGGGGUUGCCGGAUCAUAACACAUAGUAGGUAACUACAACUUGCAAGAUCGGAUCUAAAACCAACAUAUAUUGGUGACAACAUAAUAAUUUCAGAUCUGAAAUCAUAGCACUUGGGCCCUAGUGACAAGCAUUAAGCAUGGCAAAGUAGUAGCAACAUCAAUCUCAGAAAUAGUGGAUACUAGGGAUCAAUCCCCGUCAAAACUAACUCGAUUACAUGAUAGAUCUCAUCCUACUCAUCACCGCCCAGCGAGCCUACGAAUAGAUUACUCACGAACGAUGAAGAGCUUCAUGGAAUUGGAGAGGGAAGAAAGUUGAUGAUGACGAUGGCAACGAUCUCCUUGAUCCGGAGCCCAAAACGGACUCCAGAUCUGCCAUCCAGGGUAAGAACGGGAUGUGGCGGCGCCUGUGGAUCGAAAACGCGAUGAAAUCUUCUCUCUUGAUUUUUUCCGGGACGAAAGGGAAUAAAUAGCGCUGGAAUUGGGGGCGGCAGAGCCACGUGGGCCCCACAAGCUUAGUAGCCGCGGCUAGGAGGGGAGGCCGCGGCUAUAGGUCUUGUGGCACACUGGCCCGUCCCCUCGAGUGGAUCUUUGCGCAGGUAUUUUUCAUAUUUUCCAUAAAUAUUCUCCGUAAAUUUUCAGGACGUUCCGAGAACUUUCAUUUCUGCACAAAAAUAACACCAUGGCAAUUCUGCUGAAAACAGCGUCAGUCCGGGUUAGUUCCAUUCAAAUCAUGCAAAUUAGAGUCCAAAACAAGGGCAAAAGAGUUUGGAAAAGUAGAUACGAUGGAGACGUAUCACCAGAAAAAACCCACAACUCGAAGAGAAUUACAAAGAUAUGAAAUCAUGCAUAAGAGAGAUCAGAAGAAACUCAAAUAAGAUUCAUAGAUAAUCUGAUCAUAAAUCCACAAUUCAUCGGAUCUCGACAAACACACCGCAAAAGAAGAUUACAUCAGAUAGAUCUCCAUGAAGAUCAUGGAGAACUUUGUAUUGAAGAUCCAAGAGAGAGAAGAAGCCAUCUAAUUACUAGCUAUGGACCCGUAGGUCUAUGGUGAACUACUCACGCAUCAUCGGAGAGGUCAUGGUGUUGAUGAAGAAGCCCUCCGUGUCCAAAUCCCCCCUCCGGCAGGGCACCAGAACGUGCCCCAGAUGGGAUCUUGCGGAGACAGAAGCUUGCGGUGGCGGAAAAGUACUUUCGAUGAUCUCCUGAUUAUUUUGAGAUUUUUAGGGAAUAUAUAGGCGCAACCCCUAGGUCAGGGGACGCUCAGGGGGCCCACAAGCCUGGAUGGCGCGGCCUCCCCCCUCGUCGCGGGGUGAGGGCUUGUGGGGCCCCUAUCCCCUGUGUGCCUUGGCUCGCAAACUCCCCGAUCUUCUUCCGUUCCAGAGAAAAUCUUUCCGGGGAUUUUCUUCCGUUUGGACUCCGUUUCAAAAUCUCCUCUGAAAGGGGUCAAAAACAUGGAAAAAACAGGAACUGACACUUGGCACUGAGUUAAUAAGUUAGUCCCAAAAAAUAAAUAAAAGGCAUGCAAAACAUCCAAAGUUUGACAAGAUAAUAGCAUGAAACCACCAAAAAUUAUAGAUACGUUGGAGACGUAUCAGCGUGUACGAAUUUUUUUGUUUCCCAUGUGACGUUCCCCAACAGCGCGCUGAGCGCACCCACUAGGUAUAGUCCCCGAGGCUGUCAUCGACUGAAGCAGUCGGCGGUAGUCUCAGUUUCCUUGUUUGUUCAAUAAAGGCUCGUAGGGUGUGGACCCCUUUUCUUUCCUCUAUCCCUCCUGUGGGGGGCGCUGAGCGCACCCACUUGGUGUAGUCCCCGAGGCUAUCGUCGACCGAAACAGUCGGUAGUAGUCUUACAGUUGCGAUAUUGUAUUUUGCUUUACUUGUGUUUGUUGAUGGCAGACUGCUUUUGUGCCCGGGGGCCAUGAUGAUGCCAUGGAGAAAGAGUUUCAGGGACUCCGACUCAGCCUUGACGCAGAAAAAGCCAAGAACAAGCGAGUGGAGAAGGAGAAACGGACAACUGAAGGUAAGCUUUUGUUGUCCAAUUGAUUCCCGCUUUGGUUGUCUUUCCUAUCCGAUUGAGUUUGUCUUGUGAGGUCGCCUUUCUGAGAGGCUGAAGAAUUACAUUUCUCUAGUUACCAUGGAGGACGCUCUCGAGAAGAGGGAUGAAGAGCUCGCGCUGGCUUGGAAGGAGGACAAGUUGAAGACCCAGGCGGUCGAAGCCAAGCUUAAAACGGUUGGAAUGCUUGAAGAAGAUAAUCGGCUUCUAAAGGCCGGUGCGAAGAAAACUGAUGCAGAGCUUGCCGAGCUGAAGAGGCAUUAUGCCGAGUGGGAGGCCAAAUUUGAGAAAGUCACCGCCAAGAAAGAUGAGCUGGAGAAGGUCAUUGAGGACUUCAGCGUGGAACACUACGAGAAGCUUAAAGGUAUGUUAAGUGUCGGAAUGCUUUCCUAUUGCCACUUUGCAAUUUCCGAGUGACGUUCUCUCAUCCUUUUGUUUUCUCACUAAAUUCAGCCUUCUCCGCUGAUGUCGAAGAAGAGACGAUGCGAAUAGAGAAAGAGCUUGAUCCCAAGAGAUGGCUUCUGAAGGAUAGCGCUGCAUUGGCUCUCCUCAGGCUGGAGGCUUGCGUCGAUUAUGUAUUGGGAUGUUUCAAAUGGCUCCAGCUGGCCGUUGGGGAUAUAGAACAGGAGAAAACCCUUGAUGAUGUAUCCCUGAAGGACACCUAGACCAUCGUGAACCGUGUGAAGGCCAUCCCCAAUGAACUCAAGUCUUGGAAGAAGUCAUCGUCAAGGGCCGGAGCCGACAUCGCCCUUUCGCUCGUUUGCAUCCAUBNCARUGGGUGAUGAAGAGRRGUUGAAGAGUCUAGGAAAGGUACGGUAAGGUUAGGAAAGGUACGGUUACCGGUUACCCGGGGUUUAGGUUAAAACCCGGGAAAAGUACGGNNNNNNNNNNNNNNNNNNNNNNNNNNNNNNNNNNNNNNNNNNNNNNNNNNNNNNNNNNNNNNNNNNNNNNNNNNNNNNNNNNNNNNNNNNNNNNNNNNNNCAUUCCAGAAACCCUCGUGACGCCCGUGAUCUCAUCCGGGACUCCGAACAACAUUCGGUAACCAACCAUAUAACUCAAAUACGCAUAAAACAACGUCGAACCUUAAGUGUGCAGACCCUGCGGGUUCGAGAACUAUGUAGACAUGACCCGAGAGACUCCUCGGUCAAUAUCAAAUAGUGGGACCUGGAUGCCCAUAUUGGAUCCUACAUAUUCUACGAAGAUCUUAUCGUUUGAACCUCAGUGCCAAGGAUUCAUAUAAUCCUGUAUGUCAUUCCCUUUGUCCUUCGGUAUGUUACUUGCCCGAGAUUCGAGCGUCAGUAUCCGCAUACCUAUUUCAAUCUCGUUUAUCGGCAAGUCUCUUUACUCGUUUCGUAAUACAAGAUCCCGCAACUUACACUAAGUCACAUUGCUUGCAAGGCUUGUGUGUGAUGUUGUAUUACCGAGUGGGCCCCGAGAUACCUCUCCGUCACACGGAGUGACAAAUCCCAGUCUUGAUCCAUACUAACUCAAGUAACACCUUCGGAGAUACCUGUAGAGCAUCUUUAUAGUCACCCAGUUACGUUGCGACGUUUGAUACACACAAAGCAUUCCUCCGGUGUCAGUGAGUUAUAUGAUCUCAUGGUCAUAGGAAUAAAUACUUGACACACAGAAAAUAGUAGCAACAAAAUGACACAAUCAACAUGCUACGUCUAUUAGUUUGGGUCUAGUCCAUCACGUGAUUCUCCUAAUGACGUGAUCCAGUUAUCAAGCAACAACAUCUUGUUCAUAAUCAGAAGACACUGACUAUCUUUGAUGAACUGGCUAGCCAACUAGAGGCUUGCUAGGGACGGUGUUUUGUCUAUGUAUCCACACAUGUAAAUGAGUCUUCAUUCAAUACAAUUAUAGCAUGGAUAAUAAACGAUUAUCUUGAUACAGGAAUUAUAAUAAUAACUAUACUUAUUAUUGCCUAUAGGGCAUAAUUCCAACACUUGGCCCAUCUAGCCUCCCGGGGUCGUGGCCCCCUUCCGGUGGACCCCCGGGGCCACUCCCGGUGGUCCCGCUGGUCCCGGUACGUUACCGGCGACGCCCGAAACACUUCCAGUGUCCAAAACCAUCCGUCCUAUAUAUCAAUCUUUACCUCCGGACCAUUCCGGAGCUCCUCGUGACGUCCGGGAUCUCAUUCGGGACUCCGAACAACUUUUGAUAACCUCUUAUAACAAUUCCCUAUAACCCUAGCGUCAUUGAACCUUAAGUGUGUAGACCCUACGGGUUCAGGAGACACGCAGACAUGACCGAGACACCUCUCCGGCCAAUAACCAUCAAUGAGGUCUGGAUACCCAUGGUGGCUCCCACUUGCUCCAUGAUGAUAUCAUCGGAUGAACCACGAUGUCAAGGAUUCAAUCAAUCCCGUAUACAAUUCCCUUUGUCUGUCAGUAUAGAACUUGCCCGAGAUUCGAUCAUCGGUAUACCUAUACCUUGUUCAAUCUCGUUCGUAAGUCUCUUACUCGUCGUAGCACGUCAUCGUGUAGUACCUAACUCCGUUAGUACUACUAUUGAGUCUAGUAUAGUAUAGUAUUCGUUACCGUAACCGGAGGUUACGGGACCGUAAGGUAACGGUACUUAACCCGUCCGUUACCCGGUUACCNNNNNNNNNNNNNNNNNNNNNNNNNNNNNNNNNNNNNNNNNNNNNNNNNNNNNNNNNNNNNNNNNNNNNNNNNNNNNNNNNNNNNNNNNNNNNNNNNNNNGGUCCCGGUUGGUGGCACCAACCGGGACUAAAGGGGGCAUUGGUACCGGUUGGUGCCACGAACCGGUACCAAUGGCUUUGCUAUAUAAGCUAGCAGUUGUGAAAUUUCGUCAGUUUCUUUGAUUCCUCCGACGACGCCGCCAGGCUGCCCGAGCUCGCCGUCGUCGCCCUGCCCCCGACCACGCCGUCGUUGCCCGGCCCGACCACGCCGUCGUAGCCCUUGCCCCCCGACCAUGCCGCGCGCCCUCGUCGUGCCUCUACCGCGCCCCUACCCGCCCCGUCGACGCCGUCGCCGCCCUUUGCCCCGUCGAUCGCCAUUGCCCCGCCCCGACCACGCCGUUGUCGCCCCUGCCCCGACCACGCCGUCGCCGUCGCCCUCUACACCGACGUCGGCGCCGUGCCUCUCCUUGGCCAGGCCAGCGCCGCCCACCCUGUCCUCUCCUUUGUUCAUAUAAAUGAUGUAUUUUUUUUUGCAUUUUUAUAAAAAUGUAUAUAUGUAUGUAUGUUCUCUAUGCAUAUAAAAGUUAUAUUUUUAGUACAUUUGGGUACAUUUUAGGUUAGUUUUAUCUAUAUAUGUUCUCUGAUUUAGUACAUUUUAGGUUAGUUUCAUUUUUAGAAAAGUUUUAUAUAUUUAGGAAAAGAAGGAAGAGAAGGAAGAAGAAGAAAAAGUUUUAUAUAUGCAAAAGUUACAUUUUUAGAAAAGUAUUAUAUAUAGCUAAGAAGAUAACGAAGAAGAAGAAAAACAAUGAGAGGAGAAAAAGGAAAAUAAGAAGAGGAAGAAAGGAGAAGAAGAGGAGAGGAAGAAGAGGAGAAAUAAAUAAGAAGAGGAAAAAAGAAGAAAAAAUUUCCUUUUUUUUCUUCUUUCUCCUCUAUUCCUUUCUUCUUCUUCCUUUUUUUUCUUUUUUUUCUUCGAUUGCUUCUCUUCUAUUCCUUUCUUCUUCUCCUCUUUUUAUUUCUUCUUUUGUCUUCUUAUAUUUUAUCGGGUAUGUCGUUGUCGAUAUACCCCCUCCCGAUCGAACUUCAACACGAGGGGGGGUACCGAUAUACCUCCUCCCCGAUAACAUUAUUUUCCAUGUAUAUGUAUGUCGCGUCGUUGUCGAUAUAACCCCCUCCCGGAUAACUUCGACAUGAGAGGCGGUCGAUAUAUAUACCCACUCUCGACCGUGACAACUUAUACCACGGGAGCACCCCCCUCGGCCCUCUCGCUCAACCAAAACUCUCGAGGACACCCAAACCCUAGAGAAAAAAUGAUGUUGGUCUCCUACCCCCUCCCGCCGCGCCCCUACCCGACAAACUCUCUCGAGGCCACCCAAAUUUACCAAGUUAAAAGAGUGUUGUCGUCGAGGCCACCCCAAACUCUUGAAGCGUUGUGUCGAGGCCACCCCAAACCCUUGAAGCGUUGUCUAGGCCACCCCAAACCCUAGAGAAGCAGCGUCGAGGCCACUAACAUGAUUCCUUAUUUUGAUUAGCUAGCUAGUUCUACGUUUGCCACUAAUAUAUAUCCAUCUGUACCAUGUUUGAAUAAUAAUUGACAUGUUGUAAAUAUUUGCAGAAACUACGGAUCACUCCCGAGACGAAAAGGAAGAAGCGAUGUUGGGGGAGAUAAUCGCACAAGGAAGUGAUGUCAUUGCGUCGUUUCUUAGAGACACCGAUGGUCUGGAAGAACCGGGUGAAGAAGAGGGCUAUGUUCAUGAUCAUCUGGAAGGACCAGGUGAAGAAGAGGGCGUUCAUGAUGAUCUGGAAGGACCGGGUGAAGAAGAGGGCGUUCAUGACGGCUCCGUUGACCGAACCGAGUCCGGCGAGGUAUAUAUAUAUUAGUUAAGCCCGUGCUGACUAGUUAAUUGAUGCAUUCUAUUUGUUUUCAUAUGUACACUAUUAUUAAUUAACUCUCGUUCUUUCUUUCUUUUUCUCUUACGUCCCUCCGGWMUCCGUACCUCUAACGUUACGGUAAACGAACGACGGACCCGAAANNNNNNNNNNNNNNNNNNNNNNNNNNNNNNNNNNNNNNNNNNNNNNNNNNNNNNNNNNNNNNNNNNNNNNNNNNNNNNNNNNNNNNNNNNNNNNNNNNNNCCUCGUGACGUCCGGGAUCUCAUUCGGGACUCCGAACAACUUUUGAUAACCUCUUAUAACAAUUCCCUAUAACCCUAGCGUCAUUGAACCUUAAGUGUGUAGACCCUACGGGUUCAGGAGACACGCAGACAUGACCGAGACACCUCUCCGGCCAAUAACCAUCAAUGAGGUCUGGAUACCCAUGGUGGCUCCCACUUGCUCCAUGAUGAUAUCAUCGGAUGAACCACGAUGUCAAGGAUUCAAUCAAUCCCGUAUACAAUUCCCUUUGUCUGUCAGUAUAGAACUUGCCCGAGAUUCGAUCAUCGGUAUACCUAUACCUUGUUCAAUCUCGUUACCGGUAAGUCUCUUUACUCGUUCCGUAGCACGUCAUCGUGUGACUAACUCCUUAGUCACAUUGAGCUGAUGAUGAUGUUCUACCGAGUGGGCCAGAGAUACCUCUCCGUCACGCGGAGUGACAAAUCCCGAUCUUGAUUCGUACCAACCCAACAGACACUUUCAGAGGUACCCGUAGUGCACCUUUAUAGUCACCCAGUUACGUUGUGACGUUUGAUACACCGAAAGCACUCCUAUGGUAUCCGGGAGUUGCACAAUCUCACGGUCGAAGGAAAACACACUUGACAUUAGAAAAGCUUUAGCAUACGAACAAUACGAUCUAGUGCUACGCUUAGGAUUGGGUCUUGUCCAUCACAUCAUUCUCCCAAUGAUGUGAUCCCGUUAUCAAUGACAUCUAAUGCCCAUGACCAGGAAACCAUGAUCAUCUAUUGACUAACGAGCUAGCCAACUAGAGGCUUGCUAGGGACACAUUGUGAUCUAUUUAUUCACACAUGUAUUACUGUUUCCAGUUAAUACAAUUAUAGCAUGAACAAUAGACGAUUAUCAUGAACAAGGAAAUAUGAUAAUAACCAUUUUGUUAUUGCCUCUAGGGCAUAUUUCCAACACAUACACCAUCUCCAAAGUCCUGCACAACGGAGCUUAUCGGUUGUACAACCUAGAUGACGAGGUGGAAGAGCCGAGGACCUGGAACGCGGACCUGCUCCGCAAGUUCUACACGUAGAACUUACCCUUUUCAUCCCUCCAAUGAAUACUAAUGAUUAGAAGAAUAAAGGGCUUACUUUCUUCAACUAUUCACAAAUACUUCACUUCGGUGAAACACGCCGCCAGUGGGUGUAUGAGCGAAUCUGCUUUCGCUUAAGAUGAAACCUUCCCCGAGUGCGGACAACCUCCACGCGCGUGAGCUUAGUUGCGAACCAGCUUUCGGCUAAGUUAAAACAGUUCAGAAUGGAGACAUGAUCGUCAUUUAGAUAUCGACAUGGGAAGGACCAUCAACAUGUUCACAAGAACUAUCGUUUAAUCUUUGUAGCGAACCUGUUUCUCCUAAGGUAAACCCUUCCCGAGUGGGGACAAACUCCACACUCGGGGCUUAGCUGCGAACCAGCUUUCGCCUAAGUUAAAGUGGUUCCAAAUGAAGGCAAGAUCUUCAUUCGAACGCCAAGAUGAACACAACAAUCAUUUCUUGGUAGCAAACCUGUUUCGCCUAAGGUAAAUCCUUCCCCGAGUGGGGACAAGCUCCAUGCUCGGGGGCUUAGCUGCGAACUAGCUUUCGCCUAAGUUAAAUCGGUUCCGAAUGAAGACAAGACCUUCAUUCGGACGCCAAGAUGAAUAGAACAAUCGUCCCUUAGCAGAGGAUCCGCUUUCGCUUAGGGUAAAACUUGCCUCGAGUGAGGACAACUUCCACACUUGGGGGCUUAGCUACAAACCAGCUUUCGCCUAAGUCAAAAAUGAUCCUGAGUGAGCAAAACGUCCACACUCGCGGGCUUAGUUGCGAACCAGCUUUCUCCUCAGUCAAAAACAAUCCCGAGUGAGGACAACUUCCACACUCGGGGGCUUAGCUAUGAACCAGCUUUCGCCUAAGUCAAGAACGAUCCCGUUUGAGGACAAGUUCUACACUCGGGGGCUUAGCUAUGAACCACCGUUUCGCCUAAGUCAACCGAGUGAGGACAACUUCCACACUCGGGGGUUUAGCUGCGAACCACCUUUUGCCUAAGUCCAAAACGAUCCCGAGUGAAGACAACUUCCACACUCGGGGCUUAGCUAUGAACCAGCUUUCGCCUAAGUACAAAAUGAUCCGAGUGAGGACAACUUCGACACGUCGGGGCUUAGCUGCGAACCAGCUUCCAAGUCAAAAAUGAAUCCUGAGUGAGGACAACUUNNNNNNNNNNNNNNNNNNNNNNNNNNNNNNNNNNNNNNNNNNNNNNNNNNNNNNNNNNNNNNNNNNNNNNNNNNNNNNNNNNNNNNNNNNNNNNNNNNNNACGUUUCGUACGUCCACGAGGCGACCGCCACCUACUCCGUUCCUUCCUACUCUGAGGGCGAGAUCUAGAGCCGUUUUCGGGUAGUCCGGAGUCAAGGAGAUCGUCGCCAUUGUCAUCAUCAACCUUCUUAUCUCUCCAAUUCCAUGAAGCUCUUCAUCGUUCGUGAGUAAUCUAUUCGUAGGCUCGCUGGGCGGUGAUGAGUAGGAUGAGAUCUAUCAUGUAAUCGAGUUAGUUUUGACGGGGAUUGAUCCCUAGUAUCCACUAUGUUCUGAGAUUGAUGUUGCUACUACUUUGCCAUGCUUAAUGCUUGUCACUAGGGCCCGAGUGCCAUGAUUUCAGAUCUGAAAUUAUUAUGUUGUCACCAAUAUAUGUGUGCUUCAGAUCCGAUCUUGCAAGUUGUAGUUACCCACUAUGUGUUAUGAUCCGGCAACCUCGGAGUGACAAUAACCGGAACCACUUCCAUUGAUGACCAUAGUUAGAGGAGUUCAUGUGUUCACCAAGUGCUAAUGCGUUGGUCUGGUUCUUUAUUAAAAGGUGAACCUUAAUAUCCCGUAGUAUCCUUUUGGACCCCGCUGCCACGGGAGGGAUGGACAAUAGAUGUCAUGCAAGUUCUUUUCCCUAAGCACGUAUGACUACACACGGAAUGCAUGCCUACAUCACAUUGACGAACGGGAGCUAGCCACAUAUCUCUCUCUGUUAUAAAUGUUUCAUGAUGAAUGUCAUCCGACGAAUCACCGACCCAUUGCCUACGAGUUUGUCCCACUGCUGCCGUUACUUGUUUUGCUCUGCUGCUAUUACUACUACUGCUGCUAGUGUUACUUGCUGCUACUGUUACUCGCUUUGUCCUGCUGCUGCUAUUACUUGUUUUGCUCUGCUGUUGUUACUACUGUUGCUGCUACUGUUACUUGCUACUGCUGUUACUCGCUACUGUUGCUACUUGCUACUGCUGUCACUACUGCUGUUCCUUGCCACUGCUGUUACUCGUUACACUGCUGCUACCUGCUAUAAUACUUUUUCUGGCACCGUUGUCGGGAAAGAAUAUUUCCCGUCCACGGGAAACUUACUGGCGCCAUUGAUACGACAUUUAGGAAUAGUCUACCUUGUCAAGAGAUCGUUUCUAGCGUUGUUAUCAUACUACUUUGCUGCUUAUAUCCUGCUUGCAGACACUAAUCUUUCAGGUGUGGUUGAAUCUGACACAUUCAUCUGCUAACACUUGAGAAUAUUCUUUCAAUUCCCGUCGCGCGAACCAACAAAUUUGGGUUGAAUACUCUACCCUCGAAAACUGCCGCGAUCCCACGUGUUGGUGGGCUAUUGCAAGACAAUUUCUAAUUGUUGAGCAACUGGAAGCAACUCUUUUCUGGCUCUGUUGCCGUGGAGGCAUCAAGUCAGGAAUAGUUGCACGUCAACAACAUUUUUUUGGCGCCGUUGCCGGGGAAGGAUGGCUAUAUUCUCUGAGUCACUUGGGAUUUAUAUCUGCUGAUCACUAUGAAGAAUCUGAAAGAUACCAAAAACCAAAGUCUUGCCCUCAACUACGAGGGGAGGUAAGGAACUGCCAUCUAGCUCUGCACUUGAUUCACCUUCAGUUAUGAGUAAGUUUGCGACACCACCUCCUGCUAGAAAUCUUGAUAUUUCGCCUGUGCUUGAUGAUGCUUAUGAUGCUACUAUGCCUGAUACUGCUAGAGAUGCUAUGCCUGAUACUACUAGAGAUGCUAUGCUUGAUACUGCUUUGCCUGAUGAUGCUAUAGAUGCUAUUUUGCCUGAUGAUGCUAUGCUUGAUACUGCUAGAGAUACUGCUUCGCCUGAUAUGCCACUAGGGGUAUUCCUUGAUGCUCAUAUUUCUAGAGUUAGUGCCAAUGCUCGUGAUGCUUCUGAAACUGCCGAUACUAUUGAGAUAGAACCUGCUUUUGCUCCUACUAGAUCUAGCUCUCCUAGAUAUGAAUUGCCUGAUAUGCCUGAGGGUUAUGUUAUGGAGGGAGAGAUAGUUGAGGAUUUUCUUGUGUGUAAGGAUGCCUAUGACACUGAGAAAUUACUUCUCAAGUGGAAGGAAAAAUCUCUGAAAGCUAGGAUGAAAUACAAACCGAAGUUUGCCACUUCACCUAUCUUUAUCACCGAUGAGGAUUAUGAAUUCUCUGUCGACCCUGAGAUAAUGUCUCUAGUCGAAUCUGAUCCUUUCCACGGUUAUGAGUCUGAGACAGUCGUAGCCCAUCUUACCAAACUACACGAUAUAGCCACCCUUUUCACUAGUGAGGAGAAGAUCCGCUACUACUAUAUCCUUAAGUUGUUUCCUUUCUCUCUAAAGGAUGACGCUAAAGCCUGGUUCACUUCUCUUACUCCUGGAUGUGUGAGUAGUCCCCGUAUAUGGUCUAUUACUUCUGUGAGAAAUAUUUCCCUGCCCAUAAGAAGCAAGCUGCCUUGCAGGAAAUAUACAACUUUGCUCAACUCAAAGAAGAGAGUCUCCCACAAGCUUGGGGGAGGCUCAUCCAGCUACAGAAUGCUUUGCCUGAUCACCCUCUUAAGAAGGACGAGAUACUUGAUAUCUUCUAUAACGGACUUACCGAUGCUUCUAGAGACCACCUAGAUAGUUGUGCCGGUUGUGUUUUUAGGGAACGAACCGUAGAACAAGCUGAGAUCCUACUGAAUAACAUCUUGAUCAACGAUAAUGCUUGGACUAUUCCCGAACCACCUCCUAAGCCAACUCCUAAGAAAAGAGGUAUUCUAUUCCUUAGUCCCGAAGAUAUGCAAGAAGCCAAGAAAUCUAUGCAAGAGAAAGGCAUUAGAUAUGAAGAAGUGAAAAAUCUAGCGCCUAUCGAAGAGAUCCAUGGUCUCGAUAACCCGAUACAAGUAGUAGAGGUGAAUUCUCUGCGUAGAUUCAAUGAGAGUGAUAUUCCUUUUGACAAACCUGCUAGCCUAUGCUUGAUGAAUUUGACAACUUUGUUGCCAAACAAGAGAGUUUCAAUGAUUAUGUUAGCAGACAAUUGGAACAAAGUACUCGUAUGCUUAGUCAUUUAAGUGCUUGUGUAGACAGAAAUGUCAAUGAUCUGAAGCUUCUGAGUAAACAUGCCUCUAUGAUUACUACUCAGGUAGAAAAAGUACUUAAAGCUUAGAAUGACUUGCUCAAUGAAUUAAAUGACAACUCUCUCAGAGUCAUUACCAGAGGAGGCAAAAUGACUCAGGAACCUUUGUAUCCUGAAGGCCAUCCUAAGAGAAUUGAUCAAGAUUCUCAAGGAAUUAAUGCUGAUACACCCAGUCAUCCUAAGAAUAAGAAGAAGGAUGAUAGAAACCUACAUGUCAGUUCACCAAAUACUGUUACACCUGAAGAACCAAAUAAUAUUUCUGCGUCUGAUGCAGAAACACAAUCUGGUGAUGAACAUGAACCUGGUGAUAAUAUGGACAACGAUGUUCAUAAUAAUGCUCAACCAAGCAAUGAUGAGGAUGUGGAGAUUGAACCUACGGUUAAUCCUGAUAACCCACAACCUAAGAGAUACGAUAAGAAUGACUUCACUACUAGGAAGCAUGGUAAAGAAAGGGAGCCAUGGGUUCAGAGACCUAUGCCCUUUCCUCCUAAGCCAUCCAAGAAAAAGGAUGAUGAGGAUUUUGAGCGCUUUAUUGAAAUGAUAAGACCCGUCUUUCUGCAGAUGCGGUUAAUUGAUAUGCUCAAAAUGUCUCCAUAUGCCAAGUACAUGAAAGAUAUUGUGACUAAUAAACGAAAGAUACCAGAUCUUGAGAUCUCCACCAUGCUCGCCAAUUACACUUUCAAAGGUGGAACUCCUAAGAAACUUGGUGAUCCCGGAGUGCCCACUAUACCUUGCUCCAUUAAAGGAAACUACGUAAGAACUGCCUUAUGUGACCUGGGAACCGGUGUUAGUGUUAUGCCUCUGAACUGGAUAAGUUGACACUCACUGAAAUUUCUCUGCAAAUGGCCGGCAAAUCAACUGUUUUCCCUGUCGGCAUUUGCGAGGAUGUGCCUGUUGUGGUUGCUAACACCACUAUCUUAACAGACUUUGUUAUCUUGGAUAUUCCCGAGGACGAUGCCAUGGUUGUCAUCCUCGGAAGACCCUUUUUAAACACUGCAGGGGCUGUUAUAGAUUGCAACAAAGGCAAUGUCACUUUCCAUGUCAAUGGUAAUGAGCAUACAGUACACUUUCCGAAGAAACUAUAUCAAGUACAUAGCAUCAUUGCUAUCGAAAAACUUCAUCGAUUCUUAUUGGGAGCUUUGAAUGCCCUAUUCCUCGUGUUAAGAUGAAGUAUGAUUUGCUUGUUGGGGAGAUUCAUAUCCCCAUUGAGGUGACUUAGUGGCUAUUCGACAAUUCUCCGUUUCCUUUUGCAAUUCGGAAAAGUUUUGUCAUGAGGAUUUGAUCAACCCCAUUGACAGAUUUCUUUCGAUGACCAUGAAAUGGAUGAAUCAAAGAGUCACGUACCUCUGUUUUAAGCUUUCACUUUCUGUUGCUUAGAAGAAAAAUGAUAGGUUUAGUUUAGUUUUCCCUGUUUCCUGUUUUAGCAUCCCGGAGAAAAGUACCCCGAAAAUAAAAGUUCUUCGAUGGUCCUGAAAAUCUGGUAUGAUAUUUUUUGAAAUAUUCGAAAAAUACUGGGACUGAGAGCUUGCCUGGGGGCCACACCAGUGGGCCACAAGACCUGACCCCGCGGCCUUCCCCCUGGCCGAGGGGACCAAGCUUGUGGGGCUCAUAUGGACCCCCUCCACUCAUUCCAACUCGCAUCCUCUUCUUCUACCUCCAGAAAAAAUUGUUUCGCAGCUCAAACCCGUGUUCUUGCUCAUUUGGCUGUGAUUUUCGAUCUCCUUGCUCAAAGCACCAUUCUCCGAACCGUUUUGGGGAAAUUACUCCUUGGUAAGUGACUCCUCCAUUGGUCAAAUUAGUUUCUACUCUAGUGCUUAAUCCUUCGCGUAUUCUUGCUACCUUGGUGACCCUGUUCUUGAGCUUGAAAUAUUGAUUUUAGCUAGUCCCAAGUAGUUUUAGCGCGUGAUACGGUCUCUAGGCACUAGUAUGAGUAGUUGCUACGAGUUGGGUUAAUCCUUAUUCACCUUUCUUUCGAAGUCUCUAAAAAUUUCAGAAUUUUUCACAGUUAGAAAAAGGAAAAGAUAAGGAGGUUCUUGAGAGGCUCUUCAAGCCGUAACCCCAAGGAGGAUGAGAAGAACCACCCCAAGUACGUGGUUCCUCGAGUCACAGAAGUUCGAGCGUGCGAGUGGCCCAGUGAUGAAUUUUUCCACGCCGCUGGGCUUUAUGAAGACUUUUAUUACCUGGUGGAGAACACAGGUCUUACCGCGUUCGUUGAAGAGAAGUGUCCACAAUACCUCCUCCUCACCAAUAUUUUCGUUCAAAGCUUCAACAUUUAUCCGAGGAAGAAUCCUCCUAUGGUUGAGUUCAUGUUAUACGAUAUCCCCCAGUGCAUGACACUAUAGGAUUUUUGCAAUGUAUGCAAAUUACCUUAUGUUGGGGAUAUUCAUGAUCCUCGUCCAAGGGACUUGGAGGAUUUCAUAGGUACUAUUGCUGUUGGAGAGGAGAGAGGAGUGUUUCACGCUAGAAUUGCUAGCAUACAUUUUCCUGUGCUUCGGUACUUCUCAUUAUUUGUGGGAAAAUGUUUGAUUGGCCGUGGGGAGGCUGGAUCACUUAGCUCUCCAGACCUUGCGGUUUUGCGUGAAGGCCUUUAUAACAAUAAGACUUAUAGCCUAGGUGCUAUAGUAGCUCAACGGUUGAACACAAACCGUUCCAAAGGUGUCGUCUAUGGAGGUAUCUAUGCUACUCGUCUUGUAGACACUUUGAGAUACCUAUUAGACUUCGCGAGGAAGAAUAAAUGCUUCUUCCUGAGAAAUAUCUGGAUUAUGACAACUUGGUUCGCCAUGAUUUUCUGGAUAGAGAUGCUAGUAGACGGAUGAUUUAUAACCUGGUAUUUAGUCAGGGUACUCGAGAGACUAUUACUUUGCCUGCUCCUUCUUUGUUCGAUCUUCAUGCAGGCAGGUACACUAUUAUGCCCUCGGACAUCUACGCAUAUUGGGGCUUGUCCCAACCACAGGUGCCUGUGCUCGAGCCGCCAGUCGAGUACCAGAUGCCAGUUUAUCAGUGGGAGCCACAGGAGCUCACACAGCACUGGCAUCCACAGUCCGCCCCGGAGUAUCCCGGAGCUGGUUAUUUCCCUCCUUGGGAGUAGACCAAGCUAGGCCAAAAGCCUAAGCUUGGGGGAGUACGUGUUUGCACCAGCUUUACAUUCAUGCUUUCACUUUGUUAGUCGGUGUUUACACUUUGCCACUGUAUUAUCCAUGCUAGUUUAUUUUUGUUUUCUUGUUUUCUUGUUUUGUGUCCUUUUGAGAAAACCCAAAAAUAUUUUCCUUUCUUCUUUUGCUUGUUGGGAGCUUUCCCGUGUAAAUAGUUUUCUUUUUCUUUGGGUCAAGGUAGAAGAUAUCGGUUACAAUGUUUAGUGGCUCUUGUAUGCAUACCUGUUUAGCUUUCAAAGAACCAUAUUACUUUGUCUUCUCCUUUGUGUUUGCCUGUAGAUUCCAACUUUAGUCCAAUGCACGAGCACUCUUAUUAUUGUUCACAUCGUUCGAUCGUGCAAGUGAAAGGCAAUAAUGUUGAUAUAUGAUGAAGUGACUGAGAUUGGAAAAGUUGGUAUGAACUCUAUCUAUUUUGUUUUUGUAAAUAUGACUAGCUUGUCGUCCCAGAUUCAGCUUUUUUGAGAGAGAACCAUGUUUGCAAUAACAACUUAGAGAUCAUAGUUUCUGAUGCCAUGCUUAUUUAGCUAGGAGCUUAUAAUGGUUUGUCUUGAAUGCCAACAUAGAUUUUGAGAUGACUAUGAUGUAGUAUGAUAGGAUGGUAUUCUCCUUUGAAUGAUUCAAGUGGCUUGACUUGGCGCAUGUUCAUGCAUGUAGUUGAAACAAAAGCAACAUAGCCUCUAUGAUGUUCGUGUUCAUGGUGAUUUAUAUCCUGCUCAUGCUUGCACUCCAUGUUAGUCAAACUCAUUGCAUCUUGAUGACUGUUGUCGCUCUCUAGUUGGUCGCUUCCCAGUCUUUUGCUAGCCUUCACUUGUACUAAGCGGAAUACUGCUUGUGCAUCCACUUCCAUAAACCCAAAAGUUUUUCCAUGAGAGUCCACCAUACCUACCUAUUUGCGGUAUCUACCUGCCGUUCCAAGUAAAUUUGCAUGUGCCAUUCUCUAAACCUUCAAGAAAUAAUCUGUUUUGCAUGCCCGAACCGCUCAUGUGGUGACAGGGGGCUAUUGGUAUCUUCCAUGUUAGGCGUGUUAUCCUCAACAUGUGUUUAUUCACUGUCAUUCAUGAGAAAGGGGCCGGUAAUUGGAAUGCCCAGUUCCACGCUUAAAUCAAAAACAUAAUUGUAAAACAAGACUCCCCCGGAUUGAUGUUAGUAUGGACGGUACCCGAGGAUUCGGCUAGCCGUGGAGUGUGAUUGAUUGGUGGUGGGGGAGUUAAAACUUUACUUUUCUGUUUGGGAACCGCCUACAACAUGAAUAGCAUGGAAGAUAUUGAGAACUCUUGGUCAUUGCAUUGACAAUGAAAGCAUGCCACCCAAAAUUAUUAACUCUGUUUUCAAAGCUUGAGCUCUAGCACCUCUGCAAAUAAAUGCUUCCCUCUGCGAAGGGCAUGUCUAUUUAUUUUCCUGUUGAGUCAUCCUCUUCUUAUAUAAGCACCAAUUAGAGAGCACCUCUGUCAUUUUUAUGCUUUGCUUUUGAUUCAUAUUGAGUAUGACUAUGACUGGAUCUUCGUUGCUAUGAAUUACAAUGUUUGGUCAGCCCUUGAUCUUUGAAAGUGCUCUGCAUUUAUGUUUUGCGGUCUCAGAAAGAUCUAGCGAGAUACCACCUAUUCAUAUUGCUUCAUGCUUGUUUUGAUUGAAUUGUUGGUAUCUGAAACUCAUUAUUAUUUGCUCGCUAGCUGAUUAUGUCAUUGAUAUUAGUUUCCCGUGAGACCUUUGUGUCACUUGCUUAUGUGGUUAACUUGUGAUCUUGCUGAAAUUCUGGUUAUGAGUUAGACAUAGUUGCAACAACAAGAUGAAACGGAGUUUGUCAAAGUUUUUCUUUCUCUUUCAGUUUGUCAACUGAGUUGCUUGAGGACAAGCAAGGUUUUAAGCUUGGGGGAGUUUGAUACGUCUCCAUCGUAUCUACUUUUCCAAACUCUUUUGCCCUUGUUUUGGACUCUAAUUUGCAUUAUUUGAAUGGAACUAACCCGCACUAACACUGUUUUCAACAGAAUUGGCAUGGUGUUGUUUUUGUGCAGAAAUAAAAGUUCUCGGAACGUCCUGAAAAUUUACGUAGAAUAUUUCUGGAAAAUAUGAAAAAUACGUGCGCAAAGAUCCACCGGAGGGGACGGGCUAGUGGGCCACAAGCCCUGACGCCGCGGCCUCCCCUCCUGACCGUGACAAUCAAGCUUGUGGGGCCCACGUGGCUCUGCCGCCCCCAAGUCUAGCGCUAUUUAUUCCCUUUCGUCCCGAAAAAAUCAAGAGAGAAGAUUUCAUCGCGUUUUCGAUCCAGAGGCGCCACCACAUCCCGUUCUUCAUCUGGAGGGCAGAUCUGGAGUCCAUUUUGGGCUCCGGAUCAUGGAGAUCGUCGCCAUCGUCAUCAUCAACCUUCUUCCCUCUCCAAUUCCAUGAAGCUCUUCAUCGUUCGUGAGUAAUCUAUUCGUAGGCUCGCUGGGUGGUGAUGAGUAGGAUGAGAUCUAUCAUGUAAUCGAGUUAGUUUUGACGGGGAUUGAUCCCUAGUAUCCACUAUGUUCUGAGUUUGAUGUUGCUACUACUUUGCCAUGCUUAAUGCUUGUCAUUAGGGCCCGAGUGCCAUGAUUUCAUAUAUGAAAUUAUUAUGUUGUCACCAAUAUAUGUGUGUUUUAGAUCUGAUCUUGCAAGUUAUAGUUACCCACUAUGUGUUAUGAUCCGGCAACCCCGGAGUGACAAUAACCGGAACCACUCCCGGUGAUGACCAUAGUUUGAGGGGUUCAUGUGUUCACCAAGUGCUAAUGCAUUGGUCCGGUUCUUUAUUAAAAAGGAGAACCUUAAUAUCCCGUAGUAUCCUUUUGGACCCCGCUACCAUGGGAGGGAUGGACAAUAGAUGUCAUGCAAGUUCUUUUCCCUAAGCACGUAUGACUACACACGGAAUGCAUGCCUACAUCACAUUGACGAACGGGAGCUAGCCACAUAUCUCUCCGUGUUAUAACUGUUGCAUGAUGAAUGUCAUCCGACAAAUCGCCGACCCAUUGCCUACGAGUUUGUCCCACUACUGCUGCUGUUACUUGUUUUUCUCUGCUGCUGUUACUACUGUUGCUGCUACUGUUACUCGCUUUGUCCUGAUGCUGUUGUUACUUGUUUUGCUCUGCUGCUGUUACUACUGUUACUGCUAUUGUUACUUGCUGCUGCUGUUACUCGCUACUGCUGCUACUUGCUACUGCUGUCACUACUGCUGUUCCUUGCCACUUCUGUUACUCGUUACACUGCUGCUACCCGCUACAAUACUUUUUCUGGCACCGUUGCCGGGAAAGAAUAUUUCCCGUCCACGGGCAACUUACUGGCGCCAUUUAGGAMCUAGUGUGCCUUGUCAAAAGAUCGUUUCUGGCACCGUUGUUAUCAUACUACUUUGCUGCUUAUAUCCUGCUUGCAGACAGUAAUCUUUCAGGUGUGGUUGAAUCUGACACAUUCAGCUGCUAAUACUUGAGAAUAUUCUUUCACUUCCCGUCGCGCGAACCAACAAAUUUGGGUUGAAUACUCUACCCUCGAAAACUGUUGCAAGACAAUUUCUAAUUGUUGAGCAACUCGAAGCAGCUCUUUUCUGGCUCCGUUGCCAUGGAGGCAUCAAGUCAGGAAUAGUUGCACGUCAACACGCCCUGCGACUCAUUGGUUGAAGUGACGGUUCAAUAACCUCAUCAAGUUUCCACCAUCCUCCCACUCAAUUCUUUUGAGAGAAACUUUUCUCGAGAAAGGACCCGUUUCUAGAAACAAACACUUUGCUUCCGAAUUUGAGAUAGGAGGUAUACCCAACUGUUUUGGGUGUCCUAUGAAGAUGCAUUUAUCUGCUUUGGAUUCAAGCUUAUCAGGCUGAAACUUUUUCACAUAAGCGUCGCAGCCCCAAACUUUUAAGAAACGAGAGCUUAGGUUUCUCCAAACCAUAGUUCAUACGGUGUCAUCACAACGGAAUUGCGUGAUGCCCUAUUUAAAGUGAAUGACUUUUUUACUACUUAAACUUAACCCUAAACCCUAAAAAAACGAUUAACGUAGGUUAAACUAACCAAAAAUAGUAACAAUACAAUAGUAAUGCGCCAAUAUACCAAUAGGGCAACGANNNNNNNNNNNNNNNNNNNNNNNNNNNNNNNNNNNNNNNNNNNNNNNNNNNNNNNNNNNNNNNNNNNNNNNNNNNNNNNNNNNNNNNNNNNNNNNNNNNNACAGAAAAACUAUGGAGUUCAAAUAAGUUCAAAAAAUGAAAUCCCUUUGUAACAAACGAGUUUCCGUAUGAAACUCUGAUACUUCGAAAGAGAUUGUCCGUUUUCUACACGAAGUGCAUCCAGUUUUUGCCGUAACCCUCUCAACUUUCUCGCACAUGCUAUGUGGGUGAAAUGAUGAUACCAUGCCAACUUGGAACCUUUUCAGAGUUCAUUUCAAAUGCUUUUCAAUUUCAUGGUCUUAUAGCUCAAAAUAAUCAGUAAAUGCAUGAAAAAGAACAAAUGAAGUUAGAAAGGGUUAUAAAUUGAUGAUGUGGCUUUGAAUGGUGCAUUUUGAACACAAAAAAACUAUGGAGUUCAAAUAAGUUCAAAAAAAUAGAAAUCCCUUUGUAACAGACGAGUUUCCGUAUGAAACCCUGAUACUUCGAAAGAGAUUGUCCGUUUGUACACGAAGUGCAUCCAGUUUUUGYCGUAACCCUCUCAACUUUGUCGCACAUACUAUGUGGGUGGAAUAGAUGAUACCACUGCCAACCUACGGUACCGUUUACCUAGNNNNNNNNNNNNNNNNNNNNNNNNNNNNNNNNNNNNNNNNNNNNNNNNNNNNNNNNNNNNNNNNNNNNNNNNNNNNNNNNNNNNNNNNNNNNNNNNNNNNAGAUCGUGGGACUGAUCGCGGGAUUGUUCGCGGGGCGGAUCGAGGGACGUGAGGACGUUCCACUACAUCAACCGCGUUCUCUAACGCUUCUGCUGUGCGAUCUACAAGGGUACGUAGAUCACUCAUCCCCUCUCGUAGAUGGACAUCACCAUGAUAGGUCUUCGUGCGCGUAGGAAAUUUUUGUUCCCAUGCGUCGUUCCCCAACACAAAUAAGUUACAAAAAAUGAAAUCCCUUUGCAACAGACGAGUUUCCGUAUGAAACCCUGAUACUUCGAAAGAGAUUUGUCCGUUUUGUACACAAAGUGCAUCCAGUUUUUGUCGUAACCCUCUCAACUUUCUCGCACAUGCUAUGUGGGUGAAAUGAUGAUACCAUGCCAACUUGGAACCUUUUCAGAGUUUAUUCGAAAUGCUUUUCAAUUUCAUGGUCUUAUAGCUCAAAAUAAUCACUAAAUGCAUGAAAAAUAACAAAUGAAGUCAGAAAGGGUUGUAAAUUGAUGAUGUGGCUUUGAAUGGUGCAUUUUGAGCACAGAAAAACUAUGGAGUUCAAAUAAGUUCAAACCAAAUGAAAUCCCUUUGUAACAGACGAGUUUCUGUAUGAAACCGUGAUACUUCGAAAGAGAUUGUCCGUUUUGUACACGAAGUGCAUCCAGUUUUUGUCGUAACCCUCUCAACUUUGUCGCACAUACUAUGUGGGUGGAAAUGAUGAUACCAUGCCAACUCGGAACCUUUUCAGAGUUCAUUUCAAAUGCUUUUCAAUUUCAUGGUCUUAUAGCUCAAAAUAAUCAGUAAAUGCAUGAAAAAGAACAAAUGAAGUUAGAARGGUUAUAAAUUGAUGAUGUGGCUUUGAAUGGUGCAUUUUGAACACAAAAACUAAUGGAGUUCAAUAAGUUCAAAAAUAGAAUACCCUUUGUAACACGACCGAGUUCCGUACGUAGAAACCUGUACUACGUACCGAAACGAGGUACGUUCGGUACCGGUUUCGGACCAACCGAAACGUCGACGUAACGUUNNNNNNNNNNNNNNNNNNNNNNNNNNNNNNNNNNNNNNNNNNNNNNNNNNNNNNNNNNNNNNNNNNNNNNNNNNNNNNNNNNNNNNNNNNNNNNNNNNNNCCAACCUUUUACCUUUUCGGUAAAGUUAACAAAGUUUACUUACCACUAAAGACCUUGUAUUAAACCCUAAAACGAACUUUGUAUCAUCUUAUUCAAAGACAUAUAUUCCAACUCCAAGAUGCUUGCUCCAGUCCAUAGAAGGAUCGUUGGAGCUUGCAUACUUGUUAGCAUCCUUAGGAUCAACAAAACCUUCUGGUUGUAUCACAUACAACCUUUCCUCAAGGAAACCAUCGAGGAAACAAUGUUUUGACAUCCUAUCUACAAGAUUUAAUAAAUAAUGCAACAACUGCUGACAUAAUUCCAACAGACUUUUAGCAUCGCUACGAGUGAGAAAGUCUCACCAUAGUCAACACUUUGAACUUGUCGGAAACAUCUUUGCGACAAGUCGAGCUUUCUUAAUGGUGACAUUUACCAUCAUUGUCUGUCUUCCUUUUAAAGAUCCAUCUGUACCUAGCAGCCUUAUGACCAUCAAGUAGUUUUUCCAAAGUCUACACUUUGUUUUCAUACAUGGAUCCUACCUCGGAUUUCAUGGCGUCCAGCGAUUCGUCGGAAUCCAGGCCCACCAUCGCUUCUCCAUAGCUCGUAGGUUCAUUGUUGCUUAGCAACAUGACCUCCAAGAUAGGAUUACCAUACCACUCUGGAGCAGUACAUUUCCUUGUUCGACCUACGAGGUUUGGUAGUAACUUGAUCCGAAGCUUCACGAUUACCAUCAUCAGCUUUCCACUUCAACUAGUGUAGGCGCCACAUGAACAUCUUCCUGCGCCCUGAUACAUCUCCAUCGUAUCUACUUUUCCAAACUCUUUUGCCCUUGUUUUGGACUCUAAUUUGCAUGAUUUGAAUGGAACUAACCCGGAGUAACGUUGUUUUCAGCAAAAUUGCCAUGGUGUUGUUUUUGUGCAGAAAUGAAAGUUCUCGGAACGUCCUGAAAAUUUACAGAGAAUAUUUCUGGAAAAUAUGAAAAAUACCUGCGCAAAGAUCCACCGGAGGGGACGGGCCAGUGGGCCACAAGCCUUGAUGCCGCGACCUCCUCCCUAGCCGCGGCAAUCAGGCUUUUGGGGCCCACGUGGCUCUGCCGCCCCCAACUCCAGCGCUAUUUAUUCCCUUUCGUCCCGGAAAAAAUCAAGAGAGAAGAUUUCAUCACGUUUUCGAUCCAGAGGCACCGCCACAUCCCGUUCUUCAUCUGGAGGGCAGAUCUAGAGUCCGUUUUGGGAUCCGGAUCAAGGAGAUCGUCGCCAUUGUCAUCAUCAACCUUCUUAUCUCUCCAAUUCCAUGAAGCUCUUCAUCGUUCGUGAGUAAUCUAUUCGUAGGCUCGCUGGGCGGUGAUGAGUAGGAUGAGAUCUAUCAUGUAAUCGAGUUAGUUUUGACGGGGAUUGAUCCCUAGUAUCCACUAUGUUCUGAGAUUGAUGUUGCUACUACUUUGCCAUGCUUAAUGCUUGUCACGUACGGGCCCGAGUCGCCAUGUAUUUCAGUAUCUAGUAAAAUUUAUUAUUGUUCGUACCAACCUAAAUUANNNNNNNNNNNNNNNNNNNNNNNNNNNNNNNNNNNNNNNNNNNNNNNNNNNNNNNNNNNNNNNNNNNNNNNNNNNNNNNNNNNNNNNNNNNNNNNNNNNNAUGAUCAUCUGAGGACCAGUGACGMASWGUGYGUUCAUGAUGAUCUGGAAGGACCGGGUGAAGAAGAGGGCGUUCAUGACGGCUCCGUUGACCGAACCGAGUCCGGCGAGGUAUAUAUAUAUUAGUUAAGCCCGUGCUGACUAGUUAAUUGAUGCAUUCAUUGUUUUCAUAUGUACACAUAUUAAUUAACUCUCGUCUUUCUUCUUUUUUCUCUAGCCCUCCGGAUCGACCUCAACUUCGGUAAAGAAACGAGGCCCGAAGAAAAAGUUGCGCUCGGAUGAAAGGUUUGAGAUCACAGCAAUCGCGCGCGAUGGCAAGCCGAUUGAACCCAUCCGGACAAGGGAUGCAUUUCGUGCUCAGUGCGGGGUUCUUGUUAGGGACAAGAUCCCGAUCAGUAUCCAGCAAUGGUUAAAGCCAAAGAAGGAAGACCCUGAGGUGCCGACGUCUUAUGUCUCCGAUAAACAGAAAGAAGAUCUUUGGACAACGCUUAAGGAAAAUUUCACCCUACCGCCAGAGGAGGAUCCAGAGAAGCGAGUUAAAGAGGAAUUGAUCAAGUCUCAUGCUCUUAAGAAGAUGGCAGAACUAUUAAGGAGGUGGAAGAAUGAGCUGAAAACGUUUGUCGACAAAGAAGAGACACCAGAAUUCACUGGCCGGUUUGAGAAGAUCAGAGAUCAAUGGCCCGCAUUUGUGGCCCACAAGACAGCGGAAAAGAGUAAGAAGAUGUGAGCGACAAACAAGAAAAAUGUUGCGAAGAAGAAGCAUCACCAUCGCACGGGGUCAGGUGGUUACCUCAAAGCCCGACCUUUGUGGGACAAGGCUGAGAAUGACUUGAUUGCUAAAUGGGUCGAACCAGAGACAUUGAGAUGGCUACACCGUUGUCGAACUUGGUUCUUCGGGGUUGGCGGAACCUUGGACCUUGUAUCAGGGGAGUGCGUUUGGACAGAAGAGCAACUGCAAAUACCCGUCAGGAAGCUUCAGCACUAUAUCGCCGCAACACAGGAAGGGGCUUCAUUCCAUACAGAGAGAAUGAUGAGCUCACAAUGGCCCUCGGCAAUCCUGAGCACCCUGGACGGACACAAGGCACACAGGGGAUASGNNNNNNNNNNNNNNNNNNNNNNNNNNNNNNNNNNNNNNNNNNNNNNNNNNNNNNNNNNNNNNNNNNNNNNNNNNNNNNNNNNNNNNNNNNNNNNNNNNNNCUCCGCUGAUGUCGAAGAAGAGACGAUGCGAAUAGNGAAAGAGCUUGAUCCCAGAGAUGGCUUCUGAAGGAUAGCGCUGCAUUGGCUCUCCUCAGGCUGGAGGCUUGCGUCGAUUAUGUAUUGGGAUGUUUCAAAUGGCUCCAGCUGGCCGUUGGGGAUAUAGAACAGGAGAAAACCCUUAGAUGAUGUAUCCCUGAAGGACACCUAGACCAUCGUGAACCGUGUGAAGGCCAUCCCCAAUGAACUCAAGUCUUGGAAGAAGUCAUCGUCAAGGGCCGGAGCCGACAUCGCCCUUUCGCUCGUUUGCAUCCAUUGUAAAGGGGUGGAUGAAGAGAAGUUGAAGAGUCUCCGGGUUGUUAACCGGAAAAGAGCCAGGUUCGAAGACUUCAUGGAGAUGUUUAUGGCAUCCGCCACUCGGAUUGCGAAAGGAAUCGAUCUUCACACCUUCAUGGAAGCAGCGGGAUCUACGGCUCGGAGUGAUGCUCGGAGGAAAACAUUUAAGUUUCAAUUCUCCUCGGGAUGCCGAGUGGUUUUAUGUAACCCCAAACUUUGAGUGGGCCUUGGGCUCUCUCUUAUGUGCACUUUUUGCUGAACUUCAUUCCAUUUACCCAUAUUCGAGUUUUGAUCUUAUUUGCUUUAUCGUCCUUAUUUGGGGUCACUUUUACUCGACCGAAAGCCGGUUCGCAUCCGAGUCCCCGAGUGUGGAAGUUAUCCUCACUCGAGAUCGUUUUUGACUUAGGCGAAAGCUGGUUCACAGUUAAGCCCCCGAGUGUGGAAGUUGUCCUCACUCGGGAUUGUUUUUGACUUAGGUGAAAGUUGGUUCGCAGCUAAGCCUCUGAGUGUGGAAGUUGUCCUCACUCGGGAUCAUUUUGGACUUAGGCGAAAGCUGGUUCGCAGCUAAGCCCCCGAGUGUGGAAAUUGUCUCACCCGGGACCGUUUCUUGACUUAGGCGAAAGCCGGUUCACAGCUAAGCCCCCCGAGUGUGGAAGUUGUCCUCACUCAGGAUCAUUUUUUGACUUAGGGAAAGCUGGUUCGCAGCUAAGCCCCCCGAGUGUCGAAAGUUGUCCUCACUCGGGAUCNNNNNNNNNNNNNNNNNNNNNNNNNNNNNNNNNNNNNNNNNNNNNNNNNNNNNNNNNNNNNNNNNNNNNNNNNNNNNNNNNNNNNNNNNNNNNNNNNNNNGGAUUACUGGACAACGUCAAAGUUAUCCUUAGUAAUUAGUGGUACUAAGUAKUUUUUUUUCUUUCGUAUUAUGGAGGUGAUAAAGAAUUACGUCGUAAAGGGUUACGUCGAUGCAAGCUUUGACACUAAUUUGGAUAGCUCUGAAUAGUAAACCGGAUUCGUAUAGUGGAGCAUUCAUUGACUAAAUCAUUGAUCAAAGAUGGUCAAGGUUUCCUGGCGAUAGACAAGUGUUGUCACAUCAUAACGGGAUCACAUCAUUAGGAGAAUGAUGUGAUGGACAAGACCCAAACUAUGAACGUAACAUAUGAUCGUGUCAGUUUAUUGCCACUGUUUUCUGCAUGUCAAUGUAUCUGUUCCUAUGACCAUGAGAUCAUGCAACUCCCGGACACCGAAGGAAUACCUUGUGUGUAUCAAAUGUCACAACGUACCUAGGUGACUAUAAAGGUGCUCUACAGGUAUCUCAGAAGGUGUCUGUUGGGUUGGCGUGAAUCAAGACUAUGAUUCGUCACUCCGUGUGACGGAGAGGUAUCGUCGACGGGCCCACUCGAUAAUNNNNNNNNNNNNNNNNNNNNNNNNNNNNNNNNNNNNNNNNNNNNNNNNNNNNNNNNNNNNNNNNNNNNNNNNNNNNNNNNNNNNNNNNNNNNNNNNNNNNGCUAAAAGUACUAGUUGGAAUUAUAGUCUAGCAGUUGUUGUCAUUAUUUAUUUAAAUCUUGUAGAUAGGAUGUCAAACAUUGUUUCCUCGAUGGUUUCCUUGAGGAAAGGUUGUAUGUGAUACAACCAGAAGGUUUUGUUGAUCCUAAGGAUGCUAACAAGUAUGCAAGCUCCAACGAUCCUUCUAUGGACUGGAGCAAGCAUCUUGGAGUUGGAAUAUAUGCUUUGAUAAGAUGAUCAAAGCUUUUGGGUUUAUACAAGGCUUAUGAGAAACUUGUAUUUCCAAGAAAGUGAGUGGGAGCACUAUAAAAUUUCUGAUGAGUAGAUGUGGUUGACAUAUUGUUGAUCGGAAAUGAUGUAGAAUUUCUAGAAAGCAUAUAUGGUUGUUUAAAAAGUACUUUUCAAAGCAAAACCUGAAUUAAGCCUACUUGAACGUUGAGCAUCAAGAUCUAUAAAGAUAGAUCAAGACGCUUGAUAAAACUUUUGAUGAAUGCAUACAUUGACAAGUUUUGAAGGAGUUCAAAGUAGAUCGGUCAAACAAGGAUUUCUUGGCUGUGUUGUAAAGGUGUGAAAUUUGAGUAAGACUCAAAGCCCCAUCAUGGCAGAAUAAAGAGAAAGUACGAAGGUCGUCCCCUAUGCAGUGACCAUAGGCUCUAUAGUAUGCAAUGUUGUGUACCGCACCUGAUGUGUGACUUGCCAUGAAUUUGUCAAGGGAUACAAAGUGAUCCAGGAAUGGAUUACUGGACAACGGUACUAAAAGUUAUACCUUAAGUAAUUAGGUAGGUACUUAAGUUAUUUUUUUCUMSUAUUAUGGUAGGUAGNNNNNNNNNNNNNNNNNNNNNNNNNNNNNNNNNNNNNNNNNNNNNNNNNNNNNNNNNNNNNNNNNNNNNNNNNNNNNNNNNNNNNNNNNNNNNNNNNNNNAAAAGUAACGGUAACGGUAGUUUAAGUUUUAAAUUACUUACUUAAUUUAACUUCCUAAGUUAAAUUUAAUUUAACUACUAGUAAAGUAAAUACUAACCUAARUCGACAAARGGGCCGAAUCUGGAGGCGCAAUUUAGUAAAUAGCGCCAAGGGCGCGGGAUGGAUCUCACCUCGGGGGGGGCUCUUGGGCUGGAGGGGCGCAGUGGAAGGCAGCCGGCCUGGCUGCCGAAGCUGGAGGUGGGCCGCGGGUGAGGCCGAAGCCUGGGCCUGGGGCGAAGGAGUUGGCCACGUGGGCCGAGGGAGCUGGUGCGGCCCAGGCCAGGGCAACCGCUGGCGACGGACGGUGGCGCUGGAGCUGUCGCGGCGGCCGGCGACAUAGCUUCCGGCGGAGGGGAAGGCGGGGGAGGCCGGAUCCGAGUGGACGGGGAGCGUCCGGAUCCGUCCACGUUCCCCGGGGGUUUGACGGGCGGCGCGUGGCGAGGGCGGCGGAGGAGAGCGAGCGAACGGACGGCGAGAACGUGGGCGAGGCGGCGAGCGCGCGUCGGGCGGGCCGGCGGGCCGGCGGACGGACGUCCGUGGGCGUCGGCCGGCCGACCCGGACCGGGCCGGGNNNNNNNNNNNNNNNNNNNNNNNNNNNNNNNNNNNNNNNNNNNNNNNNNNNNNNNNNNNNNNNNNNNNNNNNNNNNNNNNNNNNNNNNNNNNNNNNNNNNUACGCAGGCAGGCUGUACUACCGCUCUCGGCAACAACCAAGAACAAACCGACGACGAGGAAGGAAGGAAACGGAGGUCUCAGCAGCCCCGAGAAUCUCUCCGCGGCCGACGACGGCAACCGAUUCCGCCUGCUCUGCCGGGGCAAGGAAGGAGUUUGCCGGGUCCGGGCAAGACCAGGAGGCGCGAUCCUCUCCUCGCUGCGGCUGAAUUGGGGAAGGAGGAAUCGGGGGAGGGAGGAGGCAGAGAGGUUGGUGGGAGGUGGGGGGUGGGAGAGCACAGCGCAGCACAGGUGGGGAGGAGACUAUACAGCUCAGGGACAGGGCGGCAGCGGAAUAUUUAUACUGAGCCUCUCAGAGGAGAGGAGGCGUGCGUGGGAGUGAGCGAGCGAGGGAGAGCAUGUGGAUUCUGGAGUAAGAAACAGGGCAAGCAAGUGGGUAAAACAUCCGGCGGUGCAGCCGCAGCCGACGGCCGGCCGGCCGGCCGGCGCGUCCCUUCCUUCCCGGCAACCGGCGUGUACUGUACUACUCGGGAACAUAUUCUCUGCAUGCUCUUUCCCGUGACACAAAGAAAAAAGUGGCGCGGCACGCCGUUGGCGUGGGGGGCGGAAGCGGCAGUGCGGUGAGGCGUGGACGCCUCGCCACUGUUGCUUUUUUACCCAWUGUUUUUUUGCCCUGUUUUUUGCUGUGUCCGUGUCGUGCGGUGCCAUCCGAACCCGGCGACGGCUUGGACGGAAGAGGAAAGCGGGCUCCGCCGCCGGCGUCGCCGGUGGCUUGGUCGGGACGGCUGGGCGUUGGCGUCGGCGUUGGCAUCCUUGCUAGGCCUUAGCCUCCAAGCAACCGUGGCGUCCCUUCCCGGCCAAACAUGCCACUUAGUCGCGUGCCGAUUGGCACAACAACCUCGCUUUUUGCCUCGCUUUCUUCCUCCUUCUACCUGCCCUGCUCUUGUUCUUUUCGCCCUUUUCCAUCGCCCCGACGUACGUGUCGCCGGGAGUAGACGAGCAGCAGCGGUGAUCAUCGGGGAUUUGACGAGCUUUUGGCGGUAGUUGUACUGUACUACUGUGGCUUUGCCCCCAACGCGUUGCCGACUUGGGUAAUAAUCGUGGAAGUGACAGCGUGCGAUCAUGCUACUGCUACUACAAUGAAUCGUGCAUGCACCGUCAUGCGCCGACGUAUAAGCCGGGAAAGGGUAGGGGAGGGGCUAGGCUAGGCCUGUUUUUGGUAUGGCACGCGGCGGUGCUCUGCUUCGCUCGCUCCAUCGGUGGCUACGGCUACGGCUAGCGGCGACACCACCCUGGGGCUGGGAGUGCAUGUAGACAUGCACUAGUACACUUUUACCGUACCGAAUACCUCGAGCCGUAUCUGCCAACAGCCGCGGUGCCCCAAUGAGGCGAAGCUGCGGCUCGACAAAGCGAAUGGCCGCAUGCAUGACAGAAUGGAUGAGGCAUCAGCUGGUGCAGUAGCUCCUGAUGGCCUCGUGCACCGGCCGGCGAGCGCAAGCAAAAAAGAAGGUUCUGGUCGUGCGGACACGCGGUGCACCUAACAUUGACCUGGUCAGACGGGUAAAUAGUGUGAACUGUUCGAUCGGUGACUGGACCUGCUCUCUCGAGCAGCGACACCGACAUGCUCCAGAGCUCAGUAGUUGAGUUCAUACUCAGGUCUUUCGUUUCACUNNNNNNNNNNNNNNNNNNNNNNNNNNNNNNNNNNNNNNNNNNNNNNNNNNNNNNNNNNNNNNNNNNNNNNNNNNNNNNNNNNNNNNNNNNNNNNNNNNNNGUCUCACCCCCUUUAUUUACGCAUGACUGUUCGGUGUAUGACAUACACAUUUGCACGCCUUCUUCCUAGGCACCUUUGUCGAUCACGGUUCACGGUCGUCGGUCACGCCGCCAGCAUGGCGCAACACUAAAGACGCUGGAUAAAUCAUCGGUAUCUUCAUACCUAGUUCAAUCUCGUUAUCGACAAGUCUCCUUACUCGUUCCAUAAUACAAGAUCACGUGGCUAACUCUUUAGUCACAUUGCUUGCAAGCUUGUUGUGAUGUUGUAUUACUGAGUGGGCCCUGAGAUACCUCUCUGUCACACGGAGUGACCAAUCCCAGUAUUGAUCCCUGUCAACUCAACAGACACCCUUGGAGAUACCUAUAGAGCACCUUUAUAGUCACCCAGUUAAGUUGCGACGUUUGAUACACACAAGGUACUACUCCGGUGUCAAUGAGUUGCACGAUCUCAUGGUCAUAGGAAUAGAUACUUGAUAUGCAGAAAAAAUAGCAAUAAACUGACACGAUCAUAUGCUACGUUCAUAGGUUGGUUCUUGUCCAUCAUAUCAUUCUCCUAAUGAUGUGAUCCCGUUAUCAAAUGACAACUCAUGUCUAUGAUUUUCCCACAAUAUCUUCUGUAUUUUCCAUUACAUGAUUUUAAGGAUCCACAUUACAAAUAAAGAGAUACAAAGAUGAUCAGACAUAUUAUUACCUCCCACAUGGUAUUUGUUUUUCUUAUGUAUUCGUGUUAUUUUCUAUUUACCAAUUAUAUUAUUUACUUUAAAUUUAUUUUGUUUUUAGCUAGUAGUANNNNNNNNNNNNNNNNNNNNNNNNNNNNNNNNNNNNNNNNNNNNNNNNNNNNNNNNNNNNNNNNNNNNNNNNNNNNNNNNNNNNNNNNNNNNNNNNNNNNAACUAAAGUUGGAGAAACCGUCACUUGCCAGUCAUCUUUGAGCAAAGGGGGUUACUCGUAACGAUGAAACCAGUCUCUCGUAAGCGUACGAGUAAUGUCGGUCCAAGCCGCUUCAAUCCAACAAUACCGCGGAAUCAAGAAAAGACUAAGGAGGGCAGCAAAACGCACAUCACCGCCCACAAAACCUUUUGUGUUCUACUCGAGAAGACAUCUACGCAUGAACCUAGCUCAUGAUGCCACUGUUGGGGAACGACGCAUGGGAAACAAAAAUUUCCUAGCGCACGAAGACCUAUCAUGGUGAUGUCCAUCUACGAGAGGGGAUGAGUGAUCUAUGUACCCUUGUAGAUCGCACAGCAGAAGCGUUAGAGAACGCGGUUGAUGUAGUGGAACGUCCUCACGUCCCUCGAUCCGCCCCGCGAACAAUCCCGCGAUCAGUCCCACGAUCUAGUACCGAACGGACGGCACCUCCGCGUUCAGCACACGUACAGCUCGACGAUGAUCUCGGCCUUCUUGAUCCAGCAAGAGAGACGGAGAGGUAGAAGAGUUCUCCGGCAGCGUGACGGCGCUCCGGAGGUUGGUGAUGAUCUCGUCUCAGCAGGGCCUCCGCCCGAGCUCCGCAGAAACGCGAUCUAAGGAAGGAAAACUGUGGAGGUAUGUGGUCGGGCAGCCGGUAGGAAGGUAAAGUUCGUACUACAAAUCACGUACCCCUWAAAMCGUCCGUAAUAGUAGUAGGGUAGGGGAGGGGAGGGGAGGAGGNNNNNNNNNNNNNNNNNNNNNNNNNNNNNNNNNNNNNNNNNNNNNNNNNNNNNNNNNNNNNNNNNNNNNNNNNNNNNNNNNNNNNNNNNNNNNNNNNNNNGCCUUGCCUUGAUCGAUCCCUUGGACGCUCGAAGGGAGCUAGGGUUCUUCACCCUAGAUCUGAUAGGGUUUUGUGGAGAACCCUAGCUCCCUUCGAGCAUCCAAGGGAUCGAUCAAGUCAAGGUGAAGAUCCAGGGAUCGUCGUGUUAGAACAAAUUUUGAAGAUUAGGAACAUUUUUUGAAAUUUUGAACAUUUUUUUGCAAAUUUGGAACAAAAAAAUUCCAAACAUUAAUUUUGAAAACAGAAACCUAAUUUUAAACCACAAAGAAUUUAUGAAAUUCUAGAAAAAAUGAAAGCAAGAACAUUUUUUAAAUUCAGAUUUUAGAAAGAAAAAAAGUACAAUCAAAUUCAACCAAAACAUUCCAAACAUUUUUAAAAAAACAAGAAGAAAGUAAAACACCAAAAUAAAGGAGUGGAUUUUUCGUAUGUCUCGCUUGUUGUGAGGAACAGUGAUGCGUCACUCAUCCCUAGGGGGUGUGUGGAUCUUUCCCCGCAACGGACCCCUCUAGCGAUCGAUUACUCCACCCCCCCCCCAAGGCCUUGUUUGAUACUAGGGUUUUUCAGGAGAUUGGUGGGGAUAACUCCCCACAGGGAUUGGGUGAAACCCCAUCCUUCACCCAAUCCCCUACAAACUCCCCAUUUACUCCCCAAUACACUAGGUAGGSGUAUGUAUUGAGUAUUGAGAAAAUACACUAAAUUUAGAGAAUUGGUAGGGGAAAUGGUAGGGGAAUAAACAUGUACAAAUACACUAGAACCAAUGGCGUUAUGGGAUAGUGGUGGGGAUUUAGGGAUUUGGACCGGGUAUAACGUCCCUAACUUAANNNNNNNNNNNNNNNNNNNNNNNNNNNNNNNNNNNNNNNNNNNNNNNNNNNNNNNNNNNNNNNNNNNNNNNNNNNNNNNNNNNNNNNNNNNNNNNNNNNNAAUGGUUCUGCUCAACUUCGGCCUCGUGGCGGCGGAGAAUCCACGAAAAAGCUCCACCCUGAUUUUUUCUCGGACGAAACCCUUCAUAUAGCAAAAGAGGGGGGCCAGUGGUCCGCCAUGGUGCCCACAAGCCCUGUAGCCGCCGCCAGGGGGGUAGGUGGCGGCUACCGGGCUUGUGGGCUCCUGGUAGCUCCCCUCUCGUACUCCUUUCGCCCAGUAUUUUUUAUAUAUUCCCAAAAAAUACCAUGUUGAUUUUCAGGGCAUUUGGAUUUGCGUAGAAUAGAGGACUCGGACUUUCUCCUUUUCCAGUCCAGAAUUCCAGCUGCCGGUAUUCUCUCUCUUCAAAUAAACCUUGCAAAAUAAGAGAGAAAAGGCAUAAGUAUGGUACCACAAAGUAAUAUAACAAUCCAUAAAGCGAUAAAUAUCAACAUGAAAGCAUGAUGCAAAAUGGACGUAUCAAGGCACACAGGGGAUAGGUUAUGUUCUUACUUCACACAUGAUUUGAGUAGAUAUUAGUAUAUUUACUUGAUGAAACACAAGUCUGAAUUAUUGAAAUAUUCAAGUGAUUUCAGAGUGAAGUUGAAGAUCAUCGUGACAAGAAGAUAAUAUGUCUACGAUGUGAUCAUGGAGGUAAAGUAUAUAAUCUGAGUUGCGUAGUUUGGUAUACAUUUAAGACAAUGUGAAAAUUGUUUCACAACUCAUGACCAACCUUGGAACACCAUAGUGUCGAUGGCGUGUACCGAAACGUCAAUAAGGUCGUGCCCUAUUACGGACUAUGGCGCAUACCUAUGAUGUCUAUUUGGUACUUACCACUAUUCGUUUUGGGUAGUAUUAGAGUAAAAGCAUUACACUUUAAAUAGGGNNNNNNNNNNNNNNNNNNNNNNNNNNNNNNNNNNNNNNNNNNNNNNNNNNNNNNNNNNNNNNNNNNNNNNNNNNNNNNNNNNNNNNNNNNNNNNNNNNNNAACUUUACGGUCCGAACCCUUAACGGUUUCGUAGGUCGUGCCGUCCUCCCCUCCCCUCCCAMCCUACUAUAUACGGAGGUUUUAGGGUACGUGAUUUGWGACGACUUCUCUCACGGCCUGCCCGACCACCAUACCUCCACUAGUUUUYCYUCUAGAUCGCGUUUCUGCGGAGCUCGGGCGGAGCCCUGCUGAGACGAGAUCAUCACCAACCUCCCGGAGCGCCGUCACGCUGCCGGAGAACUCUUCUACCUCUCCGUCUCUCUUGCUGGAUCAAGAAGGCCGAGAUCAUCGUCGAGCUGUACGUGUGCUGAACGCGGAGGUGCCGUCCGUUCGGUACUAGAUCGUGGACUGAUCGCGGAUUGUUCGCGGGCGGAUCGAGGGACGUGAGGACGUUCCACUACAUCAACCGCGUUCACUAACGCUUCUGCUGUAUGAUCUACAAGGGUACGUAGAUCACUCAUCCCCUCUCGUAGAUGGACAUCACCAUGAUAGGUCUUCGUGCRCGUAGGAAAWUUUUGUUUCCCAUGCGWCGUUCCCCCAACACAAAUAAGUUCAAAAAAAUGAAAUCCCUUUGCAACAGACGAGUUUCCGUAUGAAACCCUGAUACUUCGAAAGAGAUUUGUCCGUUUUGUACACAAAGUGCAUCCUAGUUUUUGUCCGUAACCCUCUCAACUUUCUCGCACAUGCUAUGGUGGGUAGAAAUGAUGACUACCAUGACCCUAACGUUCGGUAACCUUUUCAGUAGUUCUAUUUACUAAAUGUUCNNNNNNNNNNNNNNNNNNNNNNNNNNNNNNNNNNNNNNNNNNNNNNNNNNNNNNNNNNNNNNNNNNNNNNNNNNNNNNNNNNNNNNNNNNNNNNNNNNNNGUGCUGCACCUUGACCUCGCCGUCGGCGGCGAUGGCGUCGAGCUUGACCAGCUCCGUCAUAAGCGCCUCGGUGAGGGCGACCACGUCGGCCUCCACCACCUUCCCGCCCUUGCCCACGAUGGUCUGCAGCGCAGACACCUGCAGUGCACCGCCACCCAAAUUCGAUCAGCACAGCGCCCUCCCAAAGUCGAUCGGCGGACGGCGAAAGUGAACAAGGGAAGGAGCACGAGCAGAGUGGUCGUACCUUGGUGGCGAGCUUGUCGACGUCGAGGCUGAUGCGGGAGAUGGACUUGGCGGCGCGCUGGGCCUUGUCGGAGCGGCGCUGCUCGAUGAGGCGCUUGGCCUGCGCGUCGGGUCCUCGAGCAGCAGCAGCUUGGAGCGGUCCUUGACGCCGGACAUGUCGAGGAAGGCCUUGGAGUCCAUCUCCUUGCUCUUGUAGAGCACCUUCUGGUCCUCGUGGUGCAGGCCGGUCUUGUCCGACAUCAUCUUCUUCAGCUCGCCUGCACCACCAAUCACCGUCACGCCCACAAUCAGCAGCUAGCUCGAGUCGAGUCAGAUCAAAUCAAAAAAUCCAGCGGGCGAAGCAAGGCAAAGCAAUUGAUUUGAUUUGAUUCGCGUGCAUUACCGAAGGAUGCCUGGGAGUUGAUGUAGAUCUCGUGGGAGACGCCGUUGAACUUGACCUUGAGGCGCACGGUGGGCACGGGCGCGCCGGCGGGGGCGUCCGAGUCCGGGCCCCGCUUCUGCACCAGCAUCCCGCCGGGCCGCACCUCCCACUCGUCCUCCUUGAGCGCCUCCUUGGCCGCGGCCGCGGCGGGAGAGACGGUCUCCUUCAUGGCGUCCAAGAAUGUAGCUUUGCCCUUGGCGCGCAUCAUCUUCUCAUGGCACGUACUUAUAUGCCUCCCGCUACAAACAAAGAAUCAGCCGAGCAACCCUAGCAGGCAGGCUGUACUACCGCUCUCGGACAACAACCAAGAACAACCGACGACGAGGAAGGAAGGAACGGAGGUCUCAGCGACGCCCGAGACUCUCGUCCGCGGCCGACGACGGCAACCGNUCCGCUGCUCGUCGGCCGGGACGAAGGGNNNNNNNNNNNNNNNNNNNNNNNNNNNNNNNNNNNNNNNNNNNNNNNNNNNNNNNNNNNNNNNNNNNNNNNNNNNNNNNNNNNNNNNNNNNNNNNNNNNNGAAACAAUUCCACAUUGUUUUAAGUGAGUACCAAACUCGAAACUCAAAUAUUCACCCCCACGAUCAGACCGUAGGAACUUGAUCUUCUUGUUACGAUGAUUUUCCACUUCACUCUGAAAUUGCUUGAACUUUUCAAAUGUUUCAGACUUGUGUUUCAUCAAGUAGACAUAACCAUAUCUACUCAAAUCGUCAGUGAAGGUGAGAAAUAACGAUAUCCGCCGCGUGCCUCCACGCUCAUCGGACCACACACAUUGGUAUGUAUGAUUUCCAACCAGUCACUUGCACGCUCCAUUGUUCCGGAGAACGGUAGUCUUUAGUCAUCUUGCCCAUGAGGCAUGGUUCGCACGUGUCAAGUGAAUCAAAGUCAAGUGACUCCAAAAGUCCAUCAGCAUGGAGUUUCUUCCAUGCGCUUUACACCAAUAUGACCUAAGCGGACAGUGCCANAAAAUNUGGCGCUAUCCAUUGUUACCCAUAUUUCCAACAGUCUCCCACUUGCACUAGAGUCAAUAUCUAGUUCANNNNNNNNNNNNNNNNNNNNNNNNNNNNNNNNNNNNNNNNNNNNNNNNNNNNNNNNNNNNNNNNNNNNNNNNNNNNNNNNNNNNNNNNNNNNNNNNNNNNUUGGGUCCGGCCGACGUUAACGGGUCCCGUUUUCGGGGUCCGUCGUCCCAACCCACGCCCACCUAACGGGCGUCGAUGCGCCACCCUUACGUCGGCCUACGUCGGGCGUUCCCCGGGGUCGGGUUCGGCCCCCCGGUCGAACCUACCCGGAACCCACUUCGUCACUUCCCGGUACACUUCCCGGUAACUACCGAAAACCUUACCGGUAAUACAAAUGAGGUCAUCGUAUAUAUCAAUCUUCGUUUCCGGACCAUUCCAGAAACCCUCGUGACGCCCGUGAUCUCAUCCGGGACUCCGAACAACAUUCGGUAACCAACCAUAUAACUCAAAUACGCAUAAAACAACGUCGAACCUUAAGUGUGCAGACCCUGCGGGUUCGAGAACUAUGUAGACAUGACCCGAGAGACUCCUCGGUCAAUAUCAAAUAGUGGGACCUGGAUGCCCAUAUUGGAUCCUACAUAUUCUACGAAGAUCUUAUCGUUUGAACCUCAGUGCCAAGGAUUCAUAUAAUCCUGUAUGUCAUUCCCUUUGUCCUUCGGUAUGUUACUUGCCCGAGAUUCGAGCGUCAGUAUCCGCAUACCUAUUUCAAUCUCGUUUAUCGGCAAGUCUCUUUACUCGUUUCGUAAUACAAGAUCCCGCAACUUACACUAAGUCACAUUGCUUGCAAGGCUUGUGUGUGAUGUUGUAUUACCGAGUGGGCCCCGAGAUACCUCCCGUCCGUACACGACGGUAGUACGAACUAACCUACCCGUAGUUCGUACGUACCUACCUAACUUAACCUUAACCUAACCUAAACCUAACCCGUACCGGUUACGGAAGNNNNNNNNNNNNNNNNNNNNNNNNNNNNNNNNNNNNNNNNNNNNNNNNNNNNNNNNNNNNNNNNNNNNNNNNNNNNNNNNNNNNNNNNNNNNNNNNNNNNAAAAGUGCAUUUCCCCACAGGAAGGACUACAGAUCUUGCACAAGAUCCACUCGGGAACCUAUGGACAUCAUGCGUCCCCUCGGACCAUGGUGGCCAAGGCCUUCCGAGCAGGUUUUUAUUGGCCUCGAGACAACGAGGGAGCAAAAUACUUGGUCGAUCUGUGCGUUGGAUGCGAGUUCUACAAGAAUCAGUCGCACAAGCCUGCAUCCAUGCUGAAAAUGAUUCCACUCACUUGGCCAUUCACCGUGUGGGGUAUUGACUUGGUCGGCCCUUUGUGCACCAGGACCAGUGGAUUUAGCCACCUGCUAGUUGUAGUGGAUAAGUUCACCACGUGGGUCGAAGCUAAACCCAACAAAAGCAUGGACGGGCGACUACCGUCAGCUUCAUUCGACAGAUCAUCUUCAAAUUUGGAGUCCCUCACGACAUCAUCACCGACAAUGGAACCAACUUCGACUCGGAGGAAUUCCGCGAGUUCUGUCACUCCCAAGGCACACAGGGGAUAGGNNNNNNNNNNNNNNNNNNNNNNNNNNNNNNNNNNNNNNNNNNNNNNNNNNNNNNNNNNNNNNNNNNNNNNNNNNNNNNNNNNNNNNNNNNNNNNNNNNNNUAAAUAGAACAAUAAGAAAAGAAACAAUAGGAAGUUAGAAAGGGUUAUAAAUUGAUGAUGUGGCUUUGAAUGGUGUCAUUUUGAACAACAAAAACUAUGGAGUWCAAAUAAGUUCAAAAAUGAAAUCCCUUUGUAACAGACGAGUUUCCGUAUGAAACCCUSAUACUUCGAAAGAGAUUGUGUGUUUGUACACGAAGUGCAUCCAGUUUUGCCGUAACCCUCUCAACUUUCUUGCACAUGCUAUGUGGGUGAAAUGAUGAUACCAUGCCAACUUGGAACCUUUUCCCGUAAAGUUUCCCCUAAGUUUUCGUAAAGUCCGUCGUUUUCAAAGUUUACCACUACGGUACGUUAUAACUCAGUAAAUAAAUCAAUAAAAUGCAUGAAAAGUAACAAAUGAAGUCAGAAAGGGUUGUMAAUUGAUGAUGUGGCUUUGAAUGGUGCAUUUUGAACACAGAAAAACUAUGGAGUUCAAAUAAGUUCAAAAAAAAUAGAAAUCCCUUUGUAACAAACGAGUUUCCGUAUGAAACCCUGAUACUUCGAAAGAGAUUGUCCGUUUUGUACACGAAGUGCAUCCAGUUUUUGCCGUAACCCUCUCAACUUUCUCGCACAUGCUAUGUGGGUGAAAUGAUGAUACCAUGCCAACUUGGAACCUUUUCAGAGUUCAUUUCAAAUGCUUUUCAAUUUCAUGGUCUUAUAGCUCAAUAAUAAUCAAGUAAAUGCAUAGAAAAAUAAUAAAUAGAAGUCAAGUAAAGGGUACUUAGUAAAUUGAUGAUAGUGUUGGUACUUUGGAAGUGGUGUUNNNNNNNNNNNNNNNNNNNNNNNNNNNNNNNNNNNNNNNNNNNNNNNNNNNNNNNNNNNNNNNNNNNNNNNNNNNNNNNNNNNNNNNNNNNNNNNNNNNNGUGCGUAACCCUCUCAACUUUCUCGCACAUGCUAUGUGGGUGAAAUGAUGAUACCAUGCCAACUUGGAACCUUUUCAGAGUUCAUUUCAAAUGCUUUUCAAUUUCAUGGUCUUAUAGCUCAUAAUAAUCAGUAAAUGCAUGAAAAAUAAUAAAUGAAGUCAUAAAGGGCUGUAAAUUGAUGAUGUGGCUUUGAAUGGUGCAUUUUGAACACAGAAAAACUAUGGAGUUCAAAUAAGUUCAAAAAAAUAAAAUCCCUUUGUAACAGACGAGUUUCUGUAUGAAACCCUGAUACUUCGAAAGAGAUUGUCCGUUUUGUACACGAAGUGCAUCCAGUUUUUGCCGUAACCCUCUCAACUUUCUCGCACAUGCUAUGUGGGUGAAAUGAUGAUACGAUGCCAACUUGGAACCUUUCCAGAGUUCAUUUGAAAUGCUUUUCAAUUUCAUGGUCUUAUAGCUCAAAAUAAUCAGUAAAUGCAUGAAAAAUAACAAAUGAAGUCAGAAAGGGUUGUAAAUUGAUGAUGUGGCUUUGAAUGGUGCAUUUUGAACACACAGAAAAACUAUGGAGUUCAAAUAAAGUUSAAAACAWAUUGAAAAUCCCUUUAGUAACUAGACGUAGUUUACCUGUNNNNNNNNNNNNNNNNNNNNNNNNNNNNNNNNNNNNNNNNNNNNNNNNNNNNNNNNNNNNNNNNNNNNNNNNNNNNNNNNNNNNNNNNNNNNNNNNNNNNCCGUACGACGAACCGGUACCCAAAUGGCUUUUGCUAUAUAAGCUAGCAGUUGUGAAAAUUUCGUCAGUUUUCUUUGAUUCCUCCGACGACGCCGCCAGGCUGCCCCGAGCUCGCCGUCGUCGCCCCUGCCCCCCGACACGCCGUCGUUGCCCCGGCCCGACCACGCCGUCGUAGCCCCUUGCCCCCCCGACAUCGCCGCGCGCCCCUGUCGUGCCCUCUACCGCGCCCCCUACCCGCCCCGUGACGCCGUCGCCGCCCUUUGCCCCCGUUGAUCGCCAUUCGCCCCCCGUCCCGACACGUCCGUUGUCGGCCCCCUUGCCCCGACCACGCCGUCGCCGUUCGCCCUCUACACCGACGUCGGCGCCGUGCCUCUCCUUGGCCAGGCCUAGCGCCGCCCACCCUGUCCUCUCCUUUGUUCAUAUAAAUGAUGAUUUUUUUUUGCUAUUUUAUAAAAUGUAUAUAUGUAUGUAUGUUCUCUAUGCAGUAUAAAAGUUAUUAUUUUUAGUACUAGUUUGGGUACUAGUUUUAGGUUAGUUUAUNNNNNNNNNNNNNNNNNNNNNNNNNNNNNNNNNNNNNNNNNNNNNNNNNNNNNNNNNNNNNNNNNNNNNNNNNNNNNNNNNNNNNNNNNNNNNNNNNNNNGUUGGUCGACCUUUCGGUAGGUACAAAACCGGGACCGAACUACUCUUCGUAGUUAGUCGUAGGGUUACUAUACGGAAAACUCGUUUGUUCUAAAGGGAAGUUUCUUAUUUUUUUGAACUUAUUUGAACUCCUAUAGUUUUYYUGUAGUUCAAAWYGCACCAUUCAAAGCCACAUCAUCAAUUGUACAACCCUUCUGACUUUAUUUGUUAUUUUUCAUGCAUUUACUGAUUAUUUUGAGCUAUAAGACCAUGAAAUUGAAAAGCAUUUGAAAUGAACUCUAGAAAAGGUUCCRAGUUGGCAUGGUAUCAUCUAUUUCCACCCCACAUAGUAUGUGCGACAAAGUUAGAGAGGGUUACGACAAAACUAGGAUGCACUUCGUGUACAAAACGGACAAUCUCUUUCGAAGUAUCACGGUUUCAUACGAACGAACUCGUCUGUUACAAAGGGAUUUCUAUUUUUGUUUAGUAACUUUAUUUGUACGGUCCGACGUAGUUUUCUGGUAGAACUUACCUNNNNNNNNNNNNNNNNNNNNNNNNNNNNNNNNNNNNNNNNNNNNNNNNNNNNNNNNNNNNNNNNNNNNNNNNNNNNNNNNNNNNNNNNNNNNNNNNNNNNUCUUUGAUCAACGAGCUAGUCAACUAGAGGCUUACUAGGGACAGUGUUUUGUCUAUGUAUCCACACAAGUAUUGUGUUUCCAAUCAAUACAAUUAUAGCAUGGAUAAUAAACGAUUAUCAUGAACUAAGAAAUAUAAUAAUAACUAAUUUAUUAUUGCCUCUAGGGCAUAUUUCCAACAGUCUCCCACUUGCACUAGAGUCAAUAAUCUAGUUCACAUCACCAUGUGAUUCCAACGAAUCCAACACCCAUAUAGUUAUGGGGUCUGAUCAUGUCUUGCUUGUGAGAGAGGUUUUAGUCAACGGUUCUGAAACUUUCAGAUCCGUGCGUUCUUUACAAAUUCUUUAUGUCAUCUUAUAGAUGCUGCUACUACGUGCUAUUCGGAAAUGCUACCAAAUAUCCACUCUACUAUAUGAAUCCGUUUCACUACUCUAUAGUUAAUUUCCAGAUUAACGUGUCAAAGCUUGCAUCGACGUAACCCUUUACGACGAACUCUUUAACCACCUCCAUAAUCGAGAAAAUUCCUUAGUCCAUUUGUUACUAAGGAUAAAUUUGACCGCUGCUAGUGAUUCAAUCAUGGAUCACUCUCUGUACCCUCAACAGACUUUGAGUCAAGGUCACACUACGGAGGUAGGCGGUACACAGCAUGGCAUACUUAGAUUCUACGCUAAGGCAUAGAGACGACCUCGUCUAUUCUUCUUACUUNUGUCCGGUGGUUCCGGGUUUGUAGUCUUACUCUAAANNNNNNNNNNNNNNNNNNNNNNNNNNNNNNNNNNNNNNNNNNNNNNNNNNNNNNNNNNNNNNNNNNNNNNNNNNNNNNNNNNNNNNNNNNNNNNNNNNNNACGCAUGUGACUAGCAUCAACUACAAAGAGUAAUCAACACUACUAGCAACCUUACAAGUACCAAUUGGAGUCGCGAGAUGGAGAUUGGUUACAAGAGAUGAACUAGGGUUUGGAGAGGAGAUGGUGCUGAUGAAGAUGUUGAUGGAGAUGACUCCCCUCCGACGAGAGGAGUGUUGGUGAUGACGAUGGCGAUGAUUUCCCCCUCAGGGAGGGAAGUUUCCCCGGCAGGAUCGUCCUGCGGGAGCUCUAGAAUGGUUCUGCUCAACUUCGGCCUCGUGGCGGCGGAGAAUCCACGAAAAGCUCCACCCUGGAUUUUUYSUCGGACGAAACCCUUCAUAUAGCAAAAGAGGGGGCCAGUGGUCCGCCAUGGUGCCCACAAGCCCUGUAGCCGCCGCCAGGGGGUAGGUGGCGGCUACCGGGCUUGUGGGCUCCUGGUAGCUCCCCUCUCGUACUCCUUUCGCCCAGUAUUUUUUAUAUAUUCCCAAAAAUACCAUGUUGAUUUUCAGGGCAUUUGGAUUUGCGUAGAAUAGAGGACUCGGACUUUCUCCUUUUCCAGUCCAGAAUUCCAGCUGCCGGUAUUCUCUCUCUUCAAAUAAACCUUGCAAAAUAAGAGAGAAAAGGCAUAAGUAUGGUACCACAAAGUAAUAUAACAAUCCAUAAAGCGAUAAAUAUCAACAUGAAAGCAUGAUGCAAAAUGGACGUAUCAAGGCACACAGGGGAUAGGCAUNNNNNNNNNNNNNNNNNNNNNNNNNNNNNNNNNNNNNNNNNNNNNNNNNNNNNNNNNNNNNNNNNNNNNNNNNNNNNNNNNNNNNNNNNNNNNNNNNNNNAAAGAGGGGCCAGUGGUCCGCCAUGGUGCCCACAAGCCCUGUAGCCGCCGCCAGGGGGGGUAGGUGGCGGCUACCGGGCUUGUGGGCUCCUCGGUAGCUCCCCUCUCGUACUCCUUUCGUCCCAGUAUUUUUUAUAUAUUCCCAAAAAAUACCAUGUUGAUUUUCAGGGCAUUUGGAUUUGCGUAGAAUAGAGGACUCGGACUUUCUCCUUUUCCAGUCCAGAAUUCCAGCUGCCGGUAUUCUCUCUCUUCAAAUAAACCUUGCAAAAUAAGAGAGAAAAGGCAUAAGUAUGGUACCACAAAGUAAUAUAACAAUCCAUAAAGCGAUAAAUAUCAACAUGAAAGCAUGAUGCAAAAUGGACGUAUCAAGGCACACAGGGGAUAGGUUAUGUUCUUACUUCACACAUGAUUUGAGUAGAUAUUAGUAUAUUUACUUGAUGAAACACAAGUCUGAAUUAUUGAAAUAUUCAAGUGAUUUCAGAGUGAAGUUGAAGAUCAUCGUGACAAGAAGAUAAUAUGUCUACGAUGUGAUCAUGGAGGUAAAUAUAUAUCUGAGUUGCGAGUUUGGUAUACAUUUAAGACAAUGUGAAAAUUGUUUCACAACUCAUGCCACCUGGAACACCAUAGUGUGAUGGCGUGUCCGAACGUCAUAGUCGUGCCCUAUUGGAUAUGGCGCAUACUAUNNNNNNNNNNNNNNNNNNNNNNNNNNNNNNNNNNNNNNNNNNNNNNNNNNNNNNNNNNNNNNNNNNNNNNNNNNNNNNNNNNNNNNNNNNNNNNNNNNNNGAAGAGUGUUACAGGAGUCAGUCAAAAGUGCAUUUCCCCACAGGAAGGACUACAGAUCUUGCACAAGAUCCACUCGGGAACCUAUGGACAUCAUGCGUCCCCUCGGACCAUGGUGGCCAAGGCCUUCCGAGCAGGUUUUWWUGGCCUCGAGACAACGAGGGAGCAAAAUACUUGGUCGAUCUGUGCGUUGGAUGCGAGUUCUACAAGAAUCAGUCGCACAAGCCUGCAUCCAUGCURRAAAUGAUUCCACUCACUUGGCCAUUCACCGUGUGGGGUAUUGACUUGGUCGGCCCUUUGUGCACCAGGACCAGUGGAUUUAGCCACCUGCUAGUUGUAGUGGAUAAGUUCACCACGUGGGUCGAAGCUAAACCCAACAAAAGCAUGGACGGGGCGACUACCGUCAGCUUCAUUCGACAGAUCAUCUUCAAAUUUGGAGUCCCUCACGACAUCAUCACCGACAAUGGAACCAACUUCGACUCGGAGGAAUUCCGCGAGUUCUGUCACUCCCAAGGCACACAGGGGAUAGGNNNNNNNNNNNNNNNNNNNNNNNNNNNNNNNNNNNNNNNNNNNNNNNNNNNNNNNNNNNNNNNNNNNNNNNNNNNNNNNNNNNNNNNNNNNNNNNNNNNNGUUUUGUCUUAGUAACGACGGUAGCAUUAUGAGGUGAGUCUCUCACUAAAAUUUACUAAGACGAAAUUAGUGUUCUCCCCGACCUGUGCACCGUUGCGACAGUUCUUCGUUUCGUAGACACCACGUGAUGAUCGGGUGUGAUAGACUCAACGUUCACAUACAACGGGUGCAAAACAGUUGCACACGCAGAACACUCGGGUUAAGCUUGACGAGCCUAGCAUGUGCAGACAUGGCCUCGGAACACGUGAGACCGAAAGGUCGAGCAUGAAUCGUAUAGUUGAUAUGAUUAGCAUAGGGAUGCUUACCACUGAAACUAUUCUCGACUCACGUGAUGAUCGGACUUGAGAUAGUGGAUUUGGAUCAUGUACCACUCAAAUGACUAGAGAGAUGUACUUUUUGAGUGGGAGUUCUUAAGUAAUAUGAUUAAUUGAACUAAUUUUCAUGAACAUAGUCUAAUGGUCUUUGCGAAUUACGAUGUAGCUUGCGCUAUAGCUCUACUGUUUUUUUAUGUUCCUAGAGAAAAUUUAGUUGAAAAUUGAUAGUAGCAACCUUUGCAGACUGAGUCUGUAAAACCGAGGAUUGUCCUCGUUGCUGCGCAGAAGGCUUAUGUCCUUAAUGCACCACUCGGUGUGCUGCACCUCGAGCGUCGUCUGUGGAUGCUGUGAACAUCCGACAUACACGUUUCUGAUGACUACACGAUAGUUCAGUGCAAAGUACUUAAUGGCUUAGAAGCAAGGCACACGAGGGGAUAGGNNNNNNNNNNNNNNNNNNNNNNNNNNNNNNNNNNNNNNNNNNNNNNNNNNNNNNNNNNNNNNNNNNNNNNNNNNNNNNNNNNNNNNNNNNNNNNNNNNNNCUUUGAUUAUAUCUUCGAGAAGUUCUUCCUCUUCGAGGUUCCUGAUAUGUGGAUCCCUAGUUCUGCAAAAAACGGACAUUUGAUUAACUAAUAAACUAACAAACUAUAUAAGAGGGGUUGGAAACUUCGAAGUGUCGUUUUAUAUAGGAGGACCUUUAGUCCCGGGUCUUGGCUAGAACCUAAACUUCGAAGUUCUAUUAAUUUUCUUGCUAAAAAUAAACUAUUAACACUUAAGCAUAUACAAUAGCAAAAUUAAACUAUUAACACUUCAGCAUAUACAAUAGCAAAAUUAAGCAAUAAUCUAAGAAACACUAUUAACACUUAAGCAUAUACACUAUACAAUAGCAAAAUUAAAUGACAAAAAAUAUAUUUCUUCUUCUUGUAACCCUAAACUAAUUUUUCCUCUUCUUCUAUUUCUCCUCUUCUUCUAUUUCUUAUUCUACUUCUACUUCUCCUCUUCUUCUACUACUUCUCCUCUUCUCUUCUUCUACUUCUCCUCUCCUCCUCUUCUAAUUUUUCUCUUCUUCUACUUCUCCUCUUCUUCUUAUUUUCCUCUUCUUCUCCUCUCCUCCUCUUCUUAUUCUCCUUUUCUUCUUUUCUUCUCCUCCUCUUUUAUUUUCCUUUUCUAAUUCUACAUUAUUACUAACCUAAUAAUCUAGCACAAACCUAAUAACAAKDGASGUAMRUUAAAUAGAAAACUAAAAAAAAUUUACUUUUUUCUUUCCUUUUUCCCUUUUCCCUUUUUUCCCUUUCCCCUUUUCCUUUCCUUUCCCUUUUUUCCUUUCCCUUUUCCUUUCCUUUCCCUUUUUUCCUUUCCCUUUUUCCCUUUUCCCUUUUUUAUUUUACUUUUUCCUUUCCUUUCCCUUUUUUACUUUUACUUUUUCCUUUCCCUUUCCCCUUUUUCCCCUUUUUUCCUUUCCCNNNNNNNNNNNNNNNNNNNNNNNNNNNNNNNNNNNNNNNNNNNNNNNNNNNNNNNNNNNNNNNNNNNNNNNNNNNNNNNNNNNNNNNNNNNNNNNNNNNNAAACUUUAAUAGCAAAAAGAAUUAUCAUAAAAUAAAAUUAAUAAGUAAUUAUAAACAAAACAAAAUAAAAUAAAUAAGUAUUUUGUUGUAAGUAGAAACAAAACAAAAUAAGCUAGCUAGCACUUUGAAUUUAAGUAGAAACAAAACAAAAUAAACAAAAGAAAAAAUAAAAGAAAAAUAAUCAAUAAAUGCAACUAAAAUUAUCAAAGUAUUUUCUGUUAAAAAUCAUUAAAAGGAAAAGAAUUUUCAUAAAGAACUUUUUUUGUUAGAAACUUUAAUGGACAAAAAUAAUUAUCAUGAAAUAAAAUAAAUAAGUAAUUAGAAAACAAAAAAAUAAAAUAAUAAGUAUUUUGUUGUAAGGAGAAACAAAACAAAAUAAGCUAAACUAAAAAAAUAAACAAAACUAAAAUAAAAGAAAAAACAAAACUAAAAUUAAAUAGGAAAAAAAUUAAAAAAUAAGAUGUUCUCUCCACGUUGCAGCCGCGGCGGAGCUUAUAAACNGGCUCGGAAGUCCUUCGCUUGACACNNNNNNNNNNNNNNNNNNNNNNNNNNNNNNNNNNNNNNNNNNNNNNNNNNNNNNNNNNNNNNNNNNNNNNNNNNNNNNNNNNNNNNNNNNNNNNNNNNNNGGUCCGUUCUUGGCAACAAAGGUUUUACCUUCGGAUCUAAGAUAGAAGGUAUACCCAAUAGUUUCCUUAGGGUAUCCUAUGAAUACGCAUUUCUCCGCUUUGGGUUCGAGCUUUUUUUGGUUGAAGUUUCUUCACAUAAGCAUCGCAGCCCCAAACUUUAAGAAACGACAACUUAGGUUUCUUGCCGAACCAUAGUUCAUACGGUGUCAUCUCAACGGAUUUAGACGGUGCCCUAUUUAAAGUGAAUGCUGCAGUUUCUAAUGCGUAUCCCCAAAAUGAUAGCGGUAAGUCGGUAAGAGACAUCAUAGAUCGUACCAUAUCUAAUAAAGUGCGAUUACGAUGUUCAGACACUCAGUUGCGUUGCGGUGUGCCAAGCGGUGUCAGUUGUGAAACGAUUCCACACUUCCUUAGGUGUGUGCAAAACUCGUGACUCAAAUAUUCUCCUCAUGAUGAGAUCGUAGACACUUUAUUUUUCUGUCACGUUGAUUCNCGACCUCACUCUGAAAUUCCUUGUAACUUUUCAAAUGUCUCAGUAUUUGUGCUUCAUACAAGUAGAUACUACCCAUACCUACUNNNNNNNNNNNNNNNNNNNNNNNNNNNNNNNNNNNNNNNNNNNNNNNNNNNNNNNNNNNNNNNNNNNNNNNNNNNNNNNNNNNNNNNNNNNNNNNNNNNNAGUCCUCAUUCUACGCAAAUCCAAAUGCCCUGAAAAUCAACAUGGUAUUUUUUGGGAAUAUAUAAAAAAUACUGGGCGAAAGGAGUACGAGAGGGGAGCUACCAGGAGCCCACAAGCCCGGUAGCCGCCACCUACCCCCCUGGCGGCGGCUACAGGGCUUGUGGGCACCAUGGCGGACCACUGGCCCCCCUCUUUUGCUAUAUGAAGGGUUUCGUCCGAGAAAAAAUCAGGGUGGAGCUUUUUCGUGGAUUCUCCGCCGCCACGAGGCCGAAGUUGAGCAGAACCAUUCUAGAGCUCCCGCAGGACGAUCCUGCCGGGGAAACUUCCCUCCCUGAGGGGGAAAUCAUCGCCAUCGUCAUCACCAACACUCCUCUCGUCGGAGGGAGUCAUCUCCAUCAACAUCUUCAUCAGCACCAUCUCCUCUCCAAACCCUGUUCAUCUCUUGUAACCAAUCUACNUCUCGCACUCCAAUUGGUACUUGUAAGGUUGCUAGUAGUGUUGAUUACUNUUUGUAGUUGAUGCNNNNNNNNNNNNNNNNNNNNNNNNNNNNNNNNNNNNNNNNNNNNNNNNNNNNNNNNNNNNNNNNNNNNNNNNNNNNNNNNNNNNNNNNNNNNNNNNNNNNCGGGUACACCACUACUACUUAAGUUAGGGAAAGUAACUACUAUUGGAUAGGUCGGUAAUAACCGAAACCCCUAAAACUUAAAGUAACGGUAACGUACGACUAGUUUGGUUAGUACGUCGGUUCGUACUUUAGUUUUUGGUUGUACUACGUUUUCGUUUUACGUCGGUCGGUUCGUAACGUAAGUUUAAUUUUACCUUACCUUGUCCGACCUAGUAGAAGUACCAUAUAACYCACUGACACCGGAGGAAUGCUUUGUGUGUAUCAAACGUCGCAACGUAACUGGGUGACUAUAAAGAUGCUCUACAGGUAUCUCCGAAGGUGUUAGUUGAGUUAGUAUGGAUCAAGACUGGGAUUUGUCACUCCGUGUGACGGAGAGGUAUCUCGGGGCCCACUCGGUAAUACAACAUCACACACAAGCCUUGCAAGCAAUGUAACUUAGUGUAAGUUGCGGGAUCUUGUAUUACGGAAUGAGUAAAGAGACUUGCCGGUAACGAGAUUGAAAUAGGUAUGCGGAUACUAACGAUCGAAUCUCGGGCAAGUAACAUACCGAAGGACAAAGGGAAUGACAUACGGGAUUAUAUGAAUCCUUGGCACUGAGGUUCAAACGAUAAGAUCUUCGUAGAAUAUGUAGGAUCCAAUCGUGGGCAUCCAGGUCCCGCUGUUGGAUAUUGACCGAGGAGUCUCUCGGGUCAUGUCUACAUAGUUCUCGAACCCGCAGGGUCUGCACACUNNNNNNNNNNNNNNNNNNNNNNNNNNNNNNNNNNNNNNNNNNNNNNNNNNNNNNNNNNNNNNNNNNNNNNNNNNNNNNNNNNNNNNNNNNNNNNNNNNNNCUCGUUACCGGCAAGUCUCUUUACUCAUUCCGUAAUACAAGAUCCCGCAACUUACACUAAGUUACAUUGCUUGCAAGGCUUGUGGGUGAUGUUGUAUUACCGAGUGGGCCCCGAGAUACCUCUCCGUCACACGGAGUGACAAAUCCCAGUCUUGAUCCAUACUAACUCAACUAACACCUUCGGAGAUACCUGUAGAGCAUCUUUAUAGUCACCCAGUUACGUUGCGACGUUUGAUACACACAAAGCAUUCCUCCGGUGUCAGUGAGUUAUAUGAUCUCAUGGUCAUAGGAAUAAAUACUUGACACGCAGAAAACAGUAGCAAMMAAAUGACACGAUCAACAUGCUACGUCUAUUAGUUUGGGUCUAGUCCAUCACAUGAUUCUCCUAAUGAUGUGAUCCCGUUAUCAAGUGACAACACUUGUCUAUGGCCAGGAAACCUUGACCAUCUUUGAUCAACGAGCUAGUCAACUAGAGGCUUACGUAGGGACUAGGUUGUUUUGUCUAUGUACUCCNNNNNNNNNNNNNNNNNNNNNNNNNNNNNNNNNNNNNNNNNNNNNNNNNNNNNNNNNNNNNNNNNNNNNNNNNNNNNNNNNNNNNNNNNNNNNNNNNNNNAAAUUUGAUGAACUCUUUUAAAAUUCAAUAAACUUUCUUUCAAAAUCGGUGAACUUUUUUCUAAAAUCGGUGAACUUUUUUCAAAAUUGGUGAAUUUUUUUCAAAAUUCAAUAUUUUAUUUUCAAAAUCAUGAUCUUUUAUUAAAAUCGAUAGACUUUUUCAAAUUUGAUGAACUUUUUUCAAAAUUGAUGUUUCCAUAUUAGAUAUUUAUUUUGAAAUAUACUGAACAUUUUCAAAUUUAACGACUCUUUUGCAAAUUCAAUGAACUUUUCUUUUUCAAAUUUGAUGAUUUUUCUCAAAAUCGAUGAACUUUUUUUACAUUCAAUUGUUUUUCAAAUUACAUUAUUUUUUUCAAUUUCAAUGAACUUUUUUCAAACUUGAUUAACUUUUUUUCAAAAUUAUUGAACUUUUUAACAUUUUGAUGAACCUAUUUUAUAAAUUGAUGAACUCUUUUUAAAAUGCGAUGAACUUUUUUCAAUUCGAUGAAUAUCAUAUUUUCAAAUUGAAUGAUUUUUUUCAAUUUGAUGAACAAAUUUCAAGUCCUAUAAUUUUUUUCAAAUUUAUGAACUUUUUUCAUAUUUGUGAAAGAAAUAUACAAAAUCGAUAUUUUUUUUAGAAUUAAUCUAUGAACUUUUCUAACAAAAGUAUUCAAAAUUGAAAAAAAGGCGGUCAAUCUUUUUUCCGAACCACAAUGGCAGCACAGCCGAAGAACUAAUCCAGCGAGGCGAGUUAGUUUCUUUUCAGCGGUCGAGCGAACCGACAAGGAGCCAUGUUUUUAAUGGGCCCCGUUUUUGGAAGCUUUCCGGCCUGGGUAUGAAGCUUCGAGAACCUUCCGGUCGGUUUGUUUUUUGGUUUUUGAAAACUUGGCUUUGUUUUUUUGUGUGCUUUUUUAAUUUGCUUUUUUAAUGCUUGAACUUCAUAGGAAACUGAAAACUUUUACAAAUUUGUGAUUUGGUUUUGAAUUUUAUGAGCUUUUCCUAAUCCGCAAAAAAAUUCAGUUCCGCUAUUUCGAGUGAUCUUUUUCUUGAUUUAAUGAACUUUUUUCAGUUUUUGCUAACCUUUUAGUGAAGCUCUAAAAUUUUUACAAACUUUUAAGUAACCUGAUUAUAUUUAUAUAAAAUGUUCCUCUAUCAGAAGAUAGUUAAUGUGUUUGAAAAGAAUAGUAUAUAAAAAGAUCAUCAUGUUUGGAGAAAGUCGUACGACCUUUUAUGUGUGAAUAGAGAUUGUCGUACAUUAUCUUCAUAAAUUUUGAAAGAAAAUCAUGCACACCACUUCUUAAAAAAAUUCAUGUACUUGACCCCUUACGGAUUGUACAUUAGGGAUAGGCCUAUAAACCUUUUCCCCAAGACCCACCUAAGGCCCCAUACGAACAUCAAUGUCCUACAAGUCACCGGUGCAGUUUCGACCUCAUUCGAUACAACGUGUCCUCAGUCGGCUUACAUGAAGUCAUUCGGAUCACCUUGUGUCAGUGGGACGCACCAUGGUACUCGAACCACAGCAAGACGAUGACACCGAAUAGGCUACAACGACUAAGGACUUCAACUAUCACAUGAAGUGCAGUGAAGACCCGCGUUACAUGUAACGCUAGGAGUUAUAACUCUCGUUUCUAGUAACUCCCUUAUUUAUUAGCAUUAAUUCACCUUGUAGUGAAGCUUAGCCGGUCAUGGCAUACUCUAUAUAGGCCACUCCCGGGCUCGAGUUCAAGGGUUCAGCACCUUGUAAUCUCACAUACCCCAUAAGAAAACAUGAGCCUCAAGGCUCGAGACGUAGGGUUGUUACCACUUCCGAAUGGGGCCCAAACUCGUACAUCCGAGUGUAUUCAUAGGGCUUAGUUAGGCUUCGCCCCUCCGUUCGUACCCCCACUACUAUUAUCAGGGUCAUUUCCAGACACUUGGCGCACACCGUGGGGCUGCGUGUCUAGCAAAUCCAACAUGAUGACACUCGGCGGAGAGAUCCUCUUCGGUUCCCUCACCUUCGUUGUCGUGGGAAUGAUCCUGACAAUAGUACGAGGGGUACGAACUAAGGGGCGAAGUCUAGCUAGGCGCAGUGGAUACACUUGGAUGUACAAGUUCGGGCCCCACUGGGAAGUGGUAAAGACCCUACAUCUCAAGCCGUGAGGCUCGUGAUUUCUUAUGGGGUAUCUGAAAGUACAAAAUGCUUAACCCUUGAGGGGGAGCCCAGGAGUGGCUUAUAUAGAGUGUGCCACGACCGACCGAGCACCGUCACUAGGGUAUUUAAUGCUAAUAACUACGUGAUUUACUAAAAACGGUGGCUUUAAUUACAACGUUACACGUAACAUGGGUCUUCACGCAGGUGUUUAAGUCCUUGGCAAUUGUGAUGGGGAACGUUGCAUGGAAAACAAAAAAUUUCGUACGCAAACGCAAUACCUAUCCAUGGUGAUGAUCAUCUACGAGAGGGGAGAGUAAAUAUACAUACCCUUGUAGAUCGCUAAGCGGAAGCGUCUAUAACGCGAUUGAUGUAGUGGAACAUCUUCGCGAUCCAAAUCACAGCCCUUCCUGCGAUCUCAUCACGAUCCAUCCCGAUCUAGUGCCGAACGGAUGGCACCUCCGCGUUCAGCACACGUACAACUCGAUGACAAUCCCCGUCUCCUUGAUCUAGCAAGAGGGGCGGAGAGGUAGAUGCAUUGUCCAACACGACGGCGUGGUGGUGGUGGUGGUGGAAAAUCUAGCAGGGCUUCGCCAAGAGGUGCGAAACUAAUCUAGAGAAGAAAACGAUCUAGAGAGAGAGACGACAUCACGUGGCUAAUUAGGGACUCCUUCCUAAUUUGGAAACUCUUUCCACCUUUUGGCUUUUUGCUUUAUCCCUCCACUCGAGCCGCAUGGGCCCUUAGGGGAGGCUUCGGCCAGCCCACCAGGGGCUGGUCUGCCUCCUCUCACAGCCCAUGAAACCCUUGGGUCAUCACACCCAUCCCGGUGGUCCCUCGGUACCCUCCCGGUACUCCUGGUAUACUACCGAUGAGUCCAAAACUUUUUCGGAGACCAAAACAGGACUUCCUAUAUAUCAAUCUUUACCUUCGGACCAUUCCGGAGCUCCUCGUGACGUCCAGGAUCUCAUUUGAGAUUCCAAACAACCUUUGGUCACCAACACCUAUAACUCAACUAUACCGAAACGUCAUCGAACCUUAAGUGUGCACACCCUGCGGGUUUGAGAACUAUGUAGACAUGACCCGAGACAUUCUCCGGCCAAUAACCAAUAGCGUGACCUGGAUGCCCAUAUUGUCUCCCACAUAUUAUACAAAGAUAUUUAUCGGUUGAACCUCUAUGUCAAGGAUUCAAUUAAUCCCAUAUGUUGUUCCCUUUGUCCUUCGGUAUGUUACUUGCUCGAGAUUCAAUCAUCGGUAUCUCUAUACCUAGUUCAAUCUCGUUACCGGCAAGUCUCUUUACUCAUUCCGUAAUACAAGAUCCCGCGACUAACUCCUUAGUCACAUUGCUUGCAAGGAUUGUUGUGAUGUUGUAUUACCGAGUGGGCCCCGAGAUACCUCUCCGUCACACNNNNNNNNNNGUCAACCAAACAUACACCUUGUGUGAUCGUGUCAGUUUAUUGGUACUGUUUUCUGCAUGUCAAUGUAUUUGUUCCUAUGACCAUGAGAUCAUGCAACUCCCGGACACCGGAGGAAUACCUUGUGUGUAUCAAUCGUCAGAACGUAACUGGGUGACUAUAAAGGUGCUCUACAGGUAUCUCCGAAGGUGUCUGUUGGGUUGGUAUGGAUCAAGACUGGGAUUUGUCACUCCGUGUGAUGGAGAGGUAUCUCAGUGCCGACUCGGUAAUACAACAUCACAACAAGCCUUGCAAGCAAUGUGACUAAGGAGUUAGUCACAGGAUCUUGUAAUACGGAAUGAGUAAAGAGACUUGCCGGUAACGAGAUUGAACUAGGUAUAGAGAUACCGACGAUCGAAUCUCGGGCAAGUAACAUACCGAAGGACAAAGGGAACAACAUACGGGAUUAAUUGAAUCCUUGACAUAGAGGUUCAACCAAUAAAGAUCUUCGUAGAAUAUGUAUGAACCAAUAUGGUCAUCCAAGUCCUGCUAUUGGUUAUUGACCGUAGAAGUGUCUCGGUCAUGUCUGCAUAGUUCUCGAACCCACAGGGUCUGCACACUUAACGUUCGGUGACGCUAGAGUAGUAUUGGGAUAUGUAUGUUGGUGAAUGAAUGUUGUUCGUAGUCCCGGAUGAGCUCCUGGAUGUCACGAGGAGCUCCGGAAUGGUUCGGAGGUAAAGAUUUAUAUAUGGGAAGUCCUAUUUUGGCUACCGGAAAAGUUCCAGGUUUUAUCGCUAUUGUACCAGGAAGCUUCUGGAAGUUCCACAGGGUUCUAGAGGGUUCCGGAGGAGUCCGGAAGGUUCCCUCCAGCCCCUAGGACGUGCAUGGGCUUAAGGAGGUGUCCAAGCCUUGUUGGGCGAGCCCCCAAGGGCCCAUACGGUUGGGAGGAAAGAGUCCCUAAAGGGGAAGGCACCUCCUAGGUGCCAUGAGGAGGGAGGAAACCUCCCUAGGCCCACGCCCCCUCCUUGGAGGAGGGGCUAGGUAUGCGACCCAACCCUCCUCCUUGCCUCCCAUAUAUAGUGCGGGAGAGGGAGGGUCUGAACACACCAAUUCCCACACCACGGUGGCAGCCCUACCUCUCCCAUAACUCCGUUUUCUCCUCAGAUCAGUUCUGGCAGCGCUUUGCGAAGCCGUGCUGGCACUGCUCCACCAUCAUCUCCACCAUGCCGUCGUGUUGGUUGAGAUCCCAUAUACUUCUCCUUCCUCUCUUGCUGGAUCAAGAAGGAGGAGACGUCAUCGAGCCGUACGUGUGCUGAACGCAGAGGUGUCGUCCGUUCGGCACUAGAUCGGGACGGAUCGUGAUGGGAUCGUGGGACGGAUCAUAAUGAGAUCGCAGGACAGGCUGCGAUUUGGAUCGCGAAGAUGUUCCACUAUAUCAACCGCGUUAUAUAUAUGCUUCCACUUAGCGAUCUACAAGGGUAUGUAGAUGCACUCUCUCCUCUCGUAGAUGGUCAUCACCAUGGAUAGAUCUUGUGUGCGCGUAGGAAUUUUUUUAUUUCCCAUGCAACGUUCCCCAACAUGGAGGACUACCAAGUGGCCGUCCAGAUAGGUGGCGGCGACGACUACAUCACAAUGAAGCAUAUGCCCCUCAUGUUAGAAGGGUUGGCGAGGGCGUGGCUCAAUCAGCUUCCCUCCAGCAACAUCCAUAGCUGUGUUUACCUCACCUGAGUGUUCGUCAAGACCUUCGAGGGCACUUACAAGCGUCCAAGCGGCCUGACCGAGCUGCAACACUAUGUCGAGAAGAGCAAGGAGACUCUCACAGAGUACAGCCAGCGGUGGACCACACUGCACAACACGGUGGAGAAUGUCACCGAGCAUCAGGCCGUGUGCACUUCCAAAGAAGGCACUCAUCCUCAAGUUUGGCCGAUCAAGGGAUGUGUCCCUUAGUUGGGCCAUAGAAGUCGCUAAUCGGUAUGCGAAUGGCGAAGAAGAAGACUACCUCCGCAGCGGCAAAGGCCGAGCCAGCAAAGCCCCUUAGUCGGACAAUGCUGGGAAGAAGCACAAGCAAAAGGGCGACCCAUCGGGCAAAGCCGAAGUAGCUAUUGUCCCGGGGCAAAGCCAAAACAAGUCCAAGAAGAAGAAAAAAUAUUGGGUAGGCAAGAAGAAGGCCAAGUCCAAGAGCAACCUUUUGGAUCAGCCGUAUCCAAUUCAUGCUAGGAACGACAAAGAUGAGGAGACCAUCCCUGCCAAGCACACGACUCGAGAUUGCCGCUUCCUCCAGAAGGAGAUGAGCGGAGAACCCUCCGGGGACAAAGAGUAUGAGGAUGACCCAGAGGAUGCCUCCGGGUACCCGAAUAUCGAGGGGACCCUCAUGAUCUUUAAUAAUGUCGAGAGCAAGAGCCAAUUGAAAGUUAUCAACCGGGAAGUGAACAUGGCAGCCCCGGCUAUCAUGAAAUACCUCGACUGGGCGAAGACGCCCGUCACAUUUGACCAAUCGGAUCACCCGACCAACAUUGCCACCCCUGGGAGGUAGGCGUUGGUGCUUGAUCCAGCGGUCAAUGGGUACCGACUGUGGAAAGCCCCCAUGGACGGUGGCAGUGGCCUUAACAUCAUAUACAUCGACACUCCAAAGCUAUGGACAUUCCGUUGUCCCGGUUGAGCAAGAGUGACAUGCAAUUUCAUGGGGUCAUCCCCGGAAAGAAGACCGAAUCACUUGGGCAGAUCACCCUGAAUGUCGUAUUCGGCAGCGAGAAGAAUUACCGAAAGGAGAGGUGGACCUUUGAAGUGGUCGACUUUCAAAGUGCCUAUCACGCCAUCCUGGGUAGGCCCACUAACGCUCGUUUCAUGGCCUGUCCAUGUUACGUGUGUCUUAAGCUUAAGAUGCCAGGGACAAAAGACGUGAUCACGGUGACUGUCAAUCGAAAGGUCGUUGAAGAGUGCCUCCAGCAAGGUUCAAGGAUCGCCAACGAGCAGGUCCUCGCUGUCGAGAUCGAUGGGUACAAGAAGGAAGUGGAUACCGCAAACCUUCUCAAGUCAAAACGGCCGGCUACUGAGUCCUCCUUUCACUCGGCUGGUGAGAAGAACCAGGUCCACGUCCAUCCAACCGAUCCGAGUGUUUCCGCGACAAACAUCUCCACUUCACUCGGAGAAAAUAGGAAGCCCAACUCAUCAAGUUCCUCUGUGAGAACUAGGAUAUCUUCACAUGGAAGCCAUCUCACAUGCGGGGGUUCCCAGGGAACUAGCUGAGCACCGCCUCCGAGUGGAAUCAAAGGUCAAGCCCGUCAAGGAACACCUGCGCCGCUCCUCCAUGGAGAAGCAUAGGGCGAUUGGCGAGGAGACCGCUUGGCUCCUAGAUGUCGAGUUCAUCCACGAGGUUUACCACUCUGAGUGGUUGGCGAACGUGGUCAUGGUGCCAAAGAAGAACAGUUCACUACGAAUGUGUAUUGACUUCAAGCAUCUCAAUCGGCCUUCCCGAAGGACCACUUCCCUCUACCUCGCAUAGAUGAAAUCAUAGAUUCAACUACCGGAUUUGAACGAUUGUCGUUCCUGGAUGCGUACUCUCGGUACCACGAGAUCCGAAUGUAUGAAACUGAUGAAAUAAAAAAACCUUCAUGACCCCGUUCAGGUGUUUUUCCUACAUCACGAUGCCAUUCGGCCUCAAGAAUGCCGGAGCCACUUUCCAGUGCAUGAUCCAAAAGUGCUUACAAGAACUAUUCAGUCGGAACAUUGAAGAAUACAUGGACGACAUCGUGGUUAAGUCCAGGAAAGGUUUCGACCUUCUGGCCGACCUCGCCGAAACCUUUGCGAACCUUUGAUGCUUCGGGAUUAAGCUCAGUCCAGCCAAAUGCACCUUCUGUGUUGCGGCUAGAAAGCUACUCGGUUUCCUCGUUUCCGAACGAGGCAUCGAUGCCAAUCCCGACCAGAUCGGUGCCAUCGUCCAGAUGAGACGUCCAGAGCGCAUCCAUGACGUGCAAAGGCUUAUGGGUUGCCUUGCAGCCCUGAGCUGCUUCAUCUUGAGACUCGAUGAGAAGGCUGUGCCUCUUUACUGAUUGAUGAAGAAAUCCAACAUAUUCGAGUGGACCAACGAGGCACAGGUCGCAUUCGACCAACUCAAAUCUCUCCUUUCCACCCAACCGGUGUUAGCUGCUCCAAGCAGCCAGGAGCCCUUUCUCCUGUACAUUAUUGCCACUAGCCAACUGGUUAGCACCAUACUCAGUGUAGAGCUUGAGAAAGCGGGCAAUGCGUACAAGGUACAAAGGCCCAUUUACUACAUCUCUGAGGUACUAACCCCCUCAAAGCAAAGAUAUCCACACUACGAGAAGCUGGUUUAUGGGAUCUACCUGAUAGUAAAGGAGUUAGUCCACUAUUUCCAAGAUCACUCGGUCACUGUCAUCAGUGACGCCCCCUGGAGGAAAUCCUACACAAUCGGGACGCUACCGGCACAGUGGCCAAAUGGGUGAUUGAGCUCCUCCCGCUGGAGAUCAAAUUCAAAGCCAAGAAGGCGAUCAAGUCUCAUGCCUUGGUGGACUUCCUGGACGAAUGGAUAGAGCAAGAAGAACCGGCUCGUAGCAUCCCUGAGCAUUGGACCAUGCUCUCCGAUGGAUCCAAAAUGCUCCAUGGCUCGGGGGCUGGAGUGAUUAUCGUUUCCCCCAGGGGAGCCCGACUCAACUAUGUGCUCCAAAUCCACUUCGAUUCAUCCAACAACGAGGUCGAGUACGAGCCCUCUUGUAUGGGCUCCGCAUGGCUAUCUCACUUUGCAUUCGACAUUUGAUGGUCUAUGGCGACUUGGAUCUCGUUGUCAAUCAAGUAAUGAAGGAAUGGGACAUUCGAAGUCCAGCAAUGACAGUCUACUGCAACACAGUCAAGAAACAGGAGAAAAACUUCGAAGGGUUGGAACUACACCACGUGCACCGAGCCAAGAAUCAAGCGACCGAUGACUUGACAAAGAUCGGAUCCACUCGGAAGGUCAUUCCAAAGGGCGUGUUCCUCAAACAUUUACGCACUCCCUCGGUCAAGGAAGAUCCCUUCACAGAAGAGCCCCCACAAGCAAUCAGUCCAUCUAAUCCGAUUGAGAUCGACGUCCCGACGGUGGUCGACCUCGUCCAUAAGAUGUUGGUCAUCACACCCGAACAGACAUAGCCUUAUCUGGCUUACUUGCUCCGACAAGAGCUCCAUGAAGACAAAGAGGAAGCCCACCAAAUCGUUCGGCGGUCUAAAGCUUUCGAAGUACUCGGAGACAAGCUGUACAAGAAGAGUGUUACAGGAGUCAGUCAAAAGUGCAUUUCCCCACAGGAAGGACUACAGAUCUUGCACAAGAUCCACUCGGGAACCUAUGGACAUCAUGCGUCCCCUCGGACCAUGGUGGCCAAGGCCUUCCGAGCAGGUUUUUAUUGGCCUCGAGACAACGAGGGAGCAAAAUACUUGGUCGAUCUGUGCGUUGGAUGCGAGUUCUACAAGAAUCAGUCGCACAAGCCUGCAUCCAUGCUGAAAAUGAUUCCACUCACUUGGCCAUUCACCGUGUGGGGUAUUGACUUGGUCGGCCCUUUGUGCACCAGGACCAGUGGAUUUAGCCACCUGCUAGUUGUAGUGGAUAAGUUCACCACGUGGGUCGAAGCUAAACCCAACAAAAGCAUGGACGGGGCGACUACCGUCAGCUUCAUUCGACAGAUCAUCUUCAAAUUUGGAGUCCCUCACGACAUCAUCACCGACAAUGGAACCAACUUCGACUCGGAGGAAUUCCGCGAGUUCUGUCACUCCCAAGGCACUCGAGUUAAUUACGCCUCUGUGGCGCACCCGCAGUCGAAUGGGUAGGUAGAAUGGGUGAAUGGUAUGAUACUUCAGGGAUUGAAACCUCGACUGAUGAGAGAUCUCAAAUAUGCCUCACGAGCAUGGGUAGAAGAAUUACCAUCCGUCUUGUGGGAUAUGCGAAUGACUCUGAAUCGUUCAACCAAGUGUACUAUUUCUUCAUGGUGUAUGGGUCGGUAGCCAUUCUGCCAAGUGACUUACGUCACAACUCCCCCUGAGUGGAGCAGUACAACGAAGCUGAAGCCGAAGCAGCACACCAAGACAAUUUGGAUCUUCUGGAGAAAGAGAGAGAGAUGGACCUCAUUCGGUCCACAUUGUACCAGUAAGACCUAUGGCUCCACCAUGACAAUCAAGUCAUGGGCCGAGCAUUUCAAGAGGGCGACUUGGUCCUCCGACUGGACCAACAGAAACCCCACAAGCUGGCACCUCCGUGGCAAGGGCCAUNNNNNNNNNNNNNNNNNNNNNNNNNNNNNNNNNNNNNNNNNNNNNNNNNNNNNNNNNNNNNNNNNNNNNNNNNNNNNNNNNNNNNNNNNNNNNNNNNNNNUGUGAAGUUGAGUCUAUCACACCCGAUCAUCACGUGGUGUCUCAAAAUGACGAACUGUAGCAACGGUGCACAGUCGGGGAGAACACAAUUUCGUCUUGAAAUUUUAGUGAGAGAUCACCUCAUAAUGCUACCGUCAUUCUAAGCAAAAUAAGGUGCAUAAAAGGAUUAACAUCACAUGCAAUUCAUAAGUGACAUGAUAUGGCCAUCAUCACGUGCUUCUUGAUCUCCAUCACCAAAACACCGGCAUGAUCUUCUUGUCACCGGCGCCACACCAUGAUCUCCAUCAACGUGUUGCCAUCGGGGUUGUCGUGCUACUCAUGCUAUCACUACUAAAGCUACAUCCUAGCAAAAUAGUAAACGCAUCUGCAAGCACAAACGUUAGUAUAAAGACAACCCUAUGGCUCCUGCCGGUUGCCGUACCAUCGACGUGCAAGUCGAUAUUUCUAUUACAACAUGAUCAUCUCAUACAUCCAAUAUAUCACAUCACAUCAUUGGCCAUAUCACAUCACAAUCAUACCCUGCAAAAACAAGUUAGACGUCCUCUAAUUUUGUUGUUGCAUAUUUUACGUGGUGACCAAGGGUAUCUAGUAGGAUCGCAUCUUACUUACGCAAACACCACAACGGAGAUAUAUGAAUUGCUAUUUAACCUCAUCCAAGGACCUCCUCGGUCAAAUCCGAUUCAACUAAAGUUGGAGAAACCGUCACUUGCCAGUCAUCUUUGAGCAAAGGGGGUUACUCGUAACGAUGAAACCAGUCUCUCGUAAGCGUACGAGUAAUGUCGGUCCAAGCCGCUUCAAUCCAACAAUACCGCGGAAUCAAGAAAAGACUAAGGAGGGCAGCAAAACGCACAUCACCGCCCACAAAACCUUUUGUGUUCUACUCGAGAAGACAUCUACGCAUGAACCUAGCUCAUGAUGCCACUGUUGGGGAACGACGCAUGGGAAACAAAAAUUUCCUACGCGCACGAAGACCUAUCAUGGUGAUGUCCAUCUACGAGAGGGGAUGAGUGAUCUACGUACCCUUGUAGAUCGUACAGCAGAAGCAUUAGCGAACGCGGUUGAUGUAGUGGAACGUCCUCANNNNNNNNNNGUGAUUAUUUUGAGCUAUAAGACCAUGAAAUUGAAAAGCAUUUCGAAUAAACUCUGAAAAGGUUCCAAGUUGGCAUGGUAUCAUCAUUUCACCCACAUAGCAUGUGCGAGAAAGUUGAGAGGGUUACGACAAAAACUGGAUGCACUUUGUGUACAAAACGGACAAAUCUCUUUCGAAGUAUCAGGGUUUCAUACGGAAACUCGUCUGUUGCAAAGGGAUUUCAUUUUUUUGAACUUAUUUGUGUUGGGGAACGACGCAUGGGAAACAAAAAUUUCCUACGCGCACGAAGNNNNNNNNNNNNNNNNNNNNNNNNNNNNNNNNNNNNNNNNNNNNNNNNNNNNNNNNNNNNNNNNNNNNNNNNNNNNNNNNNNNNNNNNNNNNNNNNNNAAUCCCGCGAUCAGUCCCACGAUCUAGUACCGAACGGACGGCACCUCCGCGUUCAGCACACGUACAGCUCGACGAUGAUCUCGGCCUUCUUGAUCCAGCAAGAGAGACGAAGAGGUAGAUGAGUUCUCCGGCAGCGUCACGGCGCUCCGGAGGUUGGUGGUGAUCUAAUCUCAGCAGGGCUCCGCCCGAGCUCCGCAGAAACGCGAUCUAGAGGAAAAACCGUGGAGGUAUGUGGUCGGGCUGCCGUGAAAAAGUCGUCUCAAAUCAGCCCUAAAACCUCCGUAUAUAUAGGUGGGAGAGGGGGGGCCUUGCCUUGGGGCUCAAGGAGCCCCAAGGGGGUCGGCCGAGUCNNNNNNNNNNNNNNNNNNNNNNNNNNNNNNNNNNNNNNNNNNNNNNNNNNNNNNNNNNNNNNNNNNNNNNNNNNNNNNNNNNNNNNNNNNNNNNNNNNNNGGAUUAUAUGAAUCCUUGGCACUGAGGUUCAAACGAUAAGAUCUUCGUAGAAUAUGUUGGAUCCAAUAUGGGCAUCCAGGUCCCGCUAUUGGAUAUUGACCGAGGAGUCACUCGCGUCAUGUCUACAUAGUUCUCGAACCCGCAGGGUCUGCACACUUAAGGUNNNNNNNNNNNNNNNNNNNNNNNNNNNNNNNNNNNNNNNNNNNNNNNNNNNNNNNNNNNNNNNNNNNNNNNNNNNNNNNNNNNNNNNNNNNNNNNNNNNNNNNNNNNNNNNNNNNNNNNNNNNNNNNNNNNNNNNNNNNNNNNNNNNNNNNNNNNNNAUGUCACGAGGGUUUCCGGAAUGGUCCGGAAACGAAGAUUGAUAUAUAGGAUGACCUCAUUUGAUUACCGAAAGGUUUUCGGAGUUACCGGGAAUGUACCGGGAAUGACGAAUGGGUUCCGGGUGUUCACCGGAGGGGGGCAACCCACCCCGGGGAAGCCCAUAGGCCUUGGGGGUGGCGCACCAGCCCUUAGUGGGCUGGUGGGACAGCCCAAGAAGGCCCUAUGCGCCAUAGGAAGAAAAUCAAAGAGAAAAGAAAAAAAAGGAGGAGGUGGGAAAGGGAAGAAGGACUCCACCCACCAAACCAAGUUGGACUCGGUUUGGGGGGGGAGACCUUCCCCCCUUUGGCUCNNNNNNNNNNNNNNNNNNNNNNNNNNNNNNNNNNNNNNNNNNNNNNNNNNNNNNNNNNNNNNNNNNNNNNNNNNNNNNNNNNNNNNNNNNNNNNNNNNNNUAAAUGAAGUCAUAAAGGGCUGUAAAUUGAUGAUGUGGCUUUGAAUGGUGCAUUUUGAACACAGAAAAACUAUGGAGUUCAAAUAAGUUCAAAAAAAUAAAAUCCCUUUGUAACAGACGAGUUUCUGUAUGAAACCCUGAUACUUCGAAAGAGAUUGUCCGUUUUGUACACGAAGUGCAUCCAGUUUUUGCCGUAACCCUCUCAACUUUCUCGCACAUGCUAUGUGGGUGAAAUGAUGAUACGAUGCCAACUUGGAACCUUUCCAGAGUUCAUUUGAAAUGCUUUUCAAUUUCAUGGUCUUAUAGCUCAAAAUAAUCAGUAAAUGCAUGAAAAAUAACAAAUGAAGUCAGAAAGGGUUGUAAAUUGAUGAUGUGGCUUUGAAUGGUGCAUUUUGAACACAGAAAAACUAUGGAGUUCAAAUAAGUUCAAAAAAUGAAAUCCCUUGUAACAGACGAGUUUCCGUAUGAAACCCUCAUACUUCGAAAGAGAUUGUGUGUUUUGUACACGAAGUGCAUCCAGUUUUGCCGUAACCCUCUCAACUUUCUUGCACAUGCUAUGUGGGUGAAAUGAUGAUACCAUGCCAACUUGGAACCUUAUCGAAGUUCAUUUCAAAUGCUUUUCAAUUUCAUGGUCUUAUAACUCAUAAUAAUCAAUAAAUGCAUGAAAAGUAACAAAUGAAGUCAGAAAGGGUUGUAAAUUGAUGAUGUGGCUUUGAAUGGUGCAUUUUGAACACACAAAAACUAUGGAGUUCAAAUUGUUGGAAAUAUGCCCUAGAGGCAAUAAUAAAUUAGUUAUUAUUAUAUNNNNNNNNNNACCAAGGUUACCUGGCCAUAGGCAAGUGUUGUUACUUGAUAACAGGAUCACAUCAUUAGGAGAAUCAUGUGAUGGACUAGACCCAAACUAAUNNNNNNNNNNUUCUUUGUUCAUAAUAACCGUUUAUUAUCCAUGCUAUAAUUGUAUUGAUUGGAAACACAAUACUUGUGUGGAUACAUAGACAAAACACUGUCCCUAGUAAGCCUCUAGUUGACUAGCUCGUUGAUCAAAGAUGGUCAAGGUUUCCUGGCCAUAGACAAGUGUUGUCACUUGAUAACGGGAUCACAUCAUUAGGAGAAUCAUGUGAUGGACUAGACCCAAACUAAUNNNNNNNNNNUGCUAUAAUUGUAUUGAAUGAAGACUCAUUUACAUGUGUGGAUACAUAGACAAAACACCGUCCCUAGCAAGCCUCUAGUUGGCUAGCCAAUUGAUCAAAGGUAGUCAGUGUCUUCUGAUUAAGAACAAGAUGUUGUUGCUUGAUAACUGGAUCACGUCAUUAGGAGAAUCACGUGAUGGACUAGACCCAAACUAAUAGACGUAGCAUGUUGAUCGUGUCAUUUUGUUGCUACUGUUUUCUGCGUGUCAAGUAUUUGUUCCUAUGACCAUGAGAUCAUAUAACUCACUGACACCGGAGGAAUGCUUUGUGUGUAUCAAACGUCGCAACGUAACUGGGNNNNNNNNNNAGUGUGUCAAGUAUUUAUUCCUAUGACCAUGAGAUCAUAUAACUCACUAACACCGGAGGAAUGCUUUGUGUGUAUCAAACGUCGCAACGUAACUGGGUGACUAUAAAGAUUCUCUACAGGUAUCUCCGAAGGUGUUAGUUGAGUUAGUAUGGAUCAAGACUGGGAUUUGUCACUCCGUGUGACGGAGAGGUAUCUCGGGGCCCACUCCGUAAUACAACAUCACACACAAGCCUUGCAAGCAAUGUGACUUAGUGUAAGUUGCGGGAUCUUGUAUUACGAAACGAGUAAAGAGACUUGCCGAUAAACGAGAUUGAAAUAGGUAUGCGGAUACUGACGCUCGAAUCUCGGGCAAGUAACAUACCGAAGGACAAAGGGAAUGACAUACAGGAUUAUAUGAAUCCUUGGCACUGAGGUUCAAACGAUAAGAUCUUCGUNNNNNNNNNNAGUAAAGAGACUUGCCGAUAAACGAGAGUGAAAUAGGUAUGCGGAUACUGACGAUCGAAUCUCGGGCAAGUAACAUACCGAAGGACAAAGGGAAUGACAUACGGGAUUAUAUGAAUCCUUGGCACUGAGGUUCAAACGAUAAGAUCUUCGUAGAAUAUGUAGGAUCCAAUAUGGGCAUCCAGGUCCCACUAUUUGAUAUUGACCGAGGAGUCUCUCGGGUCAUGUCUACAUAGUUCUCGAACCCGCAGGGUCUGCACACUUAAGGUUCGACGUUGUUUUAUGCGUAUUUGAGUUAUAUGGUUGGUUACCGAAUGUUGUUCGGAGUCCCGGAUGAGAUCACGGGCGUCACGAGGGUUUCUGGAAUGGUCCGGAAACGAAGAUUGAUAUAUACGAUGACCUCAUUUGAUUACCGGAAGGUUUUCGGAGUUACCGGGAAUGUACCGGGAAUGACGAAUGGGUUCNNNNNNNNNNAGUUCACCGGGGGGGCAACCCACCCCGGGGAAGCCCAUAGGCCAUAAGGGUGGCGCAUCAGCCCUUAGUGGGCUGGUGGGACAGCCCAAAAGGGCCCUAUGCGCCAUACAAAGAAAAAUCAAGGAGAAAGAAAAAAAAAAGGGAGGUGGGAAGGAAGGGAAGGACUCCCACCCACCAAACCAAGUCCAACUCGGUUUGGGGGGGAGCCUUCCCCCCUUGGACUCGGCCGACCCCCUUGGGGCUCCUUGAGCCCCAAGGCAAGGUCCCCUCCCUCCCACCUAUAUAUACGGAGGUUUUGGGGCUGAUUUGAGACGACUUUUCCACGGCAGCCCGACCACAUACCUCCACGGUUUUUCCUCUAGAUCGCGUUUCUGCGGAGCUCGGGCGGAGCCCUGCUGGGACAAGGUCAUCACCAACCUCCGGAGUGCCGUCACGCUGCCGGAGAACUCUUCUACCUCUCCGUCUCUCUUGUUGGAUCAAGAAGGCCGAGAUCAUCGUCGAGUUGUACGUGUGCUGAACGCGGAGGUGCCGUCCGUUCGGUACUAGAUCGUNNNNNNNNNNNNNNNNNNNNNNNNNNNNNNNNNNNNNNNNNNNNNNNNNNNNNNNNNNNNNNNNNNNNNNNNNNNNNNNNNNNNNNNNNNNNNNNNNNNNGGUCUGCUACAUUCAGAUCCGUGUGCACUUUACAAAUCUUUAUGUCAUCUUAUAGAUGCUGCUACUACGUGCUAUUCGGAAAUGCUCCAAAUAUCCACUCUACUAUAUGAAUCCGUUUCACUACUCAUAGUUAUUCAGAUUAGUGUCAAAGCUUGCAUCGACGUAACCCUUUACGACGAACUCUUUAACCACCUCCAUAAUCGAGAAAAAUUCCUUAGUCCAUUUGUUACUAAGGAUAAAUUUUGACCGCUGCUAGUGAUUCAAUCAUGGAUCACUCUCUGUACCCUCAACAGACUUUGAGUCAAGGUACACAUCAGGUGCGGUACACAGCAUGGCAUACUUUAGAUUCUACGGCUAAGGCAUAGAAGACGACCUUCGUCUAUUCUCUUUAUUCUGCCGUGGUCGGGUUUUGAGUCUUACUCAAAUUCACACCUCACAACGCAACCAAGAACUCCUUCUUUGCUGGUCUAUUUUGAACUCUUUCAAAAAACUUGUCAAGGCAUGCAUCUUGUUGAAACUUCUAUUAAGCGCUUUCGAUCUAUCUCCAUAGAUCUUUGAUGCUCAACGUUCANNNNNNNNNNNNNNNNNNNNNNNNNNNNNNNNNNNNNNNNNNNNNNNNNNNNNNNNNNNNNNNNNNNNNNNNNNNNNNNNNNNNNNNNNNNNNNNNNNNNCGAAUAGAUUACUCACGAACGAUGAAGAGCUUCAUGGAAUUGGAGAGGGAAGAAAGUUGAUGAUGACGAUGGCAACGAUCUCCUUGAUCCGGAGCCCAAAACGGACUCCAGAUCUGCCAUCCAGGGUAAGAACGGGAUGUGGCGGCGCCUGUGGAUCGAAAACGCGAUGAAAUCUUCUCUCUUGAUUUUUUUCCGGGACGAAAGGGAAUAAAUAGCGCUGGAAUUGGGGGCGGCAGAGCCACGUGGGCCCCACAAGCUUAGUAGCCGCGGCUAGGAGGGGAGGCCGCGGCUAUAGGUCUUGUGGCACACUGGCCCGUCCCCUCGAGUGGAUCUUUGCGCAGGUAUUUUUCAUAUUUUCCAUAAAUAUUCUCCGUAAAUUUUCAGGACGUUCCGAGAACUUUCAUUUCUGCACAAAAAUAACACCAUGGCAAUUCUGCUGAAAACAGCGUCAGUCCGGGUUAGUUCCAUUCAAAUCAUGCAAAUUAGAGUCCAAAACAAGGGCAAAAGAGUUUGGAAAAGUAGAUACGAUGGAGACGUAUCACCAGAAAAAACCCACAACUCGAAGAGAAUUACAAAGAUAUGAAAUCAUGCAUAAGAGAGAUCAGAAGAAACUCAAAUAAGAUUCAUAGAUAAUCUGAUCAUAAAUCCACAAUUCAUCGGAUCUCGACAAACACACCGCAAAAGAAGAUUACAUCAGAUAGAUCUCCAUGAAGAUCAUGGAGAACUUUGUAUUGAAGAUCCAAGAGAGAGAAGAAGCCAUCUAAUUACUAGCUAUGGACCCGUAGGUCUAUGGUGAACUACUCACGCAUCAUCGGAGAGGUCAUGGUGUUGAUGAAGAAGCCCUCCGUGUCCAAAUCCCCCCUCCGGCAGGGCACCAGAACGUGCCCCAGAUGGGAUCUUGCGGAGACAGAAGCUUGCGGUGGCGGAAAAGUACUUUCGAUGAUCUCCUGAUUAUUUUGAGAUUUUUAGGGAAUAUAUAGGCGCAACCCCUAGGUCAGGGGACGCUCAGGGGGCCCACAAGCCUGGAUGGCGCGGCCUCCCCCCUCGUCGCGGGGUGAGGGCUUGUGGGGCCCCUAGGGUUCCGCUGCCUUGGCUCGCAAACUCCCCGAUCUUCUUCCGUUCCAGAGAAAAUCUUUCCGGGGAUUUUCUUCCGUUUGGACUCCGUUUCAAAAUCUCCUCUGAAAGGGGUCAAAAACAUGGAAAAAACAGGAACUGACACUUGGCACUGAGUUAAUAAGUUAGUCCCAAAAAAUAAAUAAAAGGCAUGCAAAACAUCCAAAGUUUGACAAGAUAAUAGCAUGAAACCACCAAAAAUUAUAGAUACGUUGGAGACGUAUCAGCGUGUACGAAUUUUUUUGUUUCCCAUGUGACGUUCCCCAACAGCGCGCUGAGCGCACCCACUAGGUAUAGUCCCCGAGGCUGUCAUCGACUGAAGCAGUCGGCGGUAGUCUCAGUUUCCUUGUUUGUUCAAUAAAGGCUCGUAGGGUGUGGACCCCUUUUCUUUCCUCUAUCCCUCCUGUGGGGGGCGCUGAGCGCACCCACUUGGUGUAGUCCCCGAGGCUAUCGUCGACCGAAACAGUCGGUAGUAGUCUUACAGUUGCGAUAUUGUAUUUUGCUUUACUUGUGUUUGUUGAUGGCAGACUGCUUUUGUGCCCGGGGGCCAUGAUGAUGCCAUGGAGAAAGAGUUUCAGGGACUCCGACUCAGCCUUGACGCAGAAAAAGCCAAGAACAAGCGAGUGGAGAAGGAGAAACGGACAACUGAAGGUAAGCUUUUGUUGUCCAAUUGAUUCCCGCUUUGGUUGUCUUUCCUAUCCGAUUGAGUUUGUCUUGUGAGGUCGCCUUUCUGAGAGGCUGAAGAAUUACAUUUCUCUAGUUACCAUGGAGGACGCUCUCGAGAAGAGGGAUGAAGAGCUCGCGCUGGCUUGGAAGGAGGACAAGUUGAAGACCCAGGCGGUCGAAGCCAAGCUUAAAACGGUUGGAAUGCUUGAAGAAGAUAAUCGGCUUCUAAAGGCCGGUGCGAAGAAAACUGAUGCAGAGCUUGCCGAGCUGAAGAGGCAUUAUGCCGAGUGGGAGGCCAAAUUUGAGAAAGUCACCGCCAAGAAAGAUGAGCUGGAGAAGGUCAUUGAGGACUUCAGCGUGGAACACUACGAGAAGCUUAAAGGUAUGUUAAGUGUCGGAAUGCUUUCCUAUUGCCACUUUGCAAUUUCCGAGUGACGUUCUCUCAUCCUUUUGUUUUCUCACUAAAUUCAGCCUUCUCCGCUGAUGUCGAAGAAGAGACGAUGCGAAUAGAGAAAGAGCUUGAUCCCAAGAGAUGGCUUCUGAAGGAUAGCGCUGCAUUGGCUCUCCUCAGGCUGGAGGCUUGCGUCGAUUAUGUAUUGGGAUGUUUCAAAUGGCUCCAGCUGGCCGUUGGGGAUAUAGAACAGGAGAAAACCCUUGAUGAUGUAUCCCUGAAGGACACCUAGACCAUCGUGAACCGUGUGAAGGCCAUCCCCAAUGAACUCAAGUCUUGGAAGAAGUCAUCGUCAAGGGCCGGAGCCGACAUCGCCCUUUCGCUCGUUUGCAUCCAUUGUAAAGGGGUGGAUGAAGAGAAGUUGAAGAGUCUCCGGGUUGUUAACCGGAAAAGAGCCAGGUUCGAAGACUUCAUGGAGAUGUUUAUGGCAUCCGCCACUCGGAUUGCGAAAGGAAUCGAUCUUCACACCUUCAUGGAAGCAGCGGGAUCUACGGCUCGGAGUGAUGCUCGGAGGAAAAACAUUUAAGUUUCAAUUCUCCUCGGGAUGCCGAGUGGUUUUAUGUAACCCCAAACUUUGAGUGGGCCUUGGGCUCUCUCUUAUGUGCACUUUUUGCUGAACUUCAUUCCAUUUACCCAUAUUCGAGUUUUGAUCUUAUUUGCUUUAUCGUCCUUAUUUGGGGUCACUUUUACUCGACCGAAAGCCGGUUCGCAUCCGAGUCCCCGAGUGUGGAAGUUAUCCUCACUCGAGAUCGUUUUUGACUUAGGCGAAAGCUGGUUCACAGUUAAGCCCCCGAGUGUGGAAGUUGUCCUCACUCGGGAUUGUUUUUUGACUUAGGUGAAAGUUGGUUCGCAGCUAAGCCUCUGAGUGUGGAAGUUGUCCUCACUCGGGAUCAUUUUGGACUUAGGCGAAAGCUGGUUCGCAGCUAAGCCCCCGAGUGUGGAAAUUGUUCUCACCCGGGACCGUUUCUUGACUUAGGCGAAAGCCGGUUCACAGCUAAGCCCCCCGAGUGUGGAAGUUGUCCUCACUCAGGAUCAUUUUUGACUUAGGGAAAGCUGGUUCGCAGCUAAGCCCCCGAGUGUCGAAGUUGUCCUCACUCGGGAUCAUUUUUGACUUAGGCGAAAGCUGGUUCAUAGCUAAGCCCCCGAGUGUGGAAGUUGUCUUCACUCGGGAUCAUUUUUGACUUAGGCGAAAGCUGGUUCAUAGCUAAGCCCCCGAGUGUGGAAGUUGUCUUCACUCGGGAUCGUUUUGGACUUAGGCAAAAGGUGGUUCGCAGCUAAACCCCCGAGUGUGGAAGUUGUCCUCACUCGGUUGACUUAGGCGAAAGGUGGUUCAUAGCUAAGCCCCCCGAGUGUAGAACUUGUCCUCAAACGGGAUCGUUCUUGACUUAGGCGAAAGCUGGUUCAUAGCUAAGCCCCCGAGUGUGGAAGUUGUCCUCACUCGGGAUUGUUUUUGACUGAGGAGAAAGCUGGUUCGCAACUAAGCCCGCGAGUGUGGACGUUUUGCUCACUCAGGAUCAUUUUUGACUUAGGCGAAAGCUGGUUUGUAGCUAAGCCCCCAAGUGUGGAAGUUGUCCUCACUCGAGGCAAGUUUUACCCUAAGCGAAAGCGGAUCCUCUGCUAAGGGACGAUUGUUCUAUUCAUCUUGGCGUCCGAAUGAAGGUCUUGUCUUCAUUCGGAACCGAUUUAACUUAGGCGAAAGCUAGUUCGCAGCUAAGCCCCCGAGCAUGGAGCUUGUCCCCACUCGGGGAAGGAUUUACCUUAGGCGAAACAGGUUUGCUACCAAGAAAUGAUUGUUGUGUUCAUCUUGGCGUUCGAAUGAAGAUCUUGCCUUCAUUUGGAACCACUUUAACUUAGGCGAAAGCUGGUUCGCAGCUAAGCCCCCGAGUGUGGAGUUUGUCCCCACUCGGGAAGGGUUUACCUUAGGAGAAACAGGUUCGCUACAAAGAUUAAACGAUAGUUCUUGUGAACAUGUUGAUGGUCCUUCCCAUGUCGAUAUCUAAAUGACGAUCAUGUCUCCAUUCUGAACUGUUUUAACUUAGCCGAAAGCUGGUUCGCAACUAAGCUCACGCGCGUGGAGGUUGUCCGCACUCGGGGAAGGUUUCAUCUUAAGCGAAAGCAGAUUCGCUCAUACACCCACUGGCGGCGUGUUUCACCGAAGUGAAGUAUUUGUGAAUAGUUGAAGAAAGUAAGCCCUUUAUUCUUCUAAUCAUUAGUAUUCAUUGGAGGGAUGAAAAGGGUAAGUUCUACGUGUAGAACUUGCGGAGCAGGUCCGCGUUCCAGGUCCUCGGCUCUUCCACCUCGUCAUCUAGGUUGUACAACCGAUAAGCUCCGUUGUGCAGGACUUUGGAGAUGGUGUAUGUGUUGGAAAUAUGCCCUAGAGGCAAUAACAAAAUGGUUAUUAUCAUAUUUCCUUGUUCAUGAUAAUCGUCUAUUGUUCAUGCUAUAAUUGUAUUAACUGGAAACAGUAAUACAUGUGUGAAUAAAUAGAUCACAAUGUGUCCCUAGCAAGCCUCUAGUUGGCUAGCUCGUUAGUCAAUAGAUGAUCAUGGUUUCCUGGUCAUGGGCAUUAGAUGUCAUUGAUAACGGGAUCACAUCAUUGGGAGAAUGAUGUGAUGGACAAGACCCAAUCCUAAGCGUAGCACUAGAUCGUAUUGUUCGUAUGCUAAAGCUUUUCUAAUGUCAAGUGUGUUUUCCUUCGACCGUGAGAUUGUGCAACUCCCGGAUACCAUAGGAGUGCUUUCGGUGUAUCAAACGUCACAACGUAACUGGGUGACUAUAAAGGUGCACUACAGGUAUCUCUGAAAGUGUCUGUUGGGUUGGUACGAAUCAAGAUCGGGAUUUGUCACUCCGCGUGACGGAGAGGUAUCUCUGGCCCACUCGGUAGAACAUCAUCAUCAGCUCAAUGUGACUAAGGAGUUAGUCACACGAUGACGUGCUACGGAACGAGUAAAGAGACUUACCGGUAACGAGAUUGAACAAGGUAUAGGUAUACCGACGAUCGAAUCUCGGGCAAGUUCUAUACUAACAGNNNNNNNNNNNNNNNNNNNNNNNNNNNNNNNNNNNNNNNNNNNNNNNNNNNNNNNNNNNNNNNNNNNNNNNNNNNNNNNNNNNNNNNNNNNNNNNNNNNNUAAAGGUGCACUACGGGUACCUCUGAAAGUGUCUGUUGGGUUGGUACAAAUCGAGAUCGGGAUUUGUCACUCCGCGUGACGGAGAGGUAUCUCUGGGCCCACUCGGUAGAACAUCAUCAUGAGCUCAAUGUGACUAAGGAGUUAGUCACACGAUGAUGUGCUACGAAACGAGUAAAGAGACUUACCGGUAACGAGAUUGAACAAGGUAUAGGUAUACCGACGAUCGAAUCUCGGGCAAGUUCUAUACUAACAGACAAAGGGAAUUGUAUACGGGAUUGAUUGAAUCCUUGACAUCAUAGUUCAUCUGAUGAGAUCAUCGUGGAGCAAGUAGGAGCCACCAUGGGUAUCCAGACCCCGCUGAUGGUUAUUGGCCAGAGAGGUGUCUCGGCCAUGUCUGCCUGUCUCCCGAACCCGUAGGGUCUACACACUUAAGGUUCGAUGACGCUACACUAGUGGGGACGGGGCCUUUAGCCCCGGCCCGUAAGGGGCUUUAGUCCCGGUUCACCAACCGGGACUAAAGGGGCGGGACUAAAGGCCUAACCUUUAGUCCCGGCCCUGUUACAAGCCGAGACUAAAGGUGCUCCACGUGGGCGCCUCGUAGCGCCCCAGGGGCAGGCCCUUUAGUCCCGGUUCGUUACGCGGACUGGGACUAAAGAGUUUCAGGGUUUAGGGUUUUUUUGAAUGAAAUUAUUUUAGGGUUUUAGGGUUUCAGAUGCCUCGUUUGGUGUUCGGGAAUUAGUUUUCAUAUAAUUUAAAUAGAAAUAAUUAUGCAUAUAUAUAUAAGAUUAACUUAUCUUACAAGCGAGCAUAUAUAUACAAUUAUAUGGAGAUCUGAAUUAUCGGGACUAGAGCCCGUCUAUUCGAUUACAUGGACGAACAUCAGUAAUGGCCCCUAGCUACACUAAAUCGUCCUUUGUCAUCUAUAGCUUCCGUCCUCAGAAAGGUCGCAAGCUCCUCUGCAACAGCAAUCACGCGUUGCUCUGGUAGGACCUUCGUCCUCAUGGUCGUGUACUAUAUAAGAAGAGGAGAUGAAUAUGAAUAUCAAUCAUGAUAACAAAGAAUGACAGGUAAAAAUAGAGGUGUGAAUGUUCAUUGCUUAUGUCGAAUCUGUGAUCCUUGUGCUCAGAGGUAAACGUGCGAAUGGUCUCGCAAACAUAUUACAAGUGAUUGUCGAACUUCAUAUGUAUACCUCGCCGGACUUUAUUAUUUCUUCACCGGCUCCUCCAUCAGUGGAGCUAUCACCUUCUCCAUCAUUGGACCUAUCUCCUGCCCCAUCGGCUUCAUCUUCGUGUCGCUCGACCUCCAUUCCAUAUCCGAAGGGGUUUAGAUAUGACGACGGAGAUUCAGCCGGUUCAACGUCGGGGCCGUCUUUGAUUAUAUCUUCGAGAAGUUCUUCCUCUUCGAGGUUCCUGAUAUGUGGAUCCCUAGUUCUGCAAAAAACGGACAUUUGAUUAACUAAUAAACUAACAAACUAUAUAAGAGGGGUUGGAAACUUCGAAGUGUCGUUUUAUAUAGGAGGACCUUUAGUCCCGGGUCUUGGCUAGAACCUAAACUUCGAAGUUCUAUUAAUUUUCUUGCUAAAAAUAAACUAUUAACACUUAAGCAUAUACAAUAGCAAAAUUAAACUAUUAACACUUCAGCAUAUACAAUAGCAAAAUUAAGCAAUAAUCUAAGAAACACUAUUAACACUUAAGCAUAUACACUAUACAAUAGCAAAAUUAAAUGACAAAAAAUAUAUUUCUUCUUCUUGUAACCCUAAACUAAUUUUUCCUCUUCUUCUAUUUCUCCUCUUCUUCUAUUUCUUAUUCUACUUCUACUUCUCCUCUUCUUCUACUACUUCUCCUCUUCUCUUCUUCUACUUCUCCUCUCCUCCUCUUCUAAUUUUUUCUCUUCUUCUACUUCUCCUCUUCUUCUAUUUUUCCUCUUCUUCUCCUCUCCUCCUCUUCUUAUUCUCCUUUUUCUUCUUUUCUUCUCCUCCUCUUUUUAUUUUCCUUUUUCCUAAUUCUACAUAUUACUAACCCUAAUAAUCUAGCACAAACCUAAUAACAAUAGGAAUUAAAUGACAAAAAAAAUAUUUUUCUUCUUUUCUUCCCUUUUUCUCCCUUUCUUCUCCUUUUUCUUCCUUUCUUCUCCUUUUUCUUCCUUUCUUCCCUUUUUAUUAUUUUCUUCUCCUUUUUCUUAUUUUCUUCUCCUUCCCUUUUUCUUCCUUUCUUCUCCUUUUUCUUCCUUUCUUCUCCUUUUUCUUCUUUUCUUCUCCUUUUUCUUCCUUUCUUCUCCUUUUUCUUCCUUUCUUCUCCUUUUUCUUCUUUUCUUCUCCUUUUUCUUCGUUUAUUCUACUGGCCGGAGUGUUGGGGAGGAGGGGGCGGGGGGCUUACCGGCCGGAGGUGUCGACGGCGCGCGGCGAGGAGGACGGCGGCGCGUGGCGAGGAGGACGGCGGCGGCGAGGAGGACGACGGCGACGACAAGGAGGACGGCGGGCAGCCUCACAGCGUCGUCGAGUUCGUCGUUGUGCCCCGCCGGGCAGGAGAACGAUGAAGAAGGAGAGAAGGAAAUGCGAUUUGGGUUGGAAAUUUUCUAACUCCCGCUUAUAUAGGUGGAUCUUUAGUCCCGGUUCGGGGCUCGAUCCGGGACUAAAGACCCCCUUUAGUCCCGGGUGGAGCCACGACCCGGGACUAAAGGCCCUUUUUCGGCAGACCAGAAGGCGGGAAGCAGGGGCCUUUAGUCCCGGUUUGUGGCAAGAACCGGGACUAAAGGUUAGGCUAUUAGUCCCGGUUUUAGACAAAAGCCGGGACUAAAGUGUUGCCUAUAUAAACCCUCGCCCCUGCCCACCAUCUCCCCUGUUUUUUGGUUGUUGAAGUGUGACCAUGUCAUGCUCUUGCCACUCUAGUUCAUGCACAUGACGUGUUCGAUGAAAUGCCCGAGCCACUCUACUUAAGCUUUCUCCUCUCCAAGCUCGACCUCCAAACUCCAUUUUCCUUAAUAUUUGUCUAGGUUUGGCCGUGCACCAACUGCACAAGUGUUUUAAAAGGUUAGCUACUUCAUCCUUUCAUUUGUCACUGCUAGUGUAGCUCAUUUGAAAUGCUCAAAUUAACUUCUUAGAGUCUGCACAUGCGUAGGGUGUCGUCCCGUGCCCGUCCUCACCAUUGUCGAUCGUCCCGCGACGAUCUCGUCGCGAGCACCACCGUGGUGAGCCUCUUGUUCUUAUCUUCUUUUUAAAACAAAAAAAAUCUUACUUGUAUGAUUUAGAUACAUGCUUGUAUAAAUUACUCACUUUCAUUAUUUUUUGUUAUUAUAUAGUGCGAUGGUUUUGGUAUCCGCCUCCGUCGGCCUUCGUCCUGUCUAUGAUUCGGAUGUGGUAUAUAUUAUCUUUUAUAACUAUUUUUUUAUUUAGUGUUUAUGACAAUUAUGACGCCAACGUGACAUAUAUUUUUUAAUCUAGGAGGUAUGUGAACCGGAAAUUCCAACCCACAUAGAAAUUCUUGUCGAGAAGUUAAAUUUGGUUGAAAAAGAAAACAAAUACUUGAAGAAAAAAUUGAAAAUAAUUGAGGAUAAGAAUAUGGAACUGGAGUUGCAUGUCGCUGAUGUCAUCGAUGAUCGCAAGAUGAAGAUCGAUGCGAUGCGGUUGAAGAUGAAUGCAAUGCGCUUGAAGAUGGAUGAAAUGCGCUUGAAGAUUAGGAAUAUUAGAAAAUAUGCCAUUGAUAAAGAGGCUUGGUAUCAUUAUGCUGUUGGGUCAAUUGUUACCUUAGUUGCGAUUUUGAUCGCAUUUUUUGUUUUAUUUAAAUGUUUUACAUAGUUGUAUGUUGUUUUAUGAGAGAACUUUAUGUAUUUAUUUUUUGCAAUAAUAACAUUUGAUCACUACUGUUCUUUGGCUUUAAUGUGAUGAUGAACUUGUAUUAAUUUGGUCAUAUGUUCUCCAAUGGUUUUUUGAUAUAUUUAAUUUCAUAAUAGAGAUGAAUCGCCAAUGACAAUAUUUAAUUUCAUAAUAUGGUUUUUUGAACUUAUUUGAACUCCAUACUUUUUGUGUGUUCAAAAUGCACCAUUCAAAGGCACAUCACAAAAUUUCAACAAUUUCUGACUUCAUUUGGUAUAUUUCGUGCAUUUACUUUUUUUUUUAAAGUUGAGAGGGCUACGACAAAAAUUGGAUGCACUUCGUGUACAAAACGGACAAUCUCUCUCGAAGUAUCAGGGUUUCGAACGAGAACUCAGCUCUUACAAAGAUUUAUUAAAAUUAUUUUUGCGUAUCUGAGAAUUUGACAAAACUAUGAAAAUGAAAAGUGUUUGAAAUUUAGUACAUUCCAUACAUGCAUUAGAUAAAAGGUUUAAUACAUUAUUACAUUAUUGCACCAAUAUUCCUAUCUAUUAUUUCUGUUUUCUUCUAGGUCGUAGCCAUGGAGAAUCUUCAUCAUUCAGUAGGAUGCUUGGGUCAGUUUUCACUUUGAAGGGCGGAAUUUCAUGAAACUUAUUAUAAUCUUCUGACAUGUUUGUCUUGUCAUCUACUCCCACGAUGUUUCUUUUCCCUGAAAGAACUAUGUGGCGUUUUGGCUCAUCGGACGAUAUCUUCUUUUGCUGAUUUCUUUUUCUCGUUUUUGUAGACAUGUCCUUCACAUAGAAAACCUGAGCGACAUCAUUGGCUAGGACAAAUGGUUCGUCCAUGUACGCAAGAUUGUUGAGAUCCACUGUUGUCAUGCCAUACUUUUGGUCUACAACUACCCCGCCUCCUGUCAGCUCCACCCAUUUGCACCGAAACAAAGGGAUCUUAAAAGUAGGUCCAUAGUCAAGUUCCCAUAUCUCCUCUAUGUACCCGUAAUAUGUUUCCAAACAGUGCCCAUUCUCGUCUGUUGCAUCAAAGUGGACACCACUAUUUUGGUUGGUGCUCUUUUUAUCUUGGGCAACCGUGUAAAAUGUAUUCCCAUUUAUCUCGUAUCCUUGGAAAGUACAUAUAGUCGAAGAUGGUGGCCUGGCCAAACAGUACAGCUCAUCUCCAACGGUGUCAUCAUUCAUGAAAUGUGUCUGCAACCAACUGCCGAAAGUCUUCUCGUGUUCCACUUUAAUCCAAGAGUCAGCCUUCCCCGGGUUUUCGGAGCGUAGAAUAUUCUUGUGUCUCACGAUAUACGGAGCCACCACGGUGGAAUUGUGUAGAACUGUGUAGUGUGCUUGAGAGAAAGAAUGCCCGUCCAUACAUACUUUUGCUUUCCUUCCUAGUGUGCCUUUUCCUGUCAGCCUACCCUCAUACCGAGAUUCAGGAACACCAAUCGGCUUAAGGUCAGGAAGAAAGUCCACACAAAACUCAAUGACCUCCUCUGUUCCAUAGCCCUUGGAGAUGCUUCCUUCUGGCCUAGCACGGUUACGAACAUAUUUCUUUAAGACUCCCAUGAACCUCUCGAAGGGGAACAUAUUGUGUAGAAACACAGGACCGAGAAUUCUAAUCUCUUCGACUAGGUGAACUAGGAGGUGUGUCAUUAUAUUGAAGAAGGAUGGCGGGAACAACAACUCAAAGAUGACCAGACAUUGGACCACAUCAGUCUGUAACCCUGGUAGACUUUCUCGAUCGAUUACCUUCUGAGAAAUUGCAUUGAGGAAUGCACAUACCUUCACAAUUGCCAGGCGAACAUUUUCCGGUAGAAUUCCCCUCAAUGCAACCAGAAGCAAUUGCGUCAUAAGCACGUGGCAGUCAUGAGACUUUAGGUUUUGGAAUUUUUUGUCUUUCAUAUUUACGAUUCCCUUUAUAUUCCACGAGAAGCCAUCCGGGACCUUGAUACUGAAAAGGACUUCAAAGAAGAUUUCCUUCUCUUCCUUAGUAAGAGCGUAGCUGGCACGCCCUUGAAACUGUCCUGGAUGCAUGCCAUCUCUUCCUUUAUGACGUUCCUGGUCCUCCCGUGCUUCCGGUGUAUCUUUUGACUUCCCAUACAAGCCCAGGAAGCCUAGAAUUUUCACGCAGAGAUUCUUCGUCAGGUGCAUCACGUCGAUUGCCGAGCGGACCUCAUGGACUUCCCAGUAGGGUAGCUCCCAAAAUAUAGAUUUCUUCUUCCACAUGGGUACGCGCUUAUCGGGGCCGUUAGGAACAGGUUGGCUGCCAGGCCCUUUCCAAAGAUUACUUUUAAAUCUUUGACCAUAUCAAAUACUUCAGCACCAGUACGGAUGACAGGCUUCCCCCGGGGUUCUGCCUUGCCAUUGAAAUGCUUGCCUUUUUUCUUUAAGGGAUGCUUGGGCGGAAGAAAACGACGAUUGUAUGGGUACACAUUCUUCCUACAUUUGUCCAGAUAUAUACUUUCUGUCUGAUCCAAACAGUGCGUGCAUGCAUUGUAUCCCUUGUUUGACUGUCCUGAAAUGUUACUAAGAGCAGGCCAAUCAUUGAUGGUUACGAAAAGAAACGCUUGAAGGUCAAAUUCCUCUUGUUUGUGCUCGUCCCACACACGUACACCUGGUUCGGCCCACAGCUGUAAAAGUUCAUCAACUAAUGGCCUUAGGUACACAUCAAUAUCGUUGCCGGGUUGCUUUGGACCUUGGAUAAGCACUGGCAUCAUAAUGAACUUCCGCUUCAUGCACAACCAAGGAGGAAGGUUUUAGAUACAUAGAGUAACGGGCCAGGUGAUGUGACUGCAACUCUGCACCCCAAAAGGAUUCAUGUCAUCUGUACUCAAACCUAACCAUAAGUUCCUUGCGUCAGCUGCAAAUCUCGGGAACUCUCUCUCGAUUUUUCUCCACUGCCGACCAUCAGCGGUGUGCCUCAACUUAUCGUCUUUCAUACGAUCUUCCAUGUGCCAUCGCAACAACUUCGCAUGAUCUUUAUUUCUGAACAGACGUUUCAACCAUGGUAUUAUAGGAGCAUACCACAUCACCUUGGGAGGAACCCUCUUCCUGGGUGGCUCGCCCUCAAUAUCACCAGGGUCAUCUUUUCUGAUCUUAUACCGCAAUGCAGUGCAUACCGGGCAUUUAUCCAUAUUCUCGUACUUCUCACCGCGGUAGAGGAUGCAGUCAUUAGGGCAUGCAUGUAUCUUCUGCACGUCUAAUCCUAGAGGGCAGACAAGCUUCUUUGCUUCGUACGUGCUAGCGGGCAAUUCGUUCUUUCUUGGAAGCAUCUUCUUCAUCAGUACCAGCAACUUUUCGAAUGACGAGUCAGUCACACCGGUCUCUGCCUUCCACUUCAGCAAUUCCAGUGUGCUACCCAGCUUCUUCUGGCCAUCUUCAAAAUUUGGGUACAACAAUUUGUUGUGGUCCUGUAACAUCUGCUCGAACUGCAACCUCUCCUUUUCUCUGUCGCAACCUCGCCGUGCAUCAGAAAUGACCCGGCCAAGAUCAUCAGCGGGCUCAUCUGGUUCCCGUUCUUCAUCCUGAUCUUCUUCUUCAUUGUCUUCCAUUGCGGUAUCAGCAUACUCAGGGAACAUAGAUCGGUAGUUGUCAUCAUCGUUCUCUUCUUCUUCAUCGUCGUCUUCCAUCAUAACCCCUCUUUCUCCGUGCUUGGUCCAAACAUUAUAGCCCGACAUAAAACCGGACCGAAGCAGGUGGCUCUGAAUGACUCUUGAGGAAGUGUAAUCCUUCUCAUUCCGACAUUCAACACAUGGACAAAACAUAUAGCCACCACCAUGCUUGUUCGCAUCGUCUGCAUCUCGAAAGAAUGCAUGCCUUCUCUGUAAGCGGUUGUGCGUCGAUCACCGUACAUCCAUGGAUGGCUCAUCUGUGUUAUACGACAGUAUAUCAAAUACAAUCACGAUCCUAAAAAUUAGUACCGCACGGUCUAAACGAGGAAAUAUAGUUGCUAAGCUUUUAGAAUAAGUAGAAAUAAAGAGGAAGAGGUUUAAGCGUGGCUCAGGCAUCUCAUAUCGUAGUUGUGUUCGGUGAACUGAAGCGGCAUCGCUCUAACACACAUUUCAACAAACACCUCUAGUGCAUCAAAAAAAGUGGAGAGCUAGCACACACCCACAAUCCUCCAUCCAAGAAAAAUGCAAGGAAGAGGGGAGAGGGGGGCUGUGCUAUAUAUAGGCAGAGGACUUUAGUCCCGGUUUGAGACACAAACCGGGACUAAAGGUGGCGCACAUGUGGGCUGCCCACCGCGUAGCCCUUUAGUCCCGGUUUGGGACACGAACCGGGACUAAAGGCUCCUUACGGGCCGGGACUAAAGCCUCAAGGGAGGCAUUGAGAAUUGGGGCGACGUGGCCGGGCCUUUAGUCCCGGCCCAGAGGCAGGCCGGGACUAAAGGGUCCCGGCCAAAGGCCCGUUUUCCACUAGUGCUAGGGUUAUAGGGAAUUGUUAUACGAGGUUAUCAAAAGUUGUUCGGAGUCCCGGAUGAGAUCCCGGAUGUCACGAGGAGCUCCGAAAUGGUCCGGAGGUAAAGAUUGAUAUAUAGGACGGAUGGUUUUGGACACCGGAAGUGUUUCGGGCGUCGCCGGUAACGUACCGGGACCACCGGGACCACCGGGAGUGGCCCCGGGGGUCCAUCGGAAGGGGGCCAUGACCCCGGGAGGCUAGAUGGGCCAAGUGCGGGAGGGAACCAGCCCCUAGGUGGGCUGGUGUGCCCCCCACACUCAGCCCAAGGCGGAGGAGGUGAAGAUGGGGAAACCCUAGGCGCUGGUGGGCCUAAGGCCCACCUAGGGGUGCGCCACCCCUCCCCCCUGCCCUGGCCGCCGCACCUCCCAUCUAGGGGGACUGCCGCACCACCUGGGGGGAACCCAAGAGUGGCACCCCCCUCCCCUCCUCCUAUAUAUAGUGGGGAUUUUGGGGCUGUUUCACACACAGUUUUCCAUCUCCCUCGACGCAGCCCUGCUCUUCUUUCUCCUCCUCUCUGCCGGUGCUUUGCGAAGCCCUGCCGGGAGACCUCGUCUCUCCAUCGACACCACGCCGUCGUGCUGCCGGAGAUCUUCCCCAAACUCUCACUCCUCCUUGUUGGAUCAAGGUGCGGGAGACGUCACCGGGCUGCACGUGUGUUGAACGUGGAGGUGUCGUGGUUCGGCACUAGAUCGGAAUCACACCGCGAUCUGAAUCGCCGCGAGUACGACUCCAUCAACCGCAUUCUAGCAACGCUUCCACUUAGCGAUCUUCAAAGGUAUGAAGAUGCACUCACCCCUCUCUCGUUGCUGGUCUCUCCAUAGGAAGAUCUGAAUAUGCGUAGGGAAAAUUUUGAAUUUAUGCUACGUUACCCAACAGUAUGGCCCUUGCCACGGAGGUGCCAGCUUGUGGGGUUUCUGUUGGUCCAGUCGGAGGACCAAGUCGCCCUCUUGAAAUGCUCGGCCCAUGACUUGAUUGUCAUGGUGGAGCCAUAGGUCUUACUGGUACAAUGUGGACCGAAUGAGGUCCAUCUCUCUCUCUUUCUCCAGAAGAUCCAAAUUGUCUUGGUGUGCUGCUUCGGCUUCAGCUUCGUUGUACUGCUCCACUCAGGGGGAGUUGUGACGUAAGUCACUUGGCAGAAUGGCUACCGACCCAUACACCAUGAAGAAAUAGUACACUUGGUUGAACGAUUCAGAGUCAUUCGCAUAUCCCACAAGACGGAUGGUAAUUCUUCUACCCAUGCUCGUGAGGCAUAUUUGAGAUCUCUCAUCAGUCGAGGUUUCAAUCCCUGAAGUAUCAUACCAUUCACCCAUUCUACCUACCCAUUCGACUGCGGGUGCGCCACAGAGGCGUAAUUAACUCGAGUGCCUUGGGAGUGACAGAACUCGCGGAAUUCCUCCGAGUCGAAGUUGGUUCCAUUGUCGGUGAUGAUGUCGUGAGGGACUCCAAAUUUGAAGAUGAUCUGUCGAAUGAAGCUGACGGUAGUCGCCCCGUCCAUGCUUUUGUUGGGUUUAGCUUCGACCCACGUGGUGAACUUAUCCACUACAACUAGCAGGUGGCUAAAUCCACUGGUCCUGGUGCACAAAGGGCCGACCAAGUCAAUACCCCACACGGUGAAUGGCCAAGUGAGUGGAAUCAUUUUCAGCAUGGAUGCAGGCUUGUGCGACUGAUUCUUGUAGAACUCGCAUCCAACGCACAGAUCGACCAAGUAUUUUGCUCCCUCGUUGUCUCGAGGCCAAUAAAAACCUGCUCGGAAGGCCUUGGCCACCAUGGUCCGAGGGGACGCAUGAUGUCCAUAGGUUCCCGAGUGGAUCUUGUGCAAGAUCUGUAGUCCUUCCUGUGGGGAAAUGCACUUUUGACUGACUCCUGUAACACUCUUCUUGUACAGCUUGUCUCCGAGUACUUCGAAAGCUUUAGACCGCCGAACGAUUUGGUGGGCUUCCUCUUUGUCUUCAUGGAGCUCUUGUCGGAGCAAGUAAGCCAGAUAAGGCUAUGUCUGUUCGGGUGUGAUGACCAACAUCUUAUGGACGAGGUCGACCACCGUCGGGACGUCGAUCUCAAUCGGAUUAGAUGGACUGAUUGCUUGUGGGGGCUCUUCUGUGAAGGGAUCUUCCUUGACCGAGGGAGUGCGUAAAUGUUUGAGGAACACGCCCUUUGGAAUGACCUUCCGAGUGGAUCCGAUCUUUGUCAAGUCAUCGGUCGCUUGAUUCUUGGCUCGGUGCACGUGGUGUAGUUCCAACCCUUCGAAGUUUUUCUCCUGUUUCUUGACUGUGUUGCAGUAGACUGUCAUUGCUGGACUUCGAAUGUCCCAUUCCUUCAUUACUUGAUUGACAACGAGAUCCAAGUCGCCAUAGACCAUCAAAUGUCGAAUGCAAAGUGAGAUAGCCAUGCGGAGCCCAUACAAGAGGGCUCGUACUCGACCUCGUUGUUGGAUGAAUCGAAGUGGAUUUGGAGCACAUAGUUGAGUCGGGCUCCCCUGGGGGAAACGAUAAUCACUCCAGCCCCCGAGCCAUGGAGCAUUUUGGAUCCAUCGGAGAGCAUGGUCCAAUGCUCAGGGAUGCUACGAGCCGGUUCUUCUUGCUCUAUCCAUUCGUCCAGGAAGUCCACCAAGGCAUGAGACUUGAUCGCCUUCUUGGCUUUGAAUUUGAUCUCCAGCGGGAGGAGCUCAAUCACCCAUUUGGCCACUGUGCCGGUAGCGUCCCGAUUGUGUAGGAUUUCCUCCAGGGGGCGUCACUGAUGACAGUGACCGAGUGAUCUUGGAAAUAGUGGACUAACUCCUUUACUAUCAGGUAGAUCCCAUAAACCAGCUUCUCGUAGUGUGGAUAUCUUUGCUUUGAGGGGGUUAGUACCUCAGAGAUGUAGUAAAUGGGCCUUUGUACCUUGUACGCAUUGCCCGCUUUCUCAAGCUCUACACUGAGUAUGGUGCUAACCAGUUGGCUAGUGGCAAUAAUGUACAGGAGAAAGGGCUCCUGGCUGCUUGGAGCAGCUAACACCGGUUGGGUGGAAAGGAGAGAUUUGAGUUGGUCGAAUGCGACCUGUGCCUCGUUGGUCCACUCGAAUAUGUUGGAUUUCUUCAUCAAUCAGUAAAGAGGCACAGCCUUCUCAUCGAGUCUCAAGAUGAAGCAGCUCAGGGCUGCAAGGCAACCCAUAAGCCUUUGCACGUCAUGGAUGCGCUCUGGACGUCUCAUCUGGACGAUGGCACCGAUCUGGUCGGGAUUGGCAUCGAUGCCUCGUUCGGAAACGAGGAAACCGAGUAGCUUUCUAGCCGCAACACAGAAGGUGCAUUUGGCUGGACUGAGCUUAAUCCCGAAGCAUCAAAGGUUCGCAAAGGUUUCGGCGAGGUCGGCCAGAAGGUCGAAACCUUUCCUGGACUUAACCACGAUGUCGUCCAUGUAUUCUUCAAUGUUCCGACUGAAUAGUUCUUGUAAGCACUUUUGGAUCAUGCACUGGAAAGUGGCUCCGGCAUUCUUGAGGCCGAAUGGCAUCGUGAUGUAGGAAAAACACCUGAACGGGGUCAUGAAGGUUUUUUUAUUUCAUCAGUUUCAUACAUUCGGAUCUCGUGGUACCGAGAGUACGCAUCCAGGAACGACAAUCGUUCAAAUCCGGUAGUUGAAUCUAUGAUUUCAUCUAUGCGAGGUAGAGGGAAGUGGUCCUUCGGGAAGGCCGAUUGAGAUGCUUGAAGUCAAUACACAUUCGUAGUGAACUGUUCUUCUUUGGCACCAUGACCACGUUCGCCAACCACUCAGAGUGGUAAACCUCGUGGAUGAACUCGACAUCUAGGAGCCAAGCGGUCUCCUCGCCAAUCGCCCUAUGCUUCUCCAUGGAGGAGCGGCGCAGGUGUUCCUUGACGGGCUUGACCUUUGAUUCCACUCGGAGGCGGUGCUCAGCUAGUUCCCUGGGAACCCCCGCAUGUGAGAUGGCUUCCAUGUGAAGAUAUCCUAGUUCUCACAGAGGAACUUGAUGAGUUGGGCUUCCUAUUUUCUCCGAGUGAAGUGGAGAUGUUUGUCGCGGAAACACUCGGAUCGGUUGGAUGGACGUGGACCUGGUUCUUCUCACCAGCCGAGUGAAAGGAGGACUCAGUAGCCGGCCGUUUUGACUUGAGAAGGUUUGCGGUAUCCACUUCCUUCUUGUACCCAUCGAUCUCGACAGCGAGGACCUGCUCGUUGGCGAUCCUUGAACCUUGCUGGAGGCACUCUUCAACGACCUUUCGAUUGACAGUCACCGUGAUCACGUCUUUUGUCCCUGGCAUCUUAAGCUUAAGACACACGUAACAUGGACAGGCCAUGAAACGAGCGUUAGUGGGCCUACCCAGGAUGGCGUGAUAGGCACUUUGAAAGUCGACCACUUCAAAGGUCCACCUCUCCUUUCGGUAAUUCUUCUCGCUGCCGAAUACGACAUUCAGGGUGAUCUGCCCAAGUGAUUCGGUCUUCUUUCCGGGGAUGACCCCAUGAAAUUGCAUGUCACUCUUGCUCAACCGGGACAACGGAAUGUCCAUAGCUUUGGAGUGUCGAUGUAUAUGAUGUUAAGGCCACUGCCACCGUCCAUGGGGGCUUUCCACAGUCGGUACCCAUUGACCGCUGGAUCAAGCACCAACGCCUACCUCCCAGGGGUGGCAAUGUUGGUCGGGUGAUCCGAUUGGUCAAAUGUGACGGGCGUCUUCGCCCAGUCGAGGUAUUUCAUGAUAGCCGGGGCUGCCAUGUUCACUUCCCGGUUGAUAACUUUCAAUUGGCUCUUGCUCUCGACAUUAUUAAAGAUCAUGAGGGUCCCCUCGAUAUUCGGGUACCCGGAGGCAUCCUCUGGGUCAUCCUCAUACUCUUUGUCCCCGGAGGGUUCUCCGCUCAUCUCCUUCUGGAGGAAGCGGCAAUCUCGAGUCGUGUGCUUGGCAGGGAUGGUCUCCUCAUCUUUGUCGUUCCUAGCAUGAAUUGGAUACGGCUGAUCCAAAAGGUUGCUCUUGGACUUGGCCUUCUUCUUGCCUACCCAAUAUUUUUUCUUCUUCUUGGACUUGUUUUGGCUUUGCCCCGGGACAAUAGCUACUUCGGCUUUGCCCGAUGGGUCGCCCUUUUGCUUGUGCUUCUUCCCAGCAUUGUCCGACUAAGGGGCUUUGCUGGCUCGGCCUUUGCCGCUGCGGAGGUAGUCUUCUUCUUCGCCAUUCGCAUACCGAUUAGCGACUUCUAUGGCCCAACUAAGGGACACAUCCCUUGAUCGGCCAAACUUGAGGAUGAGUGCCUUCUUUGGAAGUGCACACGGCCUGAUGCUCGGUGACAUUCUCCACCGUGUUGUGCAGUGUGGUCCACCGCUGGCUGUACUCUGUGAGAGUCUCCUUGCUCUUCUCGACAUAGUGUUGCAGCUCGGUCAGGCCGCUUGGACGCUUGUAAGUGCCCUCGAAGGUCUUGACGAACACUCAGGUGAGGUAAACACAGCUAUGGAUGUUGCUGGAGGGAAGCUGAUUGAGCCACGCCCUCGCCAACCCUUCUAACAUGAGGGGCAUAUGCUUCAUUGUGAUGUAGUCGUCGCCGCCACCUAUCUGGACGGCCACUUGGUAGUCCUCCAUGUUGGGGAACGUUGCAUGGGAAAUAAAAAAAUUCCUACGCGCACACAAGAUCUAUCCAUGGUGAUGACCAUCUACGAGAGGAGAGAGUGCAUCUACAUACCCUUGUAGAUCGCUAAGUGGAAGCAUAUAUAUAACGCGGUUGAUAUAGUGGAACAUCUUCGCGAUCCAAAUCGCAGCCUGUCCUGCGAUCUCAUUAUGAUCCGUCCCACGAUCCCAUCACGAUCCGUCCCGAUCUAGUGCCGAACGGACGACACCUCUGCGUUCAGCACACGUACGGCUCGAUGACGUCUCCUCCUUCUUGAUCCAGCAAGAGAGGAAGGAGAAGUAUAUGGGAUCUCAACCAACACGACGGCAUGGUGGAGAUGAUGGUGGAGCAGUGCCAGCACGGCUUCGCAAAGCGCUGCCAGAACUGAUCUGAGGAGAAAACGGAGUUAUGGGAGAGGUAGGGCUGCCACCGUGGUGUGGGAAUUGGUGUGUUCAGACCCUCCCUCUCCCGCACUAUAUAUGGGAGGCAAGGAGGAGGGUUGGGUCGCAUACCUAGCCCCUCCUCCAAGGAGGGGGCGUGGGCCUAGGGAGGUUUCCUCCCUCCUCAUGGCACCUAGGAGGUGCCUUCCCCUUUAGGGACUCUUUCCUCCCAACCGUAUGGGCCCUUGGGGGCUCGCCCAACAAGGCUUGGACACCUCCUUAAGCCCAUGCACGUCCUAGGGGCUGGAGGGAACCUUCCGGACUCCUCCGGAACCCUCUAGAACCCUGUGGAACUUCCAGAAGCUUCCUGGUACAAUAGCGAUAAAACCUGGAACUUUUCCGGUAGCCAAAAUAGGACUUCCCAUAUAUAAAUCUUUACCUCCGAACCAUUCCGGAGCUCCUCGUGACAUCCAGGAGCUCAUCCGGGACUACGAACAACAUUCAUUCACCAACAUACAUAUCCCAAUACUACUCUAGCGUCACCGAACGUUAAGUGUGCAGACCCUGUGGGUUCGAGAACUAUGCAGACAUGACCGAGACACUUCUACGGUCAAUAACCAAUAGCAGGACUUGGAUGACCAUAUUGGUUCAUACAUAUUCUACGAAGAUCUUUAUUGGUUGAACCUCUAUGUCAAGGAUUCAAUUAAUCCCGUAUGUUGUUCCCUUUGUCCUUCGGUAUGUUACUUGCCCGAGAUUCGAUCGUCGGUAUCUCUAUACCUAGUUCAAUCUCGUUACCGGCAAGUCUCUUUACUCAUUCCGUAUUACAAGAUCCUGUGACUAACUCCUUAGUCACAUUGCUUGCAAGGCUUGUUGUGAUGUUGUAUUACCGAGUCGGCACUGAGAUACCUCUCCAUCACACGGAGUGACAAAUCCCAGUCUUGAUCCAUACCAACCCAACAGACACCUUCGGAGAUACCUGUAGAGCACCUUUAUAGUCACCCAGUUACGUUCUGACGAUUGAUACACACAAGGUAUUCCUCCGGUGUCCGGGAGUUGCAUGAUCUCAUGGUCAUAGGAACAAAUACAUUGACAUGCAGAAAACAGUACCAAUAAACUGACACGAUCACACAAGGUGUAUGUUUGGUUGACAUGGAUCAAGACUGGGAUUUGUCACUCCGUGUGACGGAGAGGUAUCUUGGGGCCCACUCGGUAAUACAACAUCACAACAAUCCUUGCAAGCAAUGUGACUAAGGAGUUAGUCGCGGGAUCUUGUAUUACGGAAUGAGUAAAGAGACUUGCCGGUAACGAGAUUGAACUAGGUAUAGAGAUACCGAUGAUUGAAUCUCGAGCAAGUAACAUACCGAAGGACAAAGGGAACAACAUAUGGGAUUAAUUGAAUCCUUGACAUAGAGGUUCAACCGAUAAAUAUCUUUGUAUAAUAUGUGGGAGACAAUAUGGGCAUCCAGGUCACGCUAUUGGUUAUUGGCCGGAGAAUGUCUCGGGUCAUGUCUACAUAGUUCUCAAACCCGCAGGGUGUGCACACUUAAGGUUCGAUGACGUUUCGGUAUAGUUGAGUUAUAGGUGUUGGUGACCAAAGGUUGUUUGGAAUCUCAAAUGAGAUCCUGGACGUCACGAGGAGCUCCGGAAUGGUCCGAAGGUAAAGAUUGAUAUAUAGGAAGUCCUGUUUUGGUCUCCGAAAAAGUUUUGGACUCAUCGGUAGUAUACCAGGAGUACCGGGAGGGUACCGAGGGACCACCGGGAUGGGUGUGAUGACCCAAGGGUUUCAUGGGCUGUGAGAGGAGGCAGACCAGCCCCUGGUGGGCUGGCCGAAGCCUCCCCUAAGGGCCCAUGCGGCUCGAGUGGAGGGAUAAAGCAAAAAGCCAAAAGGUGGAAAGAGUUUCCAAAUUAGGAAGGAGUCCCUAAUUAGCCACGUGAUGUCGUCUCUCUCUCUAGAUCGUUUUCUUCUCUAGAUUAGUUUCGCACCUCUUGGCGAAGCCCUGCUAGAUUUUCCACCACCACCACCACCACGCCGUCGUGUUGGACAAUGCAUCUACCUCUCCGCCCCUCUUGCUAGAUCAAGGAGACGGGGAUUGUCAUCGAGUUGUACGUGUGCUGAACGCGGAGGUGCCAUCCGUUCGGCACUAGAUCGGGAUGGAUCGUGAUGAGAUCGCAGGAAGGGCUGUGAUUUGGAUCGCGAAGAUGUUCCACUACAUCAAUCGCGUUAUAGACGCUUCCGCUUAGCGAUCUACAAGGGUAUGUAUAUUUACUCUCCCCUCUCGUAGAUGAUCAUCACCAUGGAUAGGUAUUGCGUUUGCGUACGAAAUUUUUUGUUUUCCAUGCAACGUUCCCCAUCACAAUUGCCAAGGACUUAAACACCUGCGUGAAGACCCAUGUUACGUGUAACGUUGUAAUUAAAGCCACCGUUUUUAGUAAAUCACGUAGUUAUUAGCAUUAAAUACCCUAGUGACGGUGCUCGGUCGGUCGUGGCACACUCUAUAUAAGCCACUCCUGGGCUCCCCCUCAAGGGUUAAGCAUUUUGUACUUUCAGAUACCCCAUAAGAAAUCACGAGCCUCACGGCUUGAGAUGUAGGGUCUUUACCACUUCCCAGUGGGGCCCGAACUUGUACAUCCAAGUGUAUCCACUGCGCCUAGCUAGACUUCGCCCCUUAGUUCGUACCCCUCGUACUAUUGUCAGGAUCAUUCCCACGACAACGAAGGUGAGGGAACCGAAGAGGAUCUCUCCGCCGAGUGUCAUCAUGUUGGAUUUGCUAGACACGCAGCCCCACGGUGUGCGCCAAGUGUCUGGAAAUGACCCUGAUAAUAGUAGUGGGGGUACGAACGGAGGGGCGAAGCCUAACUAAGCCCUAUGAAUACACUCGGAUGUACGAGUUUGGGCCCCAUUCGGAAGUGGUAACAACCCUACGUCUCGAGCCUUGAGGCUCAUGUUUUCUUAUGGGGUAUGUGAGAUUACAAGGUGCUGAACCCUUGAACUCGAGCCCGGGAGUGGCCUAUAUAGAGUAUGCCAUGACCGGCUAAGCUUCACUACAAGGUGAAUUAAUGCUAAUAAAUAAGGGAGUUACUAGAAACGAGAGUUAUAACUCCUAGCGUUACAUGUAACGCGGGUCUUCACUGCACUUCAUGUGAUAGUUGAAGUCCUUAGUCGUUGUAGCCUAUUCGGUGUCAUCGUCUUGCUGUGGUUCGAGUACCAUGGUGCGUCCCACUGACACAAGGUGAUCCGAAUGACUUCAUGUAAGCCGACUGAGGACACGUUGUAUCGAAUGAGGUCGAAACUGCACCGGUGACUUGUAGGACAUUGAUGUUCGUAUGGGGCCUUAGGUGGGUCUUGGGGAAAAGGUUUAUAGGCCUAUCCCUAAUGUACAAUCCGUAAGGGGUCAAGUACAUGAAUUUUUUUAAGAAGUGGUGUGCAUGAUUUUCUUUCAAAAUUUAUGAAGAUAAUGUACGACAAUCUCUAUUCACACAUAAAAGGUCGUACGACUUUCUCCAAACAUGAUGAUCUUUUUAUAUACUAUUCUUUUCAAACACAUUAACUAUCUUCUGAUAGAGGAACAUUUUAUAUAAAUAUAAUCAGGUUACUUAAAAGUUUGUAAAAAUUUUAGAGCUUCACUAAAAGGUUAGCAAAAACUGAAAAAAGUUCAUUAAAUCAAGAAAAAGAUCACUCGAAAUAGCGGAACUGAAUUUUUUUGCGGAUUAGGAAAAGCUCAUAAAAUUCAAAACCAAAUCACAAAUUUGUAAAAGUUUUCAGUUUCCUAUGAAGUUCAAGCAUUAAAAAAGCAAAUUAAAAAAGCACACAAAAAAACAAAGCCAAGUUUUCAAAAACCAAAAAACAAACCGACCGGAAGGUUCUCGAAGCUUCAUACCCAGGCCGGAAAGCUUCCAAAAACGGGGCCCAUUAAAAACAUGGCUCCUUGUCGGUUCGCUCGACCGCUGAAAAGAAACUAACUCGCCUCGCUGGAUUAGUUCUUCGGCUGUGCUGCCAUUGUGGUUCGGAAAAAAGAUUGACCGCCUUUUUUUCAAUUUUGAAUACUUUUGUUAGAAAAGUUCAUAGAUUAAUUCUAAAAAAAAUAUCGAUUUUGUAUAUUUCUUUCACAAAUAUGAAAAAAGUUCAUAAAUUUGAAAAAAAUUAUAGGACUUGAAAUUUGUUCAUCAAAUUGAAAAAAAUCAUUCAAUUUGAAAAUAUGAUAUUCAUCGAAUUGAAAAAAGUUCAUCGCAUUUUAAAAAGAGUUCAUCAAUUUAUAAAAUAGGUUCAUCAAAAUGUUAAAAAGUUCAAUAAUUUUGAAAAAAAGUUAAUCAAGUUUGAAAAAAGUUCAUUGAAAUUGAAAAAAAUAAUGUAAUUUGAAAAACAAUUGAAUGUAAAAAAAGUUCAUCGAUUUUGAGAAAAAUCAUCAAAUUUGAAAAAGAAAAGUUCAUUGAAUUUGCAAAAGAGUCGUUAAAUUUGAAAAUGUUCAGUAUAUUUCAAAAUAAAUAUCUAAUAUGGAAACAUCAAUUUUGAAAAAAGUUCAUCAAAUUUGAAAAAGUCUAUCGAUUUUAAUAAAAGAUCAUGAUUUUGAAAAUAAAAUAUUGAAUUUUGAAAAAAAUUCACCAAUUUUGAAAAAAGUUCACCGAUUUUAGAAAAAAGUUCACCGAUUUUGAAAGAAAGUUUAUUGAAUUUUAAAAGAGUUCAUCAAAUUUAAAAAAAAUNNNNNNNNNNNNNNNNNNNNNNNNNNNNNNNNNNNNNNNNNNNNNNNNNNNNNNNNNNNNNNNNNNNNNNNNAAAAAAAAUCACCGAUUUUGGAAGAAAGUUCAUCGAAUUUGAAAAGAGUUCAACAAAUUUAUAAAAAAAUCACCGAUUUGGAAAAACGUUCAUUAAAUUAGGGGAAAAAUCAUCAAAUUUGAGAAAAGUUCAAAAAUUGUAAAUAGUUCAUCAUUUAAAAAACAAAAGAACAAAUUUGAUGAACUCUUUUCAAAUCAUUGAACCAGAUCAAAGAAACAAAAAGAAAAAUCUUUGAACCAGGUCAAAGAAAAAAAGCAAAGGAAAAAAGGAAAAAGAAAAAAAGGAGAAUGAAGCUGGAAAAAUACCUGUUUGGGACUGGAGAAUUUGUUAGAAAAAAGAACAGGAUUGAAACCUCGACUAUUCGAUGUUCGUUUUUUUUGAACAUUUUAGAAAAUAAACAGAUGAUAAAUGGCCGGCCAAGCUCGUACCAGUGGCGGAGUACCAAGAGAACAUGAUGCUUCGGUCUGUUAGAUUUUGUAGAAUCCAGCCUAGUAUUUGUGAAUUUUGGGCUCAUGGAAGGCGGGUUUGUUUAUAUCCCUCUCAUGAUCUAUUAAAAUGUUAUAUCUCCCUCUUAGCAAGGUCCUCUAUAGGACACCCAUAGGCGUAAGAUUGAUGAACCUUUGUGUAGGGUCGGCAUGACUUGGUAUAAUGUUUCCCUGUCGCUAGGGUUUAGCUGCACCUAGGGCGAUUUCUUGCCUAACCUGUCCACCAGUUUGAUUCUGACUGAUCACACAACAAUCUCUGGAUCGUUGCCUUGCCUUGAUCGAUCCCUUGGACGCUCGAAGGGAGCUAGGGUUCUUCACCCUAGAUCUGAUAGGGUUUUGUGGAGAACCCUAGCUCCCUUCGAGCAUCCAAGGGAUCGAUCAAGUCAAGGUGAAGAUCCAGGGAUCGUCGUGUUAGAACAAAUUUUGAAGAUUAGGAACAUUUUUUGAAAUUUUGAACAUUUUUUUGCAAAUUUGGAACAAAAAAAUUCCAAACAUUAAUUUUGAAAACAGAAACCUAAUUUUAAACCACAAAGAAUUUAUGAAAUUCUAGAAAAAAUGAAAGCAAGAACAUUUUUUAAAUUCAGAUUUUAGAAAGAAAAAAAGUACAAUCAAAUUCAACCAAAACAUUCCAAACAUUUUUAAAAAAACAAGAAGAAAGUAAAACACCAAAAUAAAGGAGUGGAUUUUUCGUAUGUCUCGCUUGUUGUGAGGAACAGUGAUGCGUNNNNNNNNNNNNNNNNNNNNNNNNNNNNNNNNNNNNNNNNNNNNNNNNNNNNNNNNNNNNNNNNNNNNNNNNNNNNNNNNNNNNGAUCGAUUAUCACCCCCCCCCCCAAGGCCUUGUUUGAUACUAGGGUUUUUCAGGAGAUUGGUGGGGAUAAUCCCCACAGGGAUUGGGUGAAACCCCAUCCUUCACCCAAUCCCCUCAAAUCCCCAUUUAUCCCCAAUACACUAGGUAGGGGUAGUGUAUUGAGUAUUGAGAAAAAUACACUAAAAUUUAGAGAAUUGUGGGGAAAUGUGGGGAUAAAACAUGUCAAAUACACUAGAACCAAAUGGCGUUAUGGGAUAUGUGGGGAUUUAGGGAUUUGACCGGGAUAAUCCCUACUAAUUUUCUGAAAUACACUAGUACCAAACAAGGCCCCAAGGAAAUCCAGCGGGGACUAGGCCUAAUAUAUAGGCUUAAUUAGUGCCCAGUUAUCAGACCGAGCCGUCAAAGCCAAGCCCAAGGCUGCAUGUUCUCAUACGUAGUAUCCAUCCAUUCAUUGACUGAUCUGAUGAUUGACUCUGUUAAUUGAUCCGCACGUUCGAUUUGAGCAGGACUUUUUCCUCCUAGACGCGCCAGUCGCUAGGGUUACAUUGACGCCGCCGCUCCGGCUGCCGCACCGUGGUCGACCGCGCUGCCGUGACUACACGAGAAAAUUGGAUUUUUGCCACUUUAUUCGUUGGGCUUCGCACAAUUGCCACUCUAAAGAUUUGAUUCGCACAAUUGUCACUUAAGUCGUUGCACAAUUGCCACUCUAGAGAUUUGAUUAGCAUGCCAUUAACCCCAUUUAAAUUAUUUUUUACAUUAAUUGGCUAGUGAAAAGACCAGCUUGCCCCUUAGUUAUGUACAUGUACGUACCUGGCAACGAAUCAACGCUACAACUGCAUCUGGCAACGAAUCAAUGCUACAACUGCAUCUGGCAACGAAUCAGCGCUACAACGACAAGGCUUGCGCUGGCUGCCAAUAAUAUAGCUAACUGUCAUACUACGAGUCCUUCGACGUCGCGCUCGAGCGACUCUUCUCGCCGUCUUGCGCCGCCGAUCGCCUGGACGCCGCGUGCCGCCGGCUGGACGUCUUGCGCCGCCGAUCGCCUGGACGUCGCGUGCUGAACCUCCUCAUCCUCCUGGGGCGCUCCUUCCUGGCCCUCAUCCCAGUCGAGUGGUCAGGCGACCGGGACGAGCGACGCGAGCACACUGGCGGGCGGUGACGGCGGUGGAGCGGAGGUAGCGACGGCGGUGGUCGGCUGGAGCGAGCGGCAAACGACGGUGGUCGGGCGGGGCGAGCGACCACGGCGGUCGAGCGAAGGUAGCGACGGCGAUGGUCGGGCGGGGCGAGCCGCAACGAUGGUGGUCGGACGGGGCGAGCGACCACGGCGGUCCGACGGGCGGGCAGCGACAUGGUCGGUCUGCACUCUGCAGCUUGUUCGUCCCUGCUCAUACAGAUAAGCCAUACAGAUAAGAUGUGAGUAUAUACAGUCAGGGGCAGUUUGGUCUUUUCUUGUGCUUACAGAUGUAAAAAGAAAAAGGAAAUCACUAAAAGGAGAGAAGUGGUAUGGUAAUCAACAAGCCAACAAACAGAGUGGCAAUUUUGCAAAGCCAACGUUGAAAAUGGCAAUUUUGAGAAACCACGUAUUGAAAGUGGCAAAAAUCCAAUUUUCUCUGACUACACAAAGUACACGCAUACGGCAGACGCUGGCUAAGCAGAACAUGUCCGACGGUCGGAGCCUACUCUUGACUCCAUGUGAGCGUGCUCGGCUGCUCUACUCCAGGUGAGCCUGCUCGGCUGCUCUACUCCAGCGGGACUAAUGAUUUAUGAAUUAGCUGAAUGUAACACGGACUAUAUAUACUACUGUAGCUGAAUCUAACACGGACUAUAUAUACUCCUGUAGCUACUUAUACACGGUUCAGUAGCUGAAUUAUCAUAUACAGAUAUACUGUACUUAUAAAAGGUUGCUUACUAUUUGGUUCAUUAGCUGAAUUUCUGGCAUAUAUAUAGAGGGAAAAUGGUUCCUAUUUUGAUACUUGUCAGAUGAAUUACAUAUUUGCAUUUUACUAAUAGAAGAACUGAAAACUGUAUAGGUCAUGAAUAAGAGGAAGAUACCGCCGAUAAGUAAUUUUUUCAAGUCAAAUGCUACAAACUCUAACUCAGCAGCUGAAAAUGCAAAUGCAACCGUGGAGGUAGAUGACACACAACAACCCACUGGUCAUAAUGUCCCCAAUCUCAGUUCGGUUGAUAUGCCACCCCCGAGCAAAAUAUUCAGGCAUAUGUGGAAGUUCUAUCCAGUAUUUUUCAGUUGAUAUGUCAAAUAUUUGCAGGCUUGUGGAAACAUUCUAUCCAGCAGAUUUUUCUAGUCAAGAGCAGGCUCACGUGGAGUCACGACUUCCACACUAUCAGUUAGAUGUUCGCAACCAUCUAGAGCUGAGAUCUUCGUCAUCACUUGCCGAUUUGACCGUUGCAUUGCAUAAAACAGAUAAAGCUUCUCUGUACCCAAUGGUUGAUAGAUUAUUGCGAUUGGUUAUCACUCUCUCUGUGUCAACUGCAACUGUGGAGAGAGCUCUCUCGGCAAUGAAGAUUAUCAAGACGCGUCUCCGAAGUAAAUUGGGUGACGAUUUUCUUCGCCAUUACAUGGUUGUAUACAUUGGGAAGGAAAUAGCUGCAAAGUUCAAUGUUGAUGAGAUUAUUGAUUUGUUCGAUCGACCAGCUGGGGGGCGUAGAUCUUCGUUCAAACUAGUAGAAAUGUAGUUUUCUUUUCGUAAAGCUUAUAUUGUUACAUGUUUGAAAUUUCUAAAAUAUUCAAGACUUGAAAUAUUUUUGUGUUAUGUCUCUUGUGUGUUUCAAUGUGUUCUUCGCACCCUCUAUGAUGAAAUCCUCGCUCCGCCCCUGAUCAUUCGGUGCCGUCAAAAUAUGAAAAAUAGCACUUGCAUAGUUUUCCUCUGAAAAAAUGUCAGGCUCCCGGCAAGCGCCAACGUUUUUUCAAAUAUAGUUCACUAAUUUAAAAGAUAUAAUUUUGAAAAUUCCUGAGUAACUCAAAACAUUUUAUUAAUUCCAGAAUGCUUGUAACCUUAAAAAAGUUGAUGAUUCAAAAAAUUUCCAUGAAUUCUAAAAAUAUUCAAGUAUUCAAGAAAAUUGUUCAAGAAUUGGAAAUAUGUUGGCAUCAAAUUCAGAAAAUGUUCACAAAAUAGAGAAAGUGCGCGAAUGCAAGGAAGUCUCUGUGAAUUAGCAAAAUCAUCAAGAAUUAUAUAUUCUUGCAAAUAUGAAUAUAUACCUGAUUUGAAACAACGUUCACAAAUAAAAAAAAUCAUAUUUUCAAAACUCUUACCGAUUUAAAAAAUAUUUGCGUGAAUUAGAAAAUUAUUUACAAAAUAUGCUAAAUAUCAUGAAUUUCAAAUUAUUCAUGAGUGUGAAAAUACGAUUGUGAAGCCAAAAAUAUUGUGUGAAUUUGAAAAGUUAUUCAUGAAUUCAAAAUAUGUUCAAGUAUUGAAAAACAGAAACUUCAAAAUGUUCCUGAAUUAGAAUGGAAGAGCAGAAAAUAAAAAAUGAGUAAUAAUAAAUACAUGAGGAAAAAAAGGUGCGACCCAGUAAAAUAGAGCCAUUUUUAGAAGAUCCGAAUUCCUAAAAUCGGCUUUCCAAAGAAAUCAAUACCAGGACUACCGACUUUCCAAAGAAACUACCUCCACGGUUCCAAAAUAAAUGCCGAAGAUCUAUUAUUAAUUUUGUAUAAAUUUUAUACCCCCUUUGUCACAGUUUAGAAGGCAUGAUUAAAUUUACGUGUGUUUCCAUAAUAAAUAAGUUUAAGACGCAUUGCAUUUAUUCCUAUUAGCUAAUUAGUACUCCGUUGUAUUACUUCCAUAUGCAUACAUAGCGUGAAUACAAUUUUUAAAUUCAUCUCAUAGCCAAUUAAUAGCCACCUAGAUUUUAAAUAAUUUCCAAACACGUUUUUUAAAUGGGGACUGCUACGCAUCUACCGAUGGAUUUGUAGAAACCAUCCACCACCUUUUUAACCGUCCGAUGCAUAAACGUGCACCGUUCGAUCAUCAGCUCGGUCGCAUCUGUCCACCACACAAAAUCCUGAAACAACGUUCCAGUUGCGGAAACAAGCACGCUGCUACGUCAUUCGGUUGACGGGUUAAAAAAUGACUGACGGUUCUUUUGCAACAUAGAUUAUGUUGCAAAAUUUUUUGCAACAAAAGAGCAUGUUGCGAAAACGUUCGUAUAUUUUUUUGCACUAGAAUUUGUUAUAGAAUAUUUUCUGCAACAAGGAUCAUGUUGCAGAAAUUUUUGUAACACAGGUCAUGUUGCAAAAACCUUUUGCAAAGUAGGUCAGGCUGUAGUUUUUUUUUGUAACAAAAGAUAUUUGUUCCAAUUUUUUGAAACACAGACCAAGUUGCAGAAACUCGUCAUUACGCUCUACUUGCACUAUGCGAUUGUAGAAAUCGACCGGCUGAUGGGAAGAGUUUUCGUUGUUAUAUAAUAUUUUCCACAACAAAAGAUCGUGUUGCGGAAACAUAUGCAGAAUUCUUUCUCUACAACAAAAGUCUUGUUCCAUAAAUAUUUUGCAACUGAGUGUUUGUUGUAGAAUUUUUUUUCUGCAACAGUAGAUAAUUCUUUUGCAACAAAAAGUCAUAUUGCAGAAUUUGUUUUUCCAGUUUUCUCUUUUUUGCAACACAUGUGUUGUUGCGGAAAUAAGUUUUGCAACACAUGUAAUGUUUCAGGAAAAAAAAAAUUAACGACCUUGCAAUCUAGAUUCUCACCCGCACCGUCCGCCAUCGACUUCAUAGUUGCGGCCCAACGCACGGACACGUGUCGUGCGCACGAGGAGGCGGAUGGAAAAUGUCCGAUCCGCCAGAUGAUUAUCAUCAUUUCCCUUUUUAAAUCGUGACAAAAAAAGUACUAAACUAACGACAUUUAUUUUGAGACCGGAGAAACAAUACCAGGAUUUCUUUACGGCCUAGUCGGAACGCGUGUGAACAAUCUGCCGCUACGGCCGGCAGUAGAGCAGACAAAUCCCAUGUCUACGUCUUCUUGGGCCGAGCGGAUGUUAGUUAGGCCUUGUGCUAUUUACGAAAUCUUGGUUUGCCUAAAAAAUGUAAAAGGUCUGUUUUGUCUAAAAAUAAAUGUAAAAAAUCUGUUCUCAAAUAUUUUUACCCGUAGCAGUUCAGUCACAUCUAAGAGCAUUUACAGCCCGACUGCCUCCUUCCUUCCUAAAUGUUCGUAAUAUCUGUCCGAUCAAAAAAAGUUGACCCAAUCAAACCUCUCACCUAAUUCCUAUACGUCCAGUCAGACUGACACCCCUCAAAUCGGGAUCAAAUGUAGGAACGAUAUGAGGGGACCCGGACAUGACCGAGCGUGACCGGGCACCGUUUCGUUUCAUAAAGGUCCCAACUCCAACCACCUGAAUAGGAGCUGUCUAGUGUGCUUUUGCUCUGACACACUCGACAACCUAAAUUUUAGUCCCACCUUGCCGUGUCAGCCGGACACGGACUAACUUAAAUAGCCGCGACGGGGGAUAGAGACAAGCUUCUCUAUUAAUUAUAUAGGUGAAUCAAUUCUUGUUGUUUGAAUGAAGUAGCGUGACACUAGAUUGCAUUCCAUCAACUGAUGAUUGUUUAUCGAGUGUCAAGUUUGUCUCAUUCAUGUACAUUGAUAGCCCUACUACAAUAAACAUGACUUUUAUUUUGUGAUCUAAAAAGAGCCGUGCAAACAUAUUUUAUGAUUCAAAAAAAAUCGUGCAAAUGUCAAUGCUCCAUUUGUGAAGGAGAUAGACAUGCCUACGAACUUCUUUGUGAUAAGCACAGAAGAUUCGUAGUAAUAGUCCAUUUGGUUCACAAAGUGUAUAAGGAUGACUGAAGCUUAUUAUUUCUAAACGACUCGGCUAUUUAAGUCGGCCAAUUAGCUCUUAGGCGGCAAGGUCAGACUAAAACAUGCGAAACCCACCGAGACAAGUAGAAAAUGUUAGUCGAUGUCCUACCAGCCCAACAUAGACCUGUUGAUCGAUGUGCAUGUCUUUGCAUGUAUAUGAUGUUUUGAAAAUAGGUUUUAUGGUUGCAAAUGGAAAAAAUCUAAGAGUCACACUAUAUCUCAUCUAUAUAACAUGACAUCAUCCAGUUUGACAUCUAACUAAAAUGAUUUGUUGUAUUGUUUGUUUGUCUUGAUGUUUUUUUUUCGCUUUUACGACACCCAACCCAAAAACGCCCCUUGACUGUGGACGCGUCCGACUGGGCCGGUCAGACCAUUUAUGUCAAACUCUAAACAACAGUCGUGCGCAAAAAAUCCAGAAAAAACUAAUAAGAGUGGCACAAUUCCAACCACAAACAUCUUGUGUGUGCACAAACACCACUAGCCACUACACCACACAACUUGCCAUGACAAAUUAGUUGUGGGAAGUUUAAAAAUUAAUGGAAGUGGCAUAAUUGCAUACUACUUGAAAUAUUGCAAACAAUAUUUUGAUUUUUGAUUUUUUAGAAAAUACAAAUAUUGAUUUGUUAAAACGAGCAAUUUUUAAUUUUUUAGUCAUUUUAUAAAUUGCGCAGGAAAUUUAAAAUUCCCCUAAAAAUAUUAAAUUUUAAAUAAAACUUAAAAGUAAGACCAUUUUUGCAAUCAUGAACAAUUUCUAAAAAAUGAACUUUUUUUACAAUUAAGCACUUUUUCAAAAUGCAAACAUUUUUUAAAAUUCCAAGAAACUUUUUUUUGAAAACUCAAAUUUUUUAACUGAGUUAGUGGACAAACUAGUAUUACAUACAAAAAGUACAUGACUCAAAAGGGUGUAUCUCAUCUGUAUACAACUACGAGAUUUCACAAAAAAGGUGGGGAACUAACUCAAUGGGUUGGGAACUAGAAACCAUAUAAAUGUUGGCUUUAAAAAGACACAUGAAAAACUUGGGGCCCUCCAACUCGGUUGCAUAUCUUUACAAAAACAAAAAAUGGGUCGAAUAUGGGCUUGAAACUUGGACAUUUGAAAAAAGGGAUUGACCCAAAAACAAAAGGAAAUAUUACGCGGGUAAAAUUGACAAUAAAAGAAGAAAAGGUGGCUAGUAACUGCCACAGUCGGGACCCACAUUUGGCAUACUCAAGAUGAAAUUGUACCUCGGAUAUAAAUUGGUGGAUCACCCUAGUUGCAAGUUGAUGUGAACUUCUAUUCGUGGCAGAAAAGUUGGAGCCCAAUUACAAAUCAAUGGUGGACUUCGAGCAGGGGCGAAGAAUAAAGAAGAUGACCUACUCGCAAAUAUUAUGGUGGGCUUGUAACUAAGGCAACAUAAAAAUCCCGAUUGCAAAUACAGGAUGGUCUUGCAACUAGGAGUGGAGAACAAAAAAGGAGCGUAGAACAAAAAGGGUCGAUGCUUUACAAUCCGAGGGUGUACUUGCAAACUUAGGCGACAAUAAAACUUCGCACCCAUUUCUGAGUUGAUGGUGGACUUGUAACUAGGAUGAAAACAAACUACGGGCCGACUUGCGAGUCAAGGGUGGACUGUCAACUCGAGCAACUAUGAGCCUAGUUGUGAGUUGACAGUGGACUUGUAACUGCGAUGGAAAACAAAAUACUAUCCCCAUGUCCAUUUGUGAGUCUAGUGAUGACUUGCAAGCGGGAUGAAAGCAAAAUAUGGGCCCACUUGUGUGUUGUGGGUGGACUUGCAACUCACACAACUACACAAAAGUACAAUAAAAACUUGGAUCCCAAUUGAAAGUGGGUGGUAGACUUGCAAAUGGUGCAAAAGAAUAAAAACGGGUGACCUACUAGCAAAAACGAGGGUGGGCUUGUAACUAAGGCAACAAAAAAGGUCAAAAAGUUGGAUUGCAAGUAGAGGGCGUGCUUCAACUAGGAGCGAAGAAACAAAAAGAUGGUCAGUGUUGGUUGUAAGCCAAAGGUGAACUUCCCAACAUAGGCGAGGAAAAACUUUGAGCCAAUUUGUGAAUUGGUAGUAGACUUGCAAUUAAGAUGAAUACAAACUAUGGUCCUAAUUACAAGUCGAGGGUGGACUUGCAACUGUAAAAACUACGAGCCUGUUCAUGAGUCCAGGUUGGGCUUGCAAUUGGGAAAAAAACUACAAGCCCAAUUGCGAACUCAGGGUGGAGUUACAAUUGAAAUGAAAACAAACUAUGGGCCAAGUUGCAUCUCAAGCAUGGACUUGCGACUCAGAUAACUACACAAAAGUAUUAAAAAAUCUUGGAGCCCAAUUGCAAGUCGAUGAUAGACUUGCAACUAGGGCGACCUACUCACCAAAACAAGGGUGGACUUGUAACCAAGGCAACAAAGAAAAAGGUGAAACAAAGUUGAUUGUAAGUUGAGGGUGGGCUUGCAAUUAGGAUCAAAGAAAUAAAAAGAGUUGGUUCUAGUUAUAAGCCAAAGGUGGAGUUGCAAAACUAAGGAUAUAAUUAAAAAUUUGAGCCCAUUUGCAAGUUAAUGGUGGACUUGCAGCUAGGAUGAAAAAACUUCGGGCCGAGUUGUGACACUAGUAGAAAACAGGGCUACCGUUCGGCCCUCGCCAACCCAUUAGUCCCGGUUCUUCAAGAACCGGGACCAAUGGGGGGUAUUAGACCUGGUUCGUGAGCCCAGGGGGCCGGCCGGGGCCUCGUGGGCAUUGGUCCCGGUUCGUGUGGAACCAUUUGUCCCGGUUCGAGCCACGAACCGGGACCAAUGGUCCUCGCUGCUGGCCCACAACCAUUAGUCCCAGUUCAUGCCACGAACCAGGACAAAUAACUUGCCUACAUAUAUACCCACCGCCGCGGCAGAGCACUCCACAGUGCUCUAUUUUUGUCGAGCCGGCGAGGGAAGGGCAUUUGGGUGCUCUAGUUCACCUCCUAUGCACAUGAGGUGUUCGAUGAAAUGCCCGAGCCACACUAGUUAAGCUUUCUCCUCUCGAAACUCAACCUCCGAGCUCCAUUUUCAACGAGACUUGUCUAGAUUUAGCGGUCCGUCAUGCCUCGUCCCCGCCCCGUCUUCACCGUCGUCGAUCGCCCGCGCCGAUCUCGUCGCCGACACCACCGUGGUGAGCCUCUUAUUCUUAUCUUCUUUCUGAAAGAAAAAAAAAUUCUGACUUCAGAUAGAUACUUGUCUAAUUUUCUUACUUUUAUUAUUCCUUGUUAUUAUAUAGUGCGAUGGUUUUGGUAUCCGCCCCCGUCGGCCCUCGUCGUGUCUAUGAUUCAGAUGUGGUAUAUAUUAUCUUUUCAUAACUAUUUGGUUCAUUUAUUGUUUAUGACAAUUAUGAUGACCAACGUGGCAUAUAUUUUUAAUCUAGGAGGUAUGUGAACCGGAAAUUCCAACCCACCUAGAAAUGCUUCUCGAGAAGUUAACUUUGGUUGAAAAAGAAAACAAAUACUUGAAGGAAAAAUUGAAAAUAAUUGAGGAUAAGAAUAUGGAAAUGGAGUUGCAUGUUGCCGAGGUCAUUGACGAUCGCAAGAUGAAGAUCGAUGCGAUGCGGUUGAAGAUGGAUGCAAUGCGCUUGAAGAUGGAUGAAAUGCGCUUGAAGAUUAGGAAUAUUAGAUAAUAUGUCAUUGAUAAAGAGGCUUGCUAUCAUUAUGCUGUUGGGUCAAUUGAUACCUUACUUGCGAUUUUGAUCGCGUUUGUUGUUGCAUUUAAAUGUUUUACAUAGUUGUAUGUUGUUUUAUGAGAGAACUUUAUGUAUUUAUUUUUCAAUAAUAACAUUUGAUCACUAUUGUGCUUUGGUUUUAAUGUGAUGAUAACCUUGUAUUAAUUUGGUCGUUUCUCUAUUCGUUUUGUUCUGCAAUGGUUUUUUAUAUAUACUUAAUCUCAUAAUAGAGAUGAACCGCCAAUGGAUGUACGGUGACCGACGCAUUUUCGAGUACAUUACGAACCGGGACUAAUGCCCGAGUCAAAAAGGGUUGUAAAUUGAUGAUGUGGCUUUGAAUGGUGCAUUUUGAACNNNNNNNNNNNNNNNNNNNNNNNNNNNNNNNNNNNNNNNNNNNNNNNNNNNNNNNNNNNNNNNNNNNNNNNNNNNNNNNNNNNNNNNNNNNNNNNNNNNNNNNNNNNNNNNNNNNNCAAAUAAGUUCAAAAAAAUGAAAUCCCUUUGUAACAAACGAGUUUCCGUAUGAAACUCUGAUACUUCGAAAGAGAUUGUCCGUUUUCUACACGAAGUGCAUCCAGUUUUUGCCGUAACCCUCUCAACUUUCUCGCACAUGCUAUGUGGGUGAAAUGAUGAUACCAUGCCAACUUGGAACCUUUUCAGAGUUCAUUUCAAAUGCUUUUCAAUUUCAUGGUCUUAUAGCUCAAAAUAAUCAGUAAAUGCAUGAAAAAUAACAAAUAAAGUCAGAAAGGGUUGUCAAUUGAUGAUGUGGCUUUGAAUGGUGCAUUUUGAACACAGAAAAACUAUGGAGUUCAAAUAAGUUCAAAAAAAUGAAAUCCCUUUGUAACAGACGAGUUUCCGUAUGAAACCCUGAUACUUCGAAAGAGAUUGUCCGUUUGUACACGAAGUGCAUCCAGUUUUUGCCGUAACCCUCUCAACUUUCUCGCACAUGCUAUGUGGGUGAAAUGAUGAUACCAUGCCAACUUGGAACCUUAUCAGAGUUCAUUUCAAAUGUUUUUCAAUUUCAUGGUCUUAUAGCUCAUAAUAAUCAGUAAAUGCAUGAAAAAUGACAAAUGAAUUCAGAAAGGGUUGUAAAUUGAUGAUGUGGCUUUGAAUGGUGCAUUUUGAACACAGAAAAACUAUGGAGUUCAAAUAAGUUCAAAAAAAUGAAAUCCCUUUGUAACACACGAGUUUCCGGGUCUAAAGAUCCAGCGAAACCACGUGGCGUGACGCGCAAACACAUGGCGUGCCGCAUAUGUUAUUAGUCCCGGUUCGGGACAAAAAUCGGGACUAAAGAUCAAGCGAAACCACGUGGCGUGCCGCGCAAACACGUGGCAUGCCGCAUAUGUUAUUAGUCCCGGUUUUAGAUACGAACCAGGACUAAAGGAUUGCCUAUAUAAAACCUCCCCCUCCCACCCCUCUCUUGUGUUUUUGGGUGUUGAGGUGUGAGCAUGCAUGCCAUGCUCUUGCCACUCUAGCUCAUGCAUAUGAGAGAAGAAGAAUGUCGGCUGUUGUUAUGGGAGUCGCUCUUCCUUCUUCUCCUUGUACUAGAUAUUUGUUAUGCAUUAGGGGAAGAAGGAAUAGCGACCAUCAUCGACGGUCGAAAAAUCAGGUGAGGGAGUGUCCACCAUAUAUGAGAGAAACUUUAAUAGCAAAAAGAAUUAUCAUAAAAUAAAAUUAAUAAGUAAUUAUAAACAAAACAAAAUAAAAUAAAUAAGUAUUUUGUUGUAAGUAGAAACAAAACAAAAUAAGCUAGCUAGCACUUUGAAUUUAAGUAGAAACAAAACAAAAUAAACAAAAGAAAAAAUAAAAGAAAAAUAAUCAAUAAAUGCAACUAAAAUUAUCAAAGUAUUUUCUGUUAAAAAUCAUUAAAAGGAAAAAGAAUUUUCAUNNNNNNNNNNNNNNNNNNNNNNNNNNNNNNNNNNNNNNNNNNNNNNNNNNUGUUAGAAACUUUAAUGGCAAAAAUAAUUAUCAUGAAAUAAAAUAAAUAAGUAAUUAGAAACAAAAAAAAUAAAAAUAAUAAGUAUUUUGUUGUAAGGAGAAACAAAACAAAAUAAGCUAACUAAAAAAAUAAACAAAACUAAAAUAAAGAAAAAACAAAACUAAAAUUAAUGGAAAAAAAUUAAAAAAUAGAUGUUCUCUCCACGUUGCAGCCGCGGCGGAGCUUAUAAACAGGCUCGGAAGUCCUUCGCUUGGCGAGGUGAGACUAAACAUUCAACCACACCAUGGCUGUGGCAGACAACCGGUACCAAUGCAAAAAAGAAAUAAAAUAAAUAAAGCAAAAAAGAAAACAAAAAAAACUAGGAGANNNNNNNNNNNNNNNNNNNNNNNNNNNNNNNNNNNNNNNNNNNNNNNNNNNNNNNNNNNNNNNNNNUAGGCCGCCACGGCGUGAAUACGACUAGAAACCCAUCCAUGGGCCAGGAUUCAGGCCCGCAGUAGGCCAAGAAGGCCCAUCAGGCAAAGCAUUAGCAAGUAGGCCCGUAAGCCUGCAGCGGAGAGGAGCUCGAGAGGGGUGUGGCAGUGGGGCAUAUAAACCAGUGCGCGCCCCUCUCAACUAGCGAGGUGGGACUAAACUUUGGCCGCGACGCAGGCAGCACACGGGCCUUUGGUACCGGUUCGUGGCACCAACCGGUACCAAUGCCCACCCUUUAGUCCCGGUUGGUGCCACCAACCGGGACCAAAGGCCGCCGCUUCCCGCCCUUUGGGCUGCUGAAAANNNNNNNNNNNNNNNNNNNNNNNNNNNNNNNNNNNNNNNNNNNNNNNNNNNNNNNNNNNNNNNNNNNNNNNNNNNNNNNNNNNNNNNNNNNNNNNNNNNNNNNNNNNNNNNNNNNNNNNNNNNNNNNNNNNNNNNNNNNNNNNNNNNNNNNNNNNNNNNNNNNNNNNNNNNNNNNNNNNNNNNNNNNNNNNNNNNNNNNNNNNNNNNNNNNNNNNNNNGGCUUUGCUAUAUAAGCUAGCAGUUGUGAAAAUUUCGUCAGUUUCUUUGAUUCCUCCGACGACGCCGCCAGGCUGCCCGAGCUCGCCGUCGUCGCCCUGCCCCCGACCACGCCGUCGUUGCCCGGCCCGACCACGCCGUCGUAGCCCUUGCCCCNNNNNNNNNNNNNNNNNNNNNNNNNNNNNNNNNNNNNNNNNNNNNNNNNNNNNNNNNNNNNNNNNNNNNNNNNNNNNNNNNNNNNNNNNNNNNNNNNNNNNNNNNNNNNNNNNNNNNNNNNNNNNNNNNNNNUUGCCCCGCCCCGACCACGCCGUUGUCGCCCCUGCCCCGACCACGCCGUCGCCGUCGCCCUCUACACCGACGUCGGCGCCGUGCCUCUCCUUGGCCAGGCCAGCGCCGCCCACCCUGUCCUCUCCUUUGUUCAUAUAAAUGAUGAUUUUUUUUUUGCAUUUUUAUAAAAAUGUAUAUAUGUAUGUAUGUUCUCUAUGCAUAUAAAAGUUAUAUUUUUAGUACAUUUGGGUACAUUUUAGGUUAGUUUUAUCUAUAUAUGUUCUCUGAUUUAGUACAUUUUAGGUUAGUUUCAUUUUUAGAAAAGUUUUAUAUAUUUAGGAAAAGAAGGAAGAGAAGGAAGAAGAAGAAAAAGUUUUAUAUAUGCAAAAGUUACAUUUUUAGAAAAGUAUUAUAUAUAGCUAAGAAGAUAACGAAGAAGAAGAAAAACAAUGAGAGGAGAAAAAGGAAAAUAAGAAGAGGAAGAAAGGAGAAGAAGAGGAGAGGAAGAAGAGGAGAAAUAAAUAAGAAGAGGAAAAAAGAAGAAAAAAUUCCUUUUUUUUUCUUCUUUCUCCUCUAUUCCUUUCUUCUUCUCCUUUUUUUCUUUUUUUUUUCUUCGAUUGCUUCUCUUCUAUUCCUUUCUUCUUCUCCUCUUUUUAUUUCUUCUUUUGUCUUCUUAUAUUUUAUCGGGUAUGUCGUUGUCGAUAUACCCCCUCCCGAUCGAACUUCAACACGAGGGGGGGUACCGAUAUACCUCCUCCCCGAUAACAUUAUUUUUCCAUGUAUAUGUAUGUCGCGUCGUUGUCGAUAUAACCCCCUCCCGGAUAACUUCGACAUGAGAGGCGGUCGAUAUAUAUACCCACUCUCGACCGUGACAACUUAUACCACGGGAGCACCCCCCUCGGCCCUCUCGCUCAACCAAAACUCUCGAGGACACCCAAACCCUAGAGAAAAAAUGAUGUUGGUCUCCUACCCCCUCCCGCCGCGCCCCUACCCGACAAACUCUCUCGAGGCCACCCAAAUUUACCAAGUUAAAAGAGUGUUGUCGUCGAGGCCACCCCAAACUCUUGAAGCGUUGUGUCGAGGCCACCCCAAACCCUUGAAGCGUUGUCUAGGCCACCCCAAACCCUAGAGAAGCAGCGUCGAGGCCACUAACAUGAUUCCUUAUUUUGAUUAGCUAGCUAGUUCUACGUUUGCCACUAAUAUAUAUCCAUCUGUACCAUGUUUGAAUAAUAAUUGACAUGUUGUAAAUAUUUGCAGAAACUACGGAUCACUCCCGAGACGAAAAGGAAGAAGCGAUGUUGGGGGAGAUAAUCGCACAAGGAAGUGAUGUCAUUGCGUCGUUUCUUAGAGACACCGAUGGUCUGGAAGAACCGGGUGAAGAAGAGGGCUAUGUUCAUGAUCAUCUGGAAGGACCAGGUGAAGAAGAGGGCGUUCAUGAUGAUCUGGAAGGACCGGGUGAAGAAGAGGGCGUUCAUGACGGCUCCGUUGACCGAACCGAGUCCGGCGAGGUAUAUAUAUAUUAGUUAAGCCCGUGCUGACUAGUUAAUUGAUGCAUUCAUUGUUUUCAUAUGUACACAUAUUAAUUAACUCUCGUCUUUCUUCUUUUUUCUCUAGCCCUCCGGAUCGACCUCAACUUCGGUAAAGAAACGAGGCCCGAAGAAAAAGUUGCGCUCGGAUGAAAGGUUUGAGAUCACAGCAAUCGCGCGCGAUGGCAAGCCGAUUGAACCCAUCCGGACAAGGGAUGCAUUUCGUGCUCAGUGCGGGGUUCUUGUUAGGGACAAGAUCCCGAUCAGUAUCCAGCAAUGGUUAAAGCCAAAGAAGGAAGACCCUGAGGUGCCGACGUCUUAUGUCUCCGAUAAACAGAAAGAAGAUCUUUGGACAACGCUUAAGGAAAAUUUCACCCUACCGCCAGAGGAGGAUCCAGAGAAGCGAGUUAAAGAGGAAUUGAUCAAGUCUCAUGCUCUUAAGAAGAUGGCAGAACUAUUAAGGAGGUGGAAGAAUGAGCUGAAAACGUUUGUCGACAAAGAAGAGACACCAGAAUUCACUGGCCGGUUUGAGAAGAUCAGAGAUCAAUGGCCCGCAUUUGUGGCCCACAAGACAGCGGAAAAGAGUAAGAAGAUGUGAGCGACAAACAAGAAAAAUGUUGCGAAGAAGAAGCAUCACCAUCGCACGGGGUCAGGUGGUUACCUCAAAGCCCGACCUUUGUGGGACAAGGCUGAGAAUGACUUGAUUGCUAAAUGGGUCGAACCAGAGACAUUGAGAUGGCUACACCGUUGUCGAACUUGGUUCUUCGGGGUUGGCGGAACCUUGGACCUUGUAUCAGGGGAGUGCGUUUGGACAGAAGAGCAACUGCAAAUACCCGUCAGGAAGCUUCAGCACUAUAUCGCCGCAACACAGGAAGGGGCGUUCAUUCCAUACAGAGAGAAUGAUGAGCUCACAAUGGCCCUCGGCAAUCCUGAGCACCCUGGACGGACACGAGGCACACCAGGCUCCCUUCCCUGGAAGGUUGGGUUUCCGGACGCACGGGGUUACAAAACCCAGGAGAGGAGGAAGAAAGCGGAGCAUAGCCAACUACAGGCGCUGCAUGAAAGGGUACAAGGGCUAGAGGAACGAGAAGCAGAUCGCAGCAAACGACCUGCCGAAGCUUCCCCUGAAGCUACCCCGCCAUCUCAGCGGAGAAGCAGUGUGGCUUCCACCGAGCAGACUCAGCAGCUGGAGCCUGUCUUCACGUGCUACCCCGUGGAUGCUAUCACAGAGUCUCAACAUUGCCACCUUAUGACGCAAUGGAUGACAUUCAAAGUCAAGGCGGCUGUUGGCUCUGUUAUACCUAAUGAACCUGGCUCAACCUACCACGGCCAGCCGAUUCCAGAAGGAUAUGCUAGGGUGAUGGUGGAUCAAAUAACGGAAGGAUUUGAGGACCUUGAGCUUGACCACCCUACGGGUGAAGGGGAGAUUCGGUUGGGUUCUUCUCUGAAGACUCUAUGCCUAUGGCGGAAGGAGCUCAUCCACCUUCCGAACUGGACACUUCCGCCUCCUCCUCCGGCGAGUCAGGGCCCGCCUCCUCCUCCGCCUCCUCCGGCGAGUGAUCAGGGCACUCAACCUCCUUCUCCGGCGCGUGACGGCACUCCGCCUCCUUCUCCGCCUGCGCCGGCGCGCCCGAGCAGCCAGCUGCCUCCUCCUUCUCCGCCUCGUCAACAAGGGCUGAAGAGACCCGCCGCCGCUCCGGCUCCUCCGACGUGUAGUCCUUCUCCUCCGCCUGGUAAGAAAGGAAAGACAGUCGCAGCCGCUCCGUCUGCUCCGACGUGUAGCAAUACAGCCAGAGGCAGGAAAUACAAAUACGGUCCUUCUCUGAAGCCUCUAGAGGAGUUACCAUAUGAGAGGAGCCCGGAGGAAAACGAGAAGAUCGUGGAAGCCGAAGUGAAGAACUUCUUUGAAGGGGUGAAAGCAAAAAAAUAUCCACCUCCGGAGGAGAAGAUAUAUCCGGUAAAGGCAAAGCAUACUCUGGCUGCCCUGAAGAAACCACCAAAGUCCCCGACGAAAGGCAACUAUGAGCGCAUUAUUACAAAGUCAUUUACCGAAGCGCAGCGGUCGGGAAGUACUGUCAGUGAUCAAAGGUUAGCAGAACGACGAGCUGGGAAAAAAGUUGCCCAGCUCAGCGAACAAGCGAACCAAUCGUUCCCCCCACUCAAGGUGUCUAGCGAUAUCGUCGCUAAUCAUCCGGGGAUCUUGUUGCCCGGUACCAAUCCUGCAAAUUACCUGCCCGAUGAUGCACAUUUUGAUUUAUUGGAGGUGGACGAACACAAAUACGUGUACGGGAAGCCUCACGUCAAAGAUGAAAGAUCUCUAACAACGAUGAUGCGAAGAUUCCAUGAUUGGUACAUGAAAACUUGCAAAGAGUCUAGGGGGAGUAAUAUUUUGAUGCUGGGAGUUAGAAAGGAGCAUGACCUCGUUGGACUUGAACUGUUGAUGGUUCCAUUUGAGGAGUUCUUCCCGUUUUUCAAUCUAAAGGCCCUCGAUAAAUAAAUGAUCACUUGCUACUGCCUGUAAGUAGUACUACUUCUGUCAUUAAGUCUCUAUAUAUAGGUCACCUCUUUCAUUGCAUGUAUUUUUAAUUAUCCUCACUAUAUUAUAUGCAGAUUGAAGAUCGUCGAAUUGAAGAAAAGACAAAUCGGUGAUAUUGGGUUCAUUAACACAAAUCUCGUAGAUGCAUUUAUGAUUAAAUCUCAGGCCAAAGAUACCGAGGCCAACCUGCUACAAUCGUUUGUAUUGAAUCAAAACAAAGCUAUAAUACUCUUCCCUUAUGAAUUCCAGUGAGUGUUACUGUCUUGUGCACAUUCGGUUUCCCUUAUGUGACAGCCCGAUGCCGACGUUCCAGAAGAUUCCCUUUUCUUUCCGUUUUCGUUGUGUGGGUAUUUUCAUUUGUCGCAUCAUCAUCGCAUCAUUCACAUCAUCUGCAUUGCAUCGGCGUCUCCGUUGCCGCCCGUUUUCAAAACUUGCAUUCGUUAGUAGUUGCCGGUUCUCGUCGUUGUCCAUUCUGAGUCCAACCGCACUCGCACGCGCCCGCGGCAUCGUUCGAAACCCUGUUUUAAAAGUGUGUUUAAAACUUUCUCUGAUCGGGGUGAAACUUGGCAUGCGGUCAUAAUUAGUUAUAGCUAGGCCGCCUGUCGAGUUUCGUCGCGAUCGCAGACCGUCUGCUACCCGAACGGUCGUCCGUAGCGGCACCGUAUUCGGUCUACCGUCGGACGUUUGUCAGUGUUUUAGAAAUCGUUGCCGCGCCGCCCGUUCUCCCUCUCGUCUCCGGAUAUCCCCUCUACACGGCCGUGUACCCAUACCCGCGUUCGGAAUCGUCCGAAUCCGACCCUGCGGUUGGAUCCGGAACGAAAUUCCGGGUAAUCUAGCCCCCCAUAUGUCUAUAAAUACCCCUAGUGCAUUUUAGACAGCCCCCUCACCCCCUGUGCCUUGAAAUCCGUGCAGCCCCGAAACCCUAACCCUGAGCCCCUCUUCCUCCUCCAGCCACCAGCCCAUGGGGCCCGAUCUGAGCCCGCCCGAGCCCAUCCGCCGCCGCCGCUCGCAUGCGCCCCCUGCUCCCAUCGCGACCUCCUCCUGUAGCGUGUUGCUGAACCCCCUGCCGCACCUCCCCGCCGGCCGCCGUCGGGUGCGCAGCCCAGGAUCCUCGCCGCCGCGGCCCCGCCAGCGCGCUGCCGCCUGCCCAGUUCUCGCCGUCGUUGCUGCUCUCCUCGCCGCCUGCCAGCGCCGCCUCAAACCCCCGGGGAUGGACGGAUCCGGAGCUCCCCGUCAUGGAUCCGGCCUCCCCCGCCUUCCCCCUCGCCGGAAGCUAUGUCGCCGGCCGCCGCGACAGCUCCAGCGCCACCGUCCGUCGCCAGCGGUUGCCCUGGCCUGGGCCGCACCAGCUCCCUCGGCCCAGUGGCCAACUCCUUCGCCCCAGGCCCAGGCUUCGGCCUCACCCGCGGCCCACCUCCAGCUUCGGCAGCCAGGCCGGCUGCCUUCCACUGCGCCCCUCCAGCCCAAGAGCCCCCCCCGAGGUGAGAUCCAUCCCGCGCCCUUGGCGCUAUUUACUAAAUUGCGCCUCCAGAUUCGGCCCUUUUGCAUUUAGGAUAUUUCUAUGAUUAAAUAAUUUCAGGAAUUAAUAGAUAUUUAAAACAUCCGUAUCUUUUAAUCCGUAAGUCGGAACCAAGCGUGUAAUAUAUGGUUUUCGCGUAGUUUUACUUGUAGAUUACGUUUGUGCACCUUGCGUAUUUGUUCGAUUUAGUUUAGCGUGCCAAAUGCAUUGUUUACCGUGCUGUCUAUGUAGGAUAGACGCCGUAUUUGUUUUUCGCGCUAGACCGUAUUGUCCGAAUGCCGUUUUAGAAAUGCCCAUAUUUUAGGGACUAAUUUGCCAUGUAUUUUAGAGUGGUCACACNNNNNNNNNNNNNNNNNNNNNNNNNNNNNNNNNNNNNNNNNGUGUAGGGAUUUGCCGCUAGAUUAUUUCCCGUGCUUAGGACAAUGUCUCGCAUUUACGUGUGGUAUUAUUUUUGUUGCGCAACCCCACAUAUUUUAUAUGCUUUCGGAGUAGAAAAAUCCAUGGAAUUUUUCUGUGCAACUAGUUUUAGCAUUAGAGCAAGUUGGUUCGCACGAUAUUUUGCCGUGAUGCCCUUUUGUUUAAUUCGUAGGAUUUAUUUUGUGCUCCGUUUGAUUAAGUUGUCAACUAGGGAGUUGUUCUUGGGUGUUUGGUCUAGCCCCUGGUAUUUUGGUUGCAAUAGAAAUGCAUGUUUAGGUGUGUUUUGAUUGCCCUCAAGUUGCUAGAAAUAGUGCUGUUUUGGACGUGCUGAAAUAUUUCUAAGUCUGGAAUCUGUUAUAUUUUGUUGCUGUCUUGUCUUGCUUCUAUCUUGAGUUGUGUAGCUCUUUUGAGGUUGGUCCAAUGGAGUUAGUUGUACCCCUUGUGUUUCUCUAGUAUGCUGUAAAGAUUCAUGCCAUUUGGAGCCCUGUAGCUAUAGGUUUUUCUGCUUUCAAUAUUGCUUCAGAUCAAAAACUGCACUUUCAUGAGGUGUAAUUUUCACUAAGUCUGAAAUAGUGUGUGAGAUGCCAUUUUGUGUCUUCUUUCNNNNNNNNNNNNNNNNNNNNNNNNNNNNNCUUUCCCUAGUGAUCCAUGUUUCCAUGCUAGUUGUUGUUAGUUGUUUGUAGUAGUGCUUCUUGCCCUCUUCCGUGGCAUGCCUUGCUUGAGUUUAUCAGAGUUGUGUAGCCCGUAGUUGUGGGGCGUAGAAAAUGCUAUGUGGCUGAUUUUGGCAGAUUGUAGUCAGUUCUUGUUUUUCUCGUAGUUUUUUGAUCCGAAGCUCCGAUUUGAUCGUGUCCUAUAUGGAACUUGCUUAGAAUCUCGUGUAGUUUCAUUUUCUCUUGCUGGUUGUAUGUUUUGAAUUGCUCGUAGGCGUCGUUGCACACAUAUUGCAUUCAUGCCAUCAUAUCUUGCGGUGCUUGUAUCUUUUGAACCGUAGCUCCGUUGGAGAUGUUCUUUAUGUGUAGGUUGCUUGAAAUGACGCGUAGAAUCACGUGAACCACUUUGUUUUGCCGUUUAACAAACCUAAAACGUGAUUAGGACAAAUCUGGACAGAAUUAAGAUUUAACAUGUGGGGUCAUAUUGGAGAUGCUAUAUAUCGUUUCCGGUCUCAUUUAAAGUGCCUAGCUAGGUAGAUUAAUUUGUGCUUCACCCUCGUGCCAUGUUUAACAACAUUUAAUAUAGCCGUGUACAUGAACGGGAGUGAACUAAAUAAUUAAAUGUGGAGUUUCGUCGAUAUGCAAAGUUUCACUUAAUGUGUAGUGUGCGAUUGUUGUGAUUGUCAUGCCUCGCAUUAGACCGUUCAUGCAUCAUAUGUGUCUUGCAUCGUGUGGUGUAUAUGCGUGUUGAUGCUUGUUUCCGGUUUGCUCCGUCUCGAUAGAGUUCCGCAAGCGUUUCGGAAUGUGAGGACCCGUUCGACUAUGUUGGUUCGCCGACUUCACGGAGUCACUCUUCUUCCAAGCGGGAUCUCAGGCAAGAUGAUCAUUUCCCCAGAUACUAUUACUAUCAUUGCCAUGCUAGUUUUUACCGUUGCUACCGUUUAUGUCUCGUUGCCUACCACAUGUUAAAUAUCAGCCUCUCAUCAAUGCCAUGAUUACCUUCAACCUGUUCAACCUAGCAAACCACUGAUUGGCUAUGUUACUGCUUGCUUAACCCUGUGUUAGCGUUGCUAGUUGCAGAUGCAGAUGCUUCCAUGUGAUAACAUGGGUUCCUUGUCUUAUCACCAUACUUAAUGCUAUUUAAUUUAAUGCACCUAUAUACUUGGUAAAAGGUGGAAGGCUCGGCCUUUCUAGCCUGGUGUUUUGUUCCACCUUUGCCCACUUAGUUUCCGGCUACCGGUGUUAUGUUCCAUAAAUGAGCGCUCCUAACACGAUCGGGGUUGUUAUGGGGACCCCCUUGAUAAUUCGUUUUAGAUUAAAGCUGGUCUGGCAAGGCCCAACAUUGGUACUACAUUUGCCUAAUCACCUAAUAAAAUUGCAUAGGGACUUUCCGGACCCCAAGGAUAAUUUAAUCAACCCCCCGGGCCAGUGCUCCGCAUGAGUGUUGGUCCACCCACCUAGCAGUCGGCGGUGCCACCUCGGGGCAACUCGAGGUUUGGUUCCCGUCCACUUUGCAUAAACGGUGUGUCCUGAGAACGAGAUACGCGGCUCCUAUCGGGUUCGUCGACACACCGGGUGGCCUUGUUGGAUUAGUUUUACCUUUGACGAGAUAUCUUGUGCAUCGGGAUUCCGGUGAUGCUUUGGGUAAUCUCAGAGUUGAGGUUUUCCACUAGGGAAUCUGACGAGAUCGCGAGCUUCGUGAUUGAUGAUUUCUAUGCGGCUUGUGGUAAUUUGUGAUGGACUAGUUGGAGCACCCCUGCAGGGUUAAAUCUUUUCGGAAAGCCGUGCCCGCGGUUAUGUGGCAACGUGGAAACUUUGCUUAACACUCGUUCUAGAUAACUUGAAGUUAAAUUAAUUAAAACUUGCCAACUGUGUGCGUAACCGUAACUGUCUCCUUCGUGAGUUCUUACUCCGAUCGAGGACACGGUGGGGUUAUGUCUGACGUAGGUAGGUGUUCAGGAUCAUUCUUUUGAUCAUCAGUAGACACGUCCGUUAUGCGUAGAUCUUCCCUCUCUUAUUUCUUGUACUCGUAAGUUUAGCCACCAAAUAUAUGCUUAGCCGCUGCUGCAACCUCACCACUUAACCAUACCUCACCCAUUAAGCUUUGCUAGUCUUAAUACCUUUGGAAAUGAGAUUGCUGAGUCCCCUGUGGCUCACAGAUUACUACAACACCAGUUGCAGGUACAGGUAAGGGUUACUUGACGCGAGCGCGUUGAUUGUUCAUUUGGAGUUGCUUCUUCUUCUUCUUCAUCAUCGAUCUAGGAUGGGUUCCAGGCCGGCAGCCUGGGAUAGCAAGGAUGUUCGUCGUUCUUCUUUUCUCGUUUGUUUUCGUCCGUAGUCGGACCCUGCUCUUUCUAUUGAUGAUUAUGUAAUGUACUGAUGUGACUCUGAUGUAGCUUGUGGCGAGUGUAAGCCAACUCUAUAUAUAUCUCUCUUCUUUUCAAUACAUGUACUUGUAACGAUAUCCAUUCUUGCGACACGACGAGAUGCGCUUCUAUCCCUGACGAGGCCCUCGUGCCAAAUUGAGGAUAGGGUCGCAUCUUGGGCGUGACACCUUAUUAGUCAAGGUUAUAGUAAUGUAAUUGAUGAGUUAUGCAUGCGUGCGCAGCUUUCACUAUAUUCUCCUAGAGAUUAAGCUUGAGCAGGGACUAGUAACCGUCUUAGACUCGAAACGAAAAGAUCCCGACGAGUAUGCGGACAUGACUGAAAUUCUAGAGAAGAAAGUUAAAUCGAUCAUUAUCGCACCAUAUCGGCAACUUUGUUCAUUUCCUGAUAUCAAGUAAUUGUUUUCUUUGUCUGACAGGGUUUGGAAAAAAUUCACCGCAAAAACUCCGGGACUGCCGAAGAAGCUGCAAUUUAGACACCCGAAAGUAAGUACUAUAGUAGCAUGUUCCACGCAUCUCCUAGUGAUUCAAGCGCUAGUUUCAUCAAUACCAUUUAGCAUGUUUGCUAACUAUCAGUUUGAUUGAUCUCUAUUUCUUGUAAAGUGGUUGUGGCAGGAACCAGGGAAUGAUUACUGUGGAUACUACAUUUCCGAGUCCAUCCGCCACGUGACCUGUGAGCUGGGCUACUCUGACAAACAAUAUGACGUGCGUAAAUAAUAAUAUUCACAAUUUUAUUUUAUUACCAUCAUUUUUGUUCAGUUUCAUUUAUUCAUAUAUAUGUAUUGACCCCCUUCUUCAAAUUAGAUAUAUCGAAUGCGGAAUGAACUCCUACCAGCAGAUCGUAUGCGAGGAAUUCAAGAGGAAUUUGCGGCAUUCUUUCUUAACCACGUGAGCGCUAAAGACGGAGAAUAUCAUGUGAACCCUAAUGAGUUGAAUUUUAAUUAGGAGAUUAUAUUGUAAGAGAUAAUUAUAUUGUAUAUAUGUAGCCAGUAGCGUCGGAUAGAUAUACGAGAACUUGUUGUUCGACCAAUCUCUCAGAGAAGGAGAGGUGGUCGAUAUCACUUCUCUUUGUAUGCAUAUGUUCAUGACGAUUUUCUAUUUCCUUCAUUUGCUUACUAGCUAGCGUGUCUAGUCCUCUCUAUACGUAUAGUAUGCAGCGUCAACCAAGCACGGAGAUAAGAGAGGACACUUCUCUCUAUUCAUUAGCUAGCUAACACAAUAUAUGAAACACCUAAAUUAACCCCCCAAAACCCCCUUCCCCCCCCCCUUUCAAAAAAAACCCAUCACCUGAAAUGCUGACGCGUGGAUGCCUUUUAGUCCCGGUUGGUGUCACCAACCGGGACUAAAGGCCCCCCUGCCCGGGCUCGCCGCAUCGGCCACGUGGAGGCCCAUCUGUCUUGGUUCGUGUAAGAACCGAGACUAAAGGCUAAGGGCAUUAGUAACGGCCUUUUAGUCUCGGUUCCGAAACCGGGACAAAAGGCCCAUUUUCUACUAGUGUGAGUCGAGGAUGGACUUGCAACUAACACAACUACAAAGGAUUAUGAGCCUAGUUGUGAGCUGAGGGUGAACUCACAACUGAGAUGAAAGAAAAACUACAAUCCCUAAUGCGAAUUGAUGGUGGACUUACAUCUGGGAUGAAAAACAAACUAUGAGCCUAGUUGUGAGUCGAGGGUGGACUUGCAUCUCGCACAAUUACACAACACUAUAAUACCAGUUGCGAGUCGAGGGUGGAGUUACAACUGGGAUGAAAAGAAACUAUAGAACUUGUUGGAAGUCGGAGGGUACACUUGCAACUGGGGCAACAACAAAGCUAUACGGUUAGUGCAAGUCGAGGAUGGAUUUGUGAAUGAGAAAACUACAAAACUAUGAGCCCAGUUGCGAGUAAAGGGUGGACUUGCAACUAUGAUGAAACAAACUACAAACCUAUUUGUGAGUCAUGGGCGGACUUGCAACUGGGACAAUUACAUAAAACUACGAUCAUUUGCAAGUUGAGUAUGGACUUGAAACUGGGAUGCAAACAAACUACAAACCGAGUUGCGAGUAGAGGGUGAACUUGCAAAUGGGACAAUUCAAAACUACACGAUCAAUUGUGAAUCAAGGGUGGACUUACAACUAGGACAACUACGAGCCUAGUGGUAAGUCGAGGGUGGGAUUACUACCGGGAUAAAAAUAGACUACAUGUCGAGUUGCACGUAGAGGCUGAACUUGCAGUUCGGGUGACAAACAAACUAUGGACCCAAUUGCGUGUCGAGGGUGGAGUUGUAAUUGGGACAACCACACAAAACUCCUAUUCAAAAGCUUGGAGGCCAAUUGCAAGUCGGUGGUGGAUUUGCAACUCAGGUGAAGAAUAAAAAAUGGUAGCCUAGUCACAAAAAAUGAGGAUUGACUUGUAAUUAAGGCAACAUGAGAGGUCAAAAUAAGCCUGAUUACAAGUAGAUCACGGGCUUGUAAUUAGGAGCAAAGAAAUGGAAAAAGGGCCGAUGCUAGUUGUAAGACGAGGGUGGACUUUCAAACUGAGGUGGCAAAAAAAACUUUGAGCCCAUUUGCAAGUUGAGCGUGGAGUUGUAGCAGGAUGAAAACAAACUGCAAGCCGAGUUGCGUGUUUAGGGUGGGCUUGCAACUGGGACAACUCAAAACUAGAAGACCAGUUGUGAGUCAAGAGUCGACUUGCAACUGGGACAACUAUGAGCCUAGUUGUGAGUCUAGGAUGGACGUGCAACUCGGAGGAAAACAAACUACAAUCCCAUCUGUGAGUCAAGGAUGAACAUUUAACUAGGAUGAAAAACAAACGGGAUGGACUUGCAACUGGGACAACUACACAAAAAUAUGAUAUCACUUGCAAGUCGAGGGUGGACUUUCAAGUGGGAUGAAUACAAAGUAUAUGCGGAGUUGCGAGUCGAGGGGUGGACUUGCAACUGAGACUACAACAAAACUACAAACCCAACUGCAAGUCGAGAGUGGACUUGCAGCUAACUAUGAGCCGAGUUGUCGGUCAAGGGUGUACUUGCAAUUGGUAUGAAACAAACUAGGCCUAGUUGCGAGUUAAGGGUGGACUUGCAAUUGGGACAACUACAUCAAAAUUAUAAUACCAUUUCCAGCUGAAGGGUCGGUUUACAAUUGGGACAACAACAAACUAAGAGCCCAAUUGCGAGUCAAGCAUUGCCUUGAAACUAGGAUGAAAAAACACAUGCACAGUUGUGAGUCGACAAUGGGCUUGCAAUUGGGGCAAACUACGAUCCCAUUUGCGAGUCAAGGAUGGGCUUGCAACUCGGAUAAUUAAAAAACUAUGAGCCCAGUUGCAAGUCAAGGCUUGACUUGCAAUUGGGAUGAGACAAACUAUGUGCCUAGCUGUGAGUCAAGGGUGGACCUGCAACUCGGAUAAAAAACACAUGCUCACGUUUGUGACUCGAGGAUUGGCUUGCAACUCAGAAUCUACGAGCCCAUUUGUAAGUUGAUGGUAGACUUGCAACUAGGACAACUAAAAAGUUAUGAGCCCAGUUGCGAGUCAAGGAUUGACUGGCAACUGGGAUGAAACAAAUGAUAGGCCCAGUUGCUAGUUAAGGGUGGACUUGCAACUAGGAUGAAAAGACAAACAUAUGCUCCAGUUGCAAGUCAAGGAGUGAACUUGUAACUCGGACAACUAUGAGCCCCGUUGCGAGUCGAGGAUGGACUCCCAACUAGGACAACUAGGAAUCUACAUGCCGAGUUGUGAGUCAAGGGUCGACUUGCAACUUGGAUGAACAAACUACAAGCCCAGUUGCAAGUCCAGGAUGAACUUGCAACUUCAAUGAAAAACAAAACGCAGGCAAAAUACUAGGGGCUAAGGUCGGCCAGUAAGACGAUGGGGGACUAGCAACUCUGAUGAAAAACAAACCACAAGCCCAGUUGCUAGUCAAGCAUGGUCUUGCAACUGGAAUGAAACAAACUACGUGCUCUAAUGCGAGUCAAUGGAGGAUUUGCAACUAGAAUCACUACACAAAACUACGGGCUACAAGUUAGUAGUUGGGUGAUGGACUUGGAAGAGAUGGGGACGAAACUCAAGAACAAAACUCGUCCCACAUGUGGAUGUUGAACUCACCAGGUUUCGCAUCUUGGCAAAAGUUCCCUCAAACAUCCAUGAUACAUGUUUUACGGAAACAUAUGAUGUACUUGGUCACAUGGAUAGAACUCCAAAAAUAAGUCAACUUCAAAAACAUAAGAAAAAAGCUUAAUUUCUGCAAACAAGAACUACAAACAACCCCGUAUCUGAAGAAUAGCAUAUGUAGUUGUGGCAAAAAUAAGUAGAUCUAAAAAAUCACAAGGUCCACGUAAAAGAAAGUAGUUGGUUGCGCAUUAAACAGAUAACAAAACUAAAUUAGAUCUACCAUGUAGACCCAAAUAAUCUGCUCUAUAACUUGAAAACACAACACACACAAACUCCUGCUUAUAAGAACAAUAAGGCAUUCAUACAUUCUCCUCAUUGAUCUUAACUCUACAUAUUUCUACCCUUCAUCUAGACAAAAAGAACCUAAAUCUGCUCCCAUUAUAUAAAAGGCUCUCGUGUGGGUGGACUCAUACAAAUUCUUCAUCAAGCCACAAAAAAUGUACAGUGAAAAUAAACAAAAAUACCCCCCCCCCCCAAACGACGACAUAUAUGAGCCCAUGUGAAAAAAUGCGAGAACCGACAGAUACAAACGGGGCAAAAGGGCGUGCGGCAAAAAAGAGCGAGCCGAUAUGCACGUAUGAUUGAGUUUGUGCAAACAGUAAAGCAAACAUAUUGGAUGGUUAUAGACUUCUUGCACAAGACAUCACUACGAUUAGCAAAUCCCAAUAGGAAAACAGUCUAGUUACACUCUUCUCUAACUACACAAUCGAACCAAAAAUGAAAUAAAAACCAGGGAAUAAAAUGACACGUGGUACUCCACUAAAAAAUAUAGCCCAAAAAUUAUACUCAAGACACAAACGUAAAAACCGGCUCACUAAAGGUCAUAUCGGGCCUCACUCCUUUACAUGGGAUGAACAGAAAAUAUGACACAAACAAUGGUACGACUCUUUUUUUUUUUUUGCAAAGAGCAAUCACGACUUAUAAGUGCAUAUAAGUAAUGGUAUACAAGUUAGAUGACACUGUCAACUCUCAGCUACUCCCUCUGUUCCUAAAUAUAAGUCUUUUUAGACAUUUCACUAAUAGACUACAUACGGAUGUAUAUAGACAUAUUUUAUAAUGUAGAUUCACUAAUUUUGUUUCUUAUGUAGACUUCUAGUAAAAUCUUUUAAAAGACUUAUAUUUAGAAACGGAGGGUGUAGAUGAGAAUUAUAGUAAAACCAAUACGAAACAGGAUUCCAAGACCGCGCCGUGGAAACGACCCAACAUAAGACGCACCCACGAACAAGUCAACAAGUAGACACAAGAGUACAAGACACACACGGAACGUGCAUGACAAAAGGAACUCGAAAUACAGAUUUGCACAACAUUUUAAGUUAAAAGAUGAAAGAGUGAAAAAGUUUCAUGAAUUAACACAAAUAAAUAAAUAAGGAAUAAAUGGAAUAGAAAAAAGAAAAAUAAACGAUAGAAUAGAGAAAAUAAAUAUAACUAUAAAAAAACAAAAAUAUGAAUUUAAAAUUGUUCAUAAUUCAAAAUAAAUAAUGAGAUAGAGAAAGUAAAAUAAAAAGAAAACAGAAACAAAAAAUCAAAUAUAUGGCGUGGAAUGGAAGUGAGAAAAACAAAACAAAAACUUGAACCGAAUCAUAGCACAAACUUGAAAGGAAAAGAAAAACGCAGUCGGCCGUCAAAAGAACAAAAGCCGAUAAUAAAAUGGGCCCAGACCUAGACAAGGGGCACAUCCCUGAGCGGACAUGCGAACAAAAAAUAGCCCAACUCGAGAGACACAUCGACAUGUUAUUUAUGAGUUGCGCAUAUGCCUAAAAAGUUUAUCAAUUGCACAAAUCUUAUAACAAUUUGAUCCUGUGGUUGGAGACUUAUAUGUGAGGUAAGUAUAUUACAUUUAGAUAUAUGAAAUCGCAAUCCCUAAAAUUUAAGGCCUGCCUCAGACGUUUGUAAAUUUGCUGGUUGGAAUUUCAUAAAAUGUUCCCGUUUUUAGAAAAAGUGUUCAUGAUUUUAAAAAAUAUCAUGCUUUUCUAGAAUAUUUCAAUUUUUUCGAAAACCAAUCUCAAAUUAAAAAAGUGUCCGCGUUUCAUAAAACACACAGUUUUUUGAAUGCAUGCAAUUUUUCAAAAAUAAUUCAGAGCUGCCCUGCGUGCUGGUUAUUAAUAUUUGAUGCUGCUAAUUAAUAAGAAACACUUGUUAGCUCAGCCGGCUGUAGAGCAUGGUUCGACCGGAUUUUGAUUUGAUGGUUCAUUUCGUCUGACCUUGAUAAAUUCAAAGUUUAAAAUGGAUUUUUUCGACAGAAAACACAGCUAAUAAUGGAAAACUUUGCAUUACUGUACUAUGCGGCCUACACGUGUACGGUUGUCCGUUGCCUUGCGCGGGUUGCCAUGCACGAGCAAGACGACCCCCCGCGGUGCUCGUUUUAAGAAGCCACCAGCAGCAGCUGGAGCCCGUCCCAAGUCCCCAAUCCCAACUGUCGCCGGACGGAAGGCCACCAAAAAGCCGGUACUUUCAACAGCAGAUCCAAGAGGAGAGGACCAAGCAAAGGCGUACAGCACCCGGAGCCCCCGCAUCUCGAUCGGAACAACCAGCGCGGCUACACCGUCUGUACCCUUCAUAGUACUACCACAUCGUACUGGAGUAGCUGGCACUGGCAGUUCCUUCUCAGUCUCGGGAUUUGGAGCAACUACGGCGGGAUCUCCAGCUGCUCGCCCUCCAGUGAUUGGCAUCAGUGGCUCCCCAUGUGGCAUGCUCCCCGCCGCGCUCCAGCUUAGCUAGCUAACACGUAGUACCACGGUCGGUAGGAGCACAGUGCUCGCUGCUGCUGCCAAUACCGGCGGCACGACGUGAAUGCCCCCAGCUGCGCGCGCACAUAGGCAGAAGGCUGGAAGAACCAUCGGUCUCGGACGGACGCGCCGCUCAAGCUAGAAGAACCCGUGGGCCUUGUCCCGUUCCUGUCCUCCCCAUUUCUCCUCGUCUCCUCGAACCGCUCCUCCUACCUACUCCAUUGUUUAGACAGCGCUACAGCAGCAUCGUGUGACCGGGUACCGGAGCCCGGAGCUACACACGUAGCGCCUGCAGGUGGAUGUCGGUCGGGGUUCGGAACAUGCAUGCAUGGGGGCGUUGUACUGUACUCCUACUCCUACUCCUACACCUACUCCUACAUGUGUGCGUGCAUGUGGGAGGUAAGGUUCGGGUUCACUUCAGCGUACGUUUUGGCUGGUCAUGUGGGAGCAGAGCAUCUGCAGCUCUCCCCUUGCGAGUGACCGACCGACCGACCUGCUAGCUAGCUAGUACUCCACUGCAAGCGGUGUGCUGGUGCGGUGGCGGGUUGCGCGGGCGCGCGCUAGCUGCCGGUGUGGUGGUGGCCACGUACGCACGCACGCACGUACGAUCCAUGGGAUGGAAUCUAAGGUGAGCGUUGGCGUUGCUCGCACUUCGUCGGUUGGAGGACGGACGACGAUCCGCACAAUAUAUAUAUUGUUAGUCCGUGUGAGUGUGAUCCCAAACGUGGCCCUAUCAACUUGGUCACGUGGCGCCGUGGAUCCAUCGCGUUAUAGUACAAGGCCCUGAUAUGCAUGGAAACAUCCUGAAGAAGAAAAGAUACGCGGUAUCCCAUCCUCGAGCUCUGUUCAAAAUGAAGUGUUCCUUGUUACAAGCAAAUACUCCUAGAACCGUAGAAGUACAGUUGGAGUCGAGCGCAAUGGACAUGAUUACACGAAGACGGACGGGGAGCAAAAUAAAAGCUAAGCGAGAACAUUUUUUCCUUGAUGAAGGGCGUUGAUAUAGCCUAGAAGGAUUUGCAUAUUUGGCCUCUCAUAGCUAAAAAUACGCAUAACCAAUACAAACACAUACACACCACAAACAUCACGCCGGCAAAGAGAAAACCUAUAGAAGGUCAAAGCUAUAUUUAGCCGGUAACGAGGAUAACCUAGUAUAGUGAUCGAGUUAUUGCUUCACAAGGAUACCAGAAGUCCCGCCUCGAGUUUUGUUAGAUCGUGAAGCAAAGGAAACGGUGUACGGGAACUGAAGGUUCACUCCAUAUCGAUUCAUGUAAGUGUACAGGUCAAUACCGAUGUCCAGAUCCUGCUACUAUCAUUGAAUGGAAUAGUUCAAGGUCAUAUCUUCGUUUUAUACCAAACCUGCACGAUCACACGCCUAAGUAUUAUAGAUUUAUUGAUUGUUAGAAGUGGUAGGAGCUUAAUUAUUAGCGAGAGCGCUCGAGGCGGAAUGGAGGGGGCGACCACGGUGACCGUGGCGACCUUCCACUCCCGGGAGCGGGCGGAGGCCCCAUGGCCGGGCGGCCGCUUUUGGGUUUUGGCCGGAGACGGAGAGGAAGAUGAGGCCGAGGGUGGAAAGGUCGUUGCGACGGCGGAGGUACCCUCGCCAUCAACAUCUGACAUUGUUGGUGAGUUUUUUCAGGACGGAUCGGAUGAGGAAUUGGCCGGAUAUGCGGAUGCGGCGGUACCGACGGACGUUCAGGUGUGGCGAGGGAGUCCGACGGACAUGGUAGAGGUGGCGCAGGUGCCGGUUCACCGGACGAAGGCGGCGGCGGCGGUCCGGCCAUGGAUAGAACCGAUUCCUAAGGUAUGGCUGCCGAAACUGACUGUCUCAGAUUGCAUUUUACCCUCGUCUUGGCAUACGGUGCGCUGUAAGAAGAAGAAGAAGCACUAGUGGAAGAUGGGUCUUUCGGCGGUCGGAAAAACAAAUGACCAUUAGCCCCGGGUCCAAGUAAAACCGGGACCAAUGCCAGGCAUCGGUCCCGGUUCAAUUUGCCAGGGCAUUGGUCCCGGUUCAUUUCGUUUUAUUAGUCCCGGUUCGGGGCAAAAACCGGGACUAAAGAUCCAGCGACUGCCACGUGGCGUGCCGCGAAGCAGUAGUCCCGGUUUGUGGCCAGAACCGGGACUAAAUGGUGCGCUAUUAGUCCCGGUUUUAGACAAAAACCGGAACUAAAGUGCUGCCUAUAUAUACCCUCGUCCCUGCCACCCUCUCCUAUGUUUUUUGGUUGUUGAGGUGUGCAUGUCAUCCUUCUAGUUCAUGCACAUGAAAUGUUUGAUGAAAUGCCCCAGCAAGACUACUUAAGUUUUCUCCUCUCCAAACUCGACCUCCAAGCUCCAUUUUUCUCAAUACUUGUCUAGGUUUCGCCGUGCACCAACUACACAAGUGUUCUAAAAAGUUAGCUACUUCAUACUUUCAUCUCUCACUGCUAGUUUAGCUCAUUUCAAAUGCUCUAGAGGUAGAAUGGUUUGUGGGUUUUAGUGUAGGAGUGUAUGUGGGAGUUAUUUUGUUUUAGAUGCAAAAUUUGAGCUUAAAUUAACUUCUUAGAGUCUGCACAUGUAUAGGGUGUCGUCACGUGCCCGUCUUCACCGUUGUCGAUCGCCCGCGCCGAUCUCGUCGCGAGCACCACCGUGGUGAGCCUCUUAUUCUUGUCUUCUUUUUAAAAGAAAAAAUUUCUUACUUGCAUGAUUUAGAUAGAUACUUGUAUAAAUUACUUACUUUCAUUAUUUUUUGUUAUUAUAUAGUGCGAUGGUUUUGGUAUCCGCCUCCGUCGGUCCUCGUCGUGUCUAUGAUUCGGAUGUUGUAUAUAUUAUCUUUUAUAACUACUAGUACAAAUGCCCGUGCGUUGCACCGGGCAAGAAAAAAAUGUUGGUAGUAAACGUCAUGACAAUCUCAACCAAUACAUAGGACCAUAAUCAAGCACAUAAUAUUGUUAAAGAGUACAUGUCUAGAUUCCGUUGUAAGCUAGAAACUGAAUGUCAUUUACAACCAACUAUUUAUUUGCAUCUAGUACAAAUGUCGUGCGUUGCAUCCAGUAAGAAAAAAGUACCCAACCUGCUUGUUGUGCCAUUAUGCGGUAUUAAUUGUAAUAAAUGUGUAUAAUAAUGUUAAAUGUUCGCGGUUCUAAUGUGUUCCAAAAUAAAAAUUCAAGAUUUUUUAAAAGAGAAACAUUUUUGUUGUGAUAUAUUACAGUUUAUUUGUAUUUUUUUGCAUUUUUUAAUGCAUAUACAUCCCUCACGCACUCAAGGAGACAAAAAUCUGAAGCCCAUAUUUGUCAAAAAAACCUGAACCAGUGCAGUGCUUGAUGCGAAUCUCAUAUUUGUGGAAAUAAAAUAAUAAAAGCACUUCAAUUGCCAGUAAAUAACAUGAUAAUUUGAACCAAUACAUAGGACCACCAUCAAGCAUAGAAUACUGUUAAAGAGUACAUGUCUAGAUUUCGUUGUAAGCUAGAAACUGAAAGUCAUUUACAAUCAGCUAUAUGUAAUUGACCCAGCUGGUCUAUAUCCAAUGAAUUAUGAGAAACCCUUUCAUUUGGUAGUUAUCUAAAACUACCACCAGAGAUGCCAUCCAACAGCUAGCCAAUAGCGGAGCUUCUUUUUUCAGAAAUAGCAUGCGCGUCCUGUUUGAGCAAGUAGAAGUUAGUACGAGCAAACAAUCAAUCUUGAAAAAAGAAUUUGUUAUUGCAAAAUCUUCCAAAUCGUACUAUAUUUACCAGAUUUAAAUUGAAUUUUCCUGAUAACUGAUGAAUACAAGUACAUCGGCAGGCAUGUUAUCUUCACAUUCAUUGUCCCUGAAUGUUAAUAGUUGACCCAAAAUUAGUUUUCUGAGUUUAUAUCCAUCCUGUACAACCAUUAUUUUUGUAAACGAAUGGCAUCAAAAUUAGAUGUGUCAUUAUAAUAUUAAAUGAUCUAUACGGUUGCGAUAUUUACCGUUAUAAAUGGCAAAUGUGGUCUUUCAUCUUCCCAUGUGGACAUGAACAGGGGAACAAUAUAACCAGAAAGUUCCCUUAUAUAUUUCAUAAUACAUAUGUUAGUAAUUUAAAUUUAAAUUCAUUUUCAAAACAACAAAUACUCAUUAUAUAAUAUUCAUCUAUUCAAAAAUACCUGUUGUAAACAGGAAUAUCAUCUAGGAUUUUUUGAUGCCAUAGGAGAAUAUUCUCGUUCCAUUUAGACCGAGGGCAUGUUUUUGACAUUGCUUUUGGUAAGUGUUCUGCAAUCCAUAUAAUUUCGUGCACAUAUUUUGCGAGUGGGUUGCAUCUGUAAAUGGGAUUAAUUGGAGCAGGGUCCAAAAUAUACAUUGUUCUGGUCUCUUUGUCCAAUGUGAAUAGAAUGAAAUCAUUGUUGGAUUGUACUGGAAUAUGGAUCUGAAAUAGGAUAUAUACAUUAUAGGUGUAAUAAUAAAAAAUUGUAAUGUGAAUAGAACAAAAUAAUUAUUCGAUUGUACUGGAAUAUUGAUCUGAGAUAGGAUACAUAUAUUAGACGUAAUAAAAUGUAUGGUCCAAAGUAUAAAGAAGCGUUCUCACCGAUUUGCAGUUUGAAACAUUAUAUUUGAUACCACGCCAACUACAAACAGAAUUUGCUAGUUGUUCCACAUCUAACUUUUUACGAAAAUCUGGGUGUCGUCCAAAAUCAGUAGUAAUCUAGUACAUAAAAAUAAUUGGUUAGAAAGGUGAUUAAAAAAUUAAGAAUAUAGAAAAAAAGGAAAUAAUGAAUUUAAUAACAUACCCAAAAUUUCAUAUCAAGAUAAUGCUUCAUUAUCAACCGAUUAGUUUCUUUUGCCGUUUGGAUGUCAUCAAACAUAAUCUUCCGUACAACCAAAUUAAAGCAAUCUCUGUCCAUUGGUAAAUCACCCUUUUAUCAUUCCUUGUAGUUUUUUGAGAGACAAACUAAUUGGAUAUGGCUUUGAACUUUGGACCCAUACUUUCCUGAUGAUGAUAGCAAUUGAGAAAAUAUAAGAUAAUAAACCAUUAAGAAAAUAAGUUGUUAUACAAUUGCAUUACUAAUUUGAAAUGACUUACUCUAAAAUGUCGGUGUAAUUGAUUGACGUAAUGAACCUACAGAGUGCACUUGUUUACUCAUUCAAGCACAUAUUUGAAAGAAUAGAUAUCAAUGAUCUGUAUUUAUUUUCAAUAGAUACUAGGAUUUUCGGUUUUUAUUCUUUUAUAUCAUCUAGACUUUCCAAUAUUUGAAUAUCAUCAACAUCUCCCACCGUAUCAUCAUCACUUUGUUCAACGCUCGUAGUCAUAUCUGCAGUGUUUGUUUUUCAACGUAAUAGUAUGCUGGCUAAUUUAUACCUAAAAGAAGUAAUCAUCUCCUGCGCAACACAAAAAAAUAUUCGUAUAUGUUAAAAAAAUAGCAUAGUUUUUGUAAAAUUAACAUACUUCUUAUAUUGAAGAAAGAAAAUAUAUACCUGUGUAAUUGUGUAGGGUAGAGAACAACCCAUGAAAUAUUCCAUAAAUUUGAUCAUAAACAAACCACAUGAAGAACUAUCUUUUUGAAUUGGCUUUUGUAAUUGUCCUGUGAUCUUCCAUUCAGUAAGAUCAACGUCUUUCCAAUCAUCACUUACCAAGUUAUGACUUUUAAGGUGGUCCAAAUGAAAUUGUAUUCCUCGUAGCUAAAAAAGAAAUAGUUAUCAGAAAUGAUACACAUUAGCGAACAAUGAAUGUAUGUCAUUUACAUAUAGUAAUUAAAUUGGUGUUGUAACUAACCGUAAUAGCGAGAUCCUCUCGGUCAAACUUCCAGCACAAUGAGUCGAGUACUUGAAUCUCACUCUUUUUUGUAUUCGAAAUGGCUAAAUACCAAUGUGUGUUGUUCGUAUUUAUUGGAAGUUCAAUCUAUAAUAAAGAUAAUUAGUUUUCUUAAAAAAAUUGAAACCUAGAACAUGUAAAUUACAGUUAUGGAUAUUACCAUGUCAUGCUUCAUAUAUUUUUUGACAAGCUCUGUCACAAAGGCACUAUAUUGUUGUAUGCCAUGCUCGCCAUCACGUUUAAAUAGUGAGGUAACAAAAGGACUCUCAAAAUAUACAAUAUUGUCAUUCUGGAGAUGUAUUUGGUCCUUUAUACAACAUAUAUAUGCAUUGAUCACCUAUAAUGAAGAUUCAAAAAAUACAUUACUAAUAGAUAUUAGGAAAUUGGAACAUCUUCUGUUUGAGUAAGGGUACUUACAUCAUCAUUGACCCACUCUUUUUCAUCUAGCAGACACAUUAAUUGCUUUUGUAAGACAAUACUUCCAUCUAUCUGAACCAGCAAUUUUUCCCAGGAUUUGACUCUAUUGCUAUAUGAGCACAUAGAUCAUGAUCAGUUAAUGUAUACUCUGCAAAAAACAAAUAAUUUAAGAAUAUAUAUUGGAAAUGAAAAUACACAUCAUAAGAAAAACAAAUACCAUGUGGGAGGUAAUAAUAUGUCUGAUCAUCUUUGAUCUCUUUAUUUGAAUGUGGAUCCUUAAAAUCAUGUAAUGGAAAAUCAGAAGAUAUUGUGGGAAAAUCAUAGACAUGAGUUGUCAUUUGAUAACGGGAUCACAUCAUUAGGAGAAUGAUAUGAUGGACAAGAACCAACCUAUGAACGUAGCAUAUGAUCGUGUCAGUUUAUUGCUAUUUUUUCUGCAUAUCAAGUAUCUAUUCCUAUGACCAUGAGAUCGUGCAACUCAUUGACACCGGAGUAGUACCUUGUGUGUAUCAAACGUCGCAACUUAACUGGGUGACUAUAAAGGUGCUCUAUAGGUAUCUCCAAGGGUGUCUGUUGAGUUGACAGGGAUCAAUACUGGGAUUGGUCACUCCGUGUGACAGAGAGGUAUCUCAGGGCCCACUCAGUAAUACAACAUCACAACAAGCUUGCAAGCAAUGUGACUAAAGAGUUAGCCACGUGAUCUUGUAUUAUGGAACGAGUAAGGAGACUUGUCGAUAACGAGAUUGAACUAGGUAUGAAGAUACCGAUGAUUUAUCCAGCGCUUUAGUGUUGCGCCAUGCUGGCGGCGUGACCGACGACCGUGAACCGUGAUCGACAAAGGUGCCUAGGAAGAAGGCGUGCAAAUGUGUAUGUCAUACACCGAACAGUCAUGCGUAAAUAAAGGGGGUGAGACAACGAAAUACGUUUUUGGGGGAGGGGGCAGUGUGCGACAUAAGAUCGUCGAGGGGCCAUUUAGUAAAAAUAAUACUCCCUCCUGUCCUUUUUACUCCACAUAUUAGAUUUGUGUCAAGUCAAACUUCAUAAAACUUGAUCAAAUAUAUAUUGAGAGAUAUCAAUAUCUACAAUACUAAAUACACAUUUCAUGAAACUACAUUUUGUAGUGAAUCUGACAAUAUUAGUUUGACAUUGUGAAUGACGAUACAUGUUUCUAAAAAUUGAUCAAAGUAAAGAUACUUUACCUUCGAACAAAGCUAAUAUGCAGACUAAAAGGUGUAUGACCGUGGUCACCUUGCGGCCGGAGCACAAGCCGGAAUUUCUUGCCUCUGAAGCUAUUGGGCCCCUCCCAAUGCUCCACCUUGUUCAGGUGCUAAGACUGCCAUGUAGAAAAAAUAUCUGAUGUGGCAUGAUAUUUAAGAGGGGAGAGAUGGAUGUGAUGACCCCAGGAAGAAAUGAUGUCAAGCGUGUGAACCUAGGCAAAAUACUUAAGUAAAAGAAAGCCCAGCAAUGCAUGAAGAACUUUAGUUGCUAAAUCAAUAAAUAGAGUAUGCUUAGCUACAACAAGUUAAGCACCUGUACAUUGAAGGCUUUGGUUGCUAAAUUUUUAAAUAUGCUUAGCACCUCUUCUUAGAGCAACUCCAAUGGGGCGACCCAUUUCGUCCGGGGCCGUCAGUUCGAUUUCGCGAGGACAAAAGUGAUGGCCCAACGCGCGGACCCAUUGCUAAAAUAUUUUCGUAUCAAAUGUGGGACUAAAAUGGGGCGGCGCGGACGCGAAGCGGACACGGCCCUUUUUUUUGUGCAAACUUAAUCUGUAUUGCACUGUCCUUUUUUUCUCUCUCUUUCCGGCGAUGAUACGAAUUGCAAUAAACAUUCAUUAAAUUAAAACCAAAUUGAGAGAAAAGAAAACAUCGUUAACAACACAUGCACACCUUUACCUCGUGGGGAGAAACAACAUAUUUCUCAUCUUAUUCCGAGUGACUGUAUAUUCAAACGCGAUUUCAUUAUGUGAGCACUAAAGCCAUCGUCAGUAACACAAAUGUGAUGCCAUGUGAAAAUAUAUUUUGUUCAGAGCGUGUCUUAUUUUCUCUUCCGUUGCAACGCACAUGCUCUUUUGUUAGUUCCUCUAAUCCGAACAGGCCCUUAAUAUGUAAGAUUAAAAAGGACCGGACGGGGUACCACCGUCGUCACCCUCGCCGCCGGAGCACAAGCCGGAAUAUCUUGCCUCUCGGGCAAGUAGCGGAAACACCGGCGUAUGCACAUACGCACGGGCCCCCGAACCUUCCAAAAGGUCCAUUUGGACCUCAUGAUUUGCCAACUCAAUCCCCCUUCCCUCCCUCUCUUUCCGUGCCCGCCCACGCUCCCCCACGCCGUCUGACCCUCUCUUCCUCGCCCCAAGCAACGCAUNNNNNNNNNNNAAGCAACGCAUCUCUUCCCCUCUUCCUCUCCCGCUCGCUCGUGCAGAUAUUCUAUACGUCCAUGCGCGGCCUUAGCUGCAUCCUUGUCCGGCCAAAACAACCCCCUCUACAGCCUACACACGAUGCAGCAGCUAGCAGUGGCAGCACUACUACUAUUCUGGACGACGCAGCCGGCCACUUGCAUUGGCGUAUGGCGCGCAACGACCUUGCAGCUGCAAGUAGCGGACUCAGUAGCGGCUGGCCGGCCUUUGUUUAGCAUGGGCGCAGGGCCCGUAGCGGAAACCGUGUCCCGCAGACAAGAGAAGACCGCCGCUUUGUGGCCUCCAGCUCCAACGUGCGCGCGCUUGCGUGGUCUUCUCCUCCUCCACGGGGAGAAACAAGCAAGCAACCGGACCGAGAUCUACCGUUGGAACUGUCAUAACUGAAGUAAAAGGUACCACCCCUAGUAGGUGCAAUGCAACGUGAGCUGCUGCCUAGUAGUACCACAACCUGCCAAAACCAUUUGUCGUUGGCUAAUCAAGCGAGCAGGACUGACAUCGUGGGCACAAAUUUGGAACAACCCUGCAGGCUGCAGCUGUAGGUUGGAGCCAAGCAAAUGCAGCUGGCCAGUUGAGGUUAGCACCCAAGAACAUGGCGUGUUGCGGACCCACCGAACUAAUGGAACCUUCCAUCUAAUCACACCGGGCAAACGCAACGAUGAUCAUGCGCUUCUUACCACGAGCGGCAGCCACAGCACAGCACAGCAGAGAGCGCGUCCAGGCACGAACCACUCCACUGUCAAUGGACCCAGCCCUGCCUGGAACCAACUCGCUCCUGUCCCUGUGCUCCGCGCGCGCGCGCUCAUGGCCAACAAUAAUUCGUGCCCCGCGCCCCACACGACACAAGCCCCCCAACCCCAACCCCAACGAACCAAUCAAUCAGUCGAUCGAUGGUGCAUUUGGAUUCCACGGCACCAAAUCUCUCUUCUUCUUCUUCUUCAAUCAAAGGAAAAAAGCACCAAAUCUCACAAUCCGAUGAUCACCCCGGUAGUACGUACGAACACCACUUGCGAUGGGCGAUGGGGAAUCAAGUCAUCAACAACCAAGCAAUCCAAUCAUAGAGGAAUCGAUUGAUGUAGUAGAGUAGUAUGUAGGUAUGAAUCACAUAUACAUGCUAUUUUUUCAUAUAUGUUGUGCCAUGAAAAAUCCUUCACAUUAAGACACCACCCACCCCCCACCACUUAUUUUUCUGCACGGACGAACACGCUCGCCACUUCAACAGCUAGGGUCUGUUCGUCUUCUGUUGUUGUUUGAUGUACUACAUACACUCGGAAGAAAAGUGAAAAAAAAAAUGGGGCUGGGAGAAGAAACCAUCGAGGAAAAGGAAAGAAUAAACAGACGGAGGAAACAAUCUGGGCAGAGCAGAGCAGCGCAGAGCGAUUGAUGGAUGCACGAGAAAGAAGAAACCAAGCUGGGGGCAUGUACCACGCCGUCACGGGCGGUACGCGCGCAGCAGCUAGAAGAGCUCCCAGUCGAACCGCGGGAUCGGCGAGGUGUUGUUGUUGUUGGCGGCGGCCGGCUUCGUCGUGGUGGUCGCGGCUGCCAUGGUGGUGGUCGCCGUGGCCGAGGACGUCGACGGCAUUGACGACAGCAGGUCGAACGUCUCCCAGCUCGCCGUGGGCGGCGCCGCCGCAGCCUUGCCGGUCGCCGGGGCCGGCUGCUGCUUGAACUGCCGCCGCUGCGAGACGGGCGGCGGCCGCGGCGGCAGGUGCAGCGACCUGUCAACCUUGGGUUGGCCAUUGCCGUUGCCGUUGGACUUAGGCGCGGCCGCGUUCUUGGCGUGGCCGUGGCCGUUGGCCGUGUUCUUGGCGCGGAUGGCGUCAAGCGCCUCCACGUACUUCUGCACCCGCUUCUCCUGCACCACCAAAGAGAGAGAGAUUUAGAGCCGGCACGGAUUCAGCUCGCCCGCCCCGCGGCUAAUUAAUGGGCUCGUCAACGGAAUCGGCGGGGAAUUAAAUUCGGCCGGGUUGCCGUGCUGACCUGCAUUCGCCGCUGCACCUUGACCUCGCCGUCGGCGGCGAUGGCGUCGAGCUUGACCAGCUCCGUCAUAAGCGCCUCGGUGAGGGCGACCACGUCGGCCUCCACCACCUUCCCGCCCUUGCCCACGAUGGUCUGCAGCGCAGACACCUGCAGUGCACCGCCACCCAAAUUCGAUCAGCACAGCGCCCUCCCAAAGUCGAUCGGCGGACGGCGAAAGUGAACAAGGGAAGGAGCACGAGCAGAGUGGUCGUACCUUGGUGGCGAGCUUGUCGACGUCGAGGCUGAUGCGGGAGAUGGACUUGGCGGCGCGCUGGGCCUUGUCGGAGCGGCGCUGCUCGAUGAGGCGCUUGGCCUGCGCGUCGGGGUCCUCGAGCAGCAGCAGCUUGGAGCGGUCCUUGACGCCGGACAUGUCGAGGAAGGCCUUGGAGUCCAUCUCCUUGCUCUUGUAGAGCACCUUCUGGUCCUCGUGGUGCAGGCCGGUCUUGUCCGACAUCAUCUUCUUCAGCUCGCCUGCACCACCAAUCACCGUCACGCCCACAAUCAGCAGCUAGCUCGAGUCGAGUCAGAUCAAAUCAAAAAAUCCAGCGGGCGAAGCAAGGCAAAGCAAUUGAUUUGAUUUGAUUCGCGUGCAUUACCGAAGGAUGCCUGGGAGUUGAUGUAGAUCUCGUGGGAGACGCCGUUGAACUUGACCUUGAGGCGCACGGUGGGCACGGGCGCGCCGGCGGGGGCGUCCGAGUCCGGGCCCCGCUUCUGCACCAGCAUCCCGCCGGGCCGCACCUCCCACUCGUCCUCCUUGAGCGCCUCCUUGGCCGCGGCCGCGGCGGGAGAGACGGUCUCCUUCAUGGCGUCCAAGAAUGUAGCUUUGCCCUUGGCGCGCAUCAUCUUCUCAUGGCACGUACUUAUAUGCCUCCCGCUCAAACAAAGAAUCAGCCGAGCAACCCUAGCAGGCAGGCUGUACUACCGCUCUCGGCAACAACCAAGAACAAACCGACGACGAGGAAGGAAGGAAACGGAGGUCUCAGCAGCCCCGAGAAUCUCUCCGCGGCCGACGACGGCAACCGAUUCCGCCUGCUCUGCCGGGGCAAGGAAGGAGUUUGCCGGGUCCGGGCAAGACCAGGAGGCGCGAUCCUCUCCUCGCUGCGGCUGAAUUGGGGAAGGAGGA
rnacentral:lncRNA from 1 species